UUAAUAAUAAUCUUGAUGUUUAUGUAAAAUUUUUGGAUUUUAAUCUUGUUGAUUAAUCCCAUAAACAUGUCAUCUCUAGAUUUUCUAUUUUGUUUUCUUCACUGUUGUUGAUACUUUCAGAAUCACUAUCUUCCUCAAGUUGAGAAAGGAUGAUUUGAUGAACUUCUUGUUGUUGACGAAGUUCUUUCACUUCUCUUUUUAGAUUGUUUAUCUCUGUUUGGAGAUCUUGGACUGUUGUUGGUUUGGCUGAAGAAUUUUCUAAUCUUUCGAAUAUGUUAUUAACAUCAAACUUAUUAUUUGUAAUAAAAUCCUUUUGUUUAGGUUUUACCUCUAAUGUUUUCUUAAGUUUUUCCAGAAAAACCUUCUUUUCUUGGGGGUCGGGUAUAGAACUGAUUGCUUCAAACAAGAGAUCUUGUUCUCUUGUUAGGGUAUUGAUUUGCCCAUCAUCAUCUGUUGAUGAUAGUUGGUCAUCUUGUUGGAUUAUGUUUAGGUUUUCAUCGAAGAGCACAGAGGAUGAAGUUUUUAUUUCUUCCUCCGAGGUUUCUAUAAGCAAAUUGUUUAUUUGCUCUUCAAUAGCUGGUUCUAAGUUAAGGUUUCUUAACUUCUUUUUUAGUCUACAAUAUUUACUAAUGUGGCCUUGUUUUCCACAAUUGUAACAUGUUAUUUUUUAUUUUAUUUUUUGUCUAUGAUUUUCCAUUUCUUUACUGGUUGAGGGUUUGUGUGAGUAUCUCCUUCUUGGAAAACUCUUUUUAUUGAUUGGUUUACUCUCACGGAUUUCUCUCCUAGAGGUUUGUUUUUUCUUUUGUUUUUGACAGGCCGGUAGACCAAAUUGUUCGCAGAAAGAACCUAAGUCUUUCUUUGUUUGAGCCUUUUCUUUGGCUAAUUGUUUCUUAAUCUUGUCAUCUUGACAAAUUUUUAAGGCUACCUUUUGGACAAAAGAAAUUAAUUGAUCGUAGCUUAAGCUUUCAUAUGGAAUGUCUCCAUUAGCCAAUUGACUACAGAUUUAAUCUCUAACCUUGUCUCCUAAUGAUCUUGGAAGAGCGACUAGAAAUUUUUCUUUCCAAAAAGAUUGUUGACUAUCUUCUCUAGUGUAAACCCUAGUUAGGAAAAUAUCUCUAUAUCACCUUAAGUCUGCUAAGGUUCUACACUUAAGGUUUGACAAUAAUUCUGCAGACUUGUAUUUCCACAAAGAUGGGUCUCCAAUGAAGUGUUGAGCUAUUGGAAAAAUUAAUGUAUUAACAGCGUCAGGAAUUUCUUUAUCUUCAUCAUUAGUAAGGACUUUUCCAUUGAUACCUGUCUUAACUGCGCUGUAAAUUUUUUAUUUUUCUUCAUUCAUUAGAUAAUUAUCCCACCAACCUUUUAAUUGUCCGGAAAAUCCUGCCACUAAAAUAUCUAUAAUGGUUUCUUCCAAACAUUCAUGGGAGGUUUGGUAGGCCGUAACUACCAUGAUCAUAUGUUGGAGUGUAUUCAUAAUGUUAUACUCCAUUUGUGCAUCUAUGGUCCAUUCAUAGAUGUUGUUUACACAAAAACUCUUAAAAUUGUUUUCACCUCUUUCUUCUAAUAGAAGGUCAGGGGCAGUUGGACGUUGAUAAUAUAAUUUAGAGGGUAUUUUCUAGUGUUUGGAAUUAAUUGGAUUUAUAUUCUUUUCUGAUAUUGAUCCUAUCUCAGUUGCAUUUUUUGAGUUUUGGUCACUAUCUUCAUUAAUAACAUUAAUUAAUUUGGAGGUACUUCUCGUUACCAUUUUGGAUGUAUUUUCCGAAGUUUGGGGAGUUUCUAGAAUGACCUUAAGUAAACUACCAAUUUUGUUUAGUAAUUCACUAUGGUUGUCUCCUACUCCUUCAAUUAAGGAUUUAGUUUUUCUAAGUUCCCUAAUUUUUCUUUUAGCUUUAUCACUAACUUUGAAAGGUUUGAACAAUGGUUUUUCAAUGGGAAUACUUUGUGAAGCUUCCCCAACUGAUUUUUGUUUAGGAGCUACCUUAGUUUUAAUGGUUUCUCCUAAAACUUGCAAAUAUUUGUUGGUGUAAUUUGCUUGUUCCAUUAGGCUCUUAAUGUCUUUAGAGGUUACUUCCUCGUUAACAUCUUUUGUUUUGAAUGGAACGGCCAUGACAGGUUUAUUGUUACUAUCUUUGACAUUCGGUGGUUGAUAUUGUGUUACGGGAGGUAAUUCUGAUUGGAUUAACUCACCGUCCUUCAUUUUCCAGUUUGUUAUGACAUUUGUUGUUGGAUCACCUAUGAUGUCUUGUUUCCAAGGGUAAUCUAUAUCCUUUCUGAUGGUAUAAGCAUGAAACCAAUCAAAGAAAAGGACAUUAAUUUUGACUCUUUCGACAAAUUCAUAGAACGUGUCUUGGAUCUGUCUUCUGUUUGCACCCUUGUAAUGUUGGAAAAACCAUCUCCUUUGAAGUUCAUUUUCCAGAGAAUAAAAGUCUUUCCUAAGGGUUUCCUUAUCAAUGCUAAAGUUUUCAGAUAACAUCAUAAGGUUCCAUAGAAGAAUAAGUUGGGGAUUGGAUCGACUUUUGGUCAUCCUCCUGUUCUUGGUUGUAAGUUGUUCUAGGUAUACUAGAAGUAGUAUCUAAUCCUUGCAGGAUGAUAAAUGUAUGCUAUGCAAAGGUUUAUAAAACAAUUAUCAAGGGCACACCAAAGAUCGGCUUACAAAUCCCAGGUUUUCGCAAAACAGAAACCAAAGCGGCAACAGAGCCGCACAGGAUCGGUAAAUGAGGGAGAGGGAGAUGGAUAAGAAAGUUGAAAUUUAUUGAAAUUGAAAGAAGCGCUUACAAAAGUUUUUCUUUCACAGAGCACCUCUUCCUGAAACCUCAAAGUGUCUGAAAUGAAAAGGGUGUCUCACAACAAUGACGAGGACUCCUUAAAUAGACACAAAAAUAACUUUUACUACAGUAUCGGUAACAACCAUCGGAACUGUUACAAUGAUGAGCUACAGUGACGGUAACAUUUACCGAAAAAUAUAAUGACUUUAGUAAUAAUUCUUAAUCUAUCAUUACAACCAAUUAAUCUUCUUCAAGUGAGAUGCCGAAACAAUCAUCCUCAUUCUGAUAAAAGGGAUCAUCAUCUUGGUCAUCAAAAUCUUCAGAAGAUUCAGCUUCUAUCUUUGAAGAUUCUUCCUCUUCUUCUUGUUGAAGUAUUUGGAAAACUUCUUUGAGAUUCUUUGCAAGACUUUCCUUAGAUUUGGAGCUUGCCAGAAAUGCUGCAAGUUGUGAUUUUUGGUUCAAAAAUAGUGAUGUUUUUGGGUCAGCUGGUUUGAGCAAUUCAGGGUGACUCUGAAACCAGUUCUUGACUUGGUCAGGAGCCGCUUUUGAAGUAUCAAACUGAGUCCACCAUUUGACAAAUGCAUGCCUUUGCAAAGGUGGAUAUUGUUUAUUAUUUUCAGUUUUUCCAUACCUGUACUACCAUGAAAAAAUCCAUGAUAGCGCAAAGUUGGAAAAAUACAUCAAAUCGACGGGAUUCUUGAUUCCUGGCUAUUGAACAAUUUGCAGAAUUGUUGGAAUCCUUGUUGGACCUCCUCAGGGAAAAUUUGUGGAAUCGGACUGAAAUAAGUCCACCAUUGGGUAAACCAAUUCGGAAAAUUGUAAACGAUAUAAUUUUUGAAGUAUAUUAGCCAUGAAUGUUUGUAUUUAUUGUUUUGGUGCCAGAACACAUUAGUCCAGGCAUCAAUAUAGUCCCAAUAAGUAUAUCCUGUUGGGUCAAAAGGUGCAGAAAACUUUUUGGGUUGGUUGAGAUUUGAUCUGUAAUGCCUUGGUUGCAUUACUUUUAAGAGUUGGAUUGUAGAAUGGGUAUUUAGGCUUUGGUCUUUUGGAUCUUUGAAGUGUUUAAUGGAUACUGAGUAUGUAUCCACUAAAAUAAAUUCAUAAAACGUUCUUGUCUUGUUGAGGGAUGUUGGUUUGUAAUGGAAUCCCGAGGAAAAAGCUAUAGCAGUGGCUUUGAAGGGAUUUUUGUCCCAAUAUUCAGGUUCCAUUUGGAGGACGUUGAAAAAUUUGUUCUUUGGAAUGUAACUAUUUGUGGAUUUUGGUAUUGGGUCUUUUUGAACCAAUUUUUCUUUUAGGUUAACAACUGUUUUGGUUUGCUUGGCUUUUUGGAUUUGUUUAAAAAGAUCUGUUUCAGAAUCAUCGUCUGAUUCUGAGGCCAUCUCUGCCCAUGUUUUCUUUGCUAGUUUUGGGAUUUUGGUAAAGCCUAUAUCUUGAAGGGCUGGGAGGGUCUAGAUUGACCAGGCAUAGUCAGCCACAGUCUGUUUUGUUGUUAUAUGUUUGGGGGAUUCCUGAGUUGAUGACUCAGGUUUGAUGGUGGCUAAUUGCGUCAAUGACCCUUCAAUUUUUUGUUUUUGGGUUGAUGACCCAGUCUGGGUAGGUGACCCAGAAGAUGAUGAUGUUGUCUUCUUGAUUACUGGCUCUGGUAGAGCCAGGAGAACUUCCUUUCCUUUGCUAACUGACUUUCCUCCUCUCCUGAAGGAGCUGGACGCCUUAGGUGGCAUCUGGAAUUUUCUGUAAAUAUUCACGUGUGAGGUAGUCAGGUAAGGAAUUUGAGGUGCCCUUUAUGUAUUCUAUUUGAAAAUCAAAGACACUUAAAAUUGCCUGCCAUCUGGCAAAAAUUUGUUUUGAUGCAAGAUUCUUUACAUCUUUUUGGAGAAUAUCUUUGGCUGAUUUUCAAUCAACCCUAAUUAAAAAAAUUUGGUUUAAUAAAUCAGAUUGGAAUUUGGAAAUGCACAAAACAAUUGCUAAAACUUCUUUUUUAACAGUUGAGUAUUUUUCUUGUGCAGAAUUCCAAUGCUUUGAUGUGUAUGCAAUGACAUGUUCUUGGGAAUGAAUUCUUUGUUUAAGAAUACCACCAUAGCCUAUGUCUGAUGCAUCUGUUUCGAUUAUAUUGAAUGUUUGCGGAAUGGGAAGAUACAAACAUUUAAUGGACUAGACUUUGAGUUUGAUAUCUUUAACGGUUUGAGUAUGAAUAUCUGACCAUCGAGGAGGAUUUUUCUUUAGCCUAUUAUGUAAAGGCUUGACAAUAUUAUUUAAGUAGGGAACAAAAUCUCCUACAUAAUUUAGACAGCCUAGAAAUCUUUGUAACUGGGUCUUGUCUGUUAUUUGAUUUGGGAAUUUGUUUGCAAAUUCAAUAGAUCUGUCAAUUGGAAUAAUUGUUCCUUGAUAUAUAUUAUGACCAAGGAAUCUUAUUCUGGUUUGAAAUAAAUUAAUUUUUGAUUUUGAUACUACUAAAGCAUUUUGUUUUAUGACAUUGAUAAAAGUUUGGAUGUGCUUGAAAUGUUGAUCAAUAUUUUGUGAAAAAAUUAGGACAUCGUCUAUGUAGACUAUGACGAAUUUUGAAUAAGGAUUAAAAAUGUCGUUCAUGAUUUUUUGGAAUUCUGAAGGGGCAUUCUUCAAACCGAAUGGCAUUACAUUCCACUCGUAUUACCCGAAAGGUACUGUGAAAGCUGUUUUGUACCUAUCACAUUCCUGGAUUUGGAUUUGCCAAAAUCCAGAUUUCAUAUCGAAUUUUGAGAAUAUUUUGGUAGAAUUUAAUCUGUUGAGUAAACCCUUCUUAUUUGGGAUUGGAUAUCUAAUCCAUUGUAAUGCUUGAUUUAAAGGUUUAUAAUUUAUAACUAAGCGGGGUGUUCCUCGUUCAAGCUCAGCAUGUUUGUUAACAUAAAAAGCCGCACAAGACCAUGGGCUUUUACUUUUCCGAAUUAGACCUUUGUCAAGCAAAUCCUUUAUUUCUUUUUGACAAUAUUGAAGAAGUUCUUCAUUCAUUUGAAUUGGCCUAGCUUUGGUGGGAAUUUGUUUUUCCCUGAAGUCUUUCUCAUAAGGGAGAUCGACAAUGUGUUUCUUUCUGUCCCAAAAGGCAUGGGGUAAAUCAGAACAGACACUUGAUUCAAUAUGUUUUAACAAAGAUCGAAUUCUUUCUUUUAUUUGGGGUUUUUCUAGUUGGUUUUGAAUAUUACUAAAGGAUACUUCUUCUUUUAAAAAAUUGAUUUGGUUAAUUUUAUUUGCUAUGUGAUUUAUGUUUCUGGAAAUUGGUUUAGUGGAAAAAUUAAAUAUAAUUUUUCUUCCUAAAUAACUUGUAGUUAUUCCUUCCUUUGAUAUCUGGAAGGGAAAUAAAGCUCUAAUAAAAGGAAUUCCUAAGAUUACUUCAUUCUUAAGGUUUUUUUACCAAAAGAAAGCUUGUGUUAAUCCUAAGGCCUUGAUUUUCUAUAAUUGCAUUUGACAGUUUAAAAUUAAUUUUUAAUUUUGAUCCAUUUGCCGUGCUUAACUUCUCUAAUGUUUUUUCAAAAAAAUUUGUUGGGAUUAACCCUUCUAAGAUACAAUUUGAAUCGUCCCCUGUAUCAAACAAGGCCAUAGUUUCUAGUACAAAAUCAUUAAUAAUGAUCUAAAUAUUUAUGUAAAACUUUUGGAUUUUGAUCUUAUUGAUUAAACCCAUAAACAUAUUAUCUUCUGGAUUUUCUAUAUGAUUUGUGUCACUAUUAGCGACGCUUUCAGAAUCACUUUCUUCUUCGAGCUUAGAAAGGAUAUUUUGGUGAAUUUCUUGUUGUUGGCGAAGUUCUUUUACUUCUUUCUUAAGAUUAUUAAUUUCUGUUUGGAGGUCUUGGAUUGUUGUUGGUUUGGCUGAAGUAUUUUCUAAUCUUCUAAGAAUGUUACUAACAUCAAAUUUGUUAUUGGUAAUAAAAUCCUUUUGUUUAGGUUUUACUUCCAAUGUUUUCUUGAGCUUUUCUAGAAAAUUUUUCUUUUCCUGGGGGUCAGGUAUAGAAUUAAUUGCUUCAAACAUGAGGUCUUGUUCUCUUGUUAAAGUAUUGAUUUUUCUUUCAUCCUCUGUAGAUGACAAUUGAUCAUCUUGUUGAAUUAGAUUGAGAUUUUCAUCAGAGAUCAUGGAGGAUGAAGUUUUUGUUUCUUCUUCCUCCGAACUUUCUAUGAGCAAAUUAUUAAUUUGCUCUUCAAUGGCUGGUUCUAAAUUAAGAUUUCUUAAUUUUCUUUUUAACCUAUAAUAUUUGCUAAUGUGACCUUGUUUUCCACAGUUAUAGCAUGUUACUUUAGAUUUUAGUUUUUGUUUUGGGUUUUCUAUUUCUUUACUAAUUGAAGGCUUGUGCGAGUAUCUCCUCCUUGGAAAUAUCUUUUUGGUAACGACCUUAUUUUCAUGGGCUUCUUUUCUAGAGGUCUGCUUCUUUUGUUUUGGACAGGCUGGCAAGCCAAAUUGUUCACAAAAAGAUCCUAAAUCUCUCUUUGUUUGAGCCUUUUCUUUAGCUAAUUGUCUUUGAAUUUUAUCAUCUUGACAAAUUUUUAAGGCUACCUUUUGGACAUAAGAAAUUAAUUGACCGUAACUUAAACUUUCGUAUGGAAUAUCUCCAUUGUAUUGGCUACGAAUUUUAUCUCUAACCUUAUCUCCUAAAGAUCUUGGAAGACCGGCUAGGAAUUUUUCCUUCCAGAAAGGUUGUUGACUAUCUUCUCUGGUAUAGACCCUAGUCAAGAAAGUAUCCCUGUACCAUCUAAAAUCUGCUAAGGUUCUACACUUAAGAUUUGAUAAUAAUUCGGCAGACCUAUCUUUCCAUAAAGAUGGGUCUCCAAUAAAAUGUUGUGCUAUUGUAAAGAUUAAGGUGUUAACAGCGUCAGGAAUCUCUUUAUCAUCGUCAUUAGUAAUGACCUUACCAUUGAGAUCAGUCUUGAUUGCGCUGUAAAUUUUUUACUUUUCUUCAUUGGUGAGAUAAUUAUCCCACCAACCUUUUAGUUGUCCGGAAAAUCCUGCCACUAAAAUGUUUAUAAUGGUUUCUUCCGAACAUUCAUGGGAGGUUUGGUAAGUCGUGGCUACCAUUGUCAUAUGUUGGAGUGUAUUCAUGAUAUUGUAUUCUGUUUAAGCAUCUAUAUUCCAUUCAUAGAUGUUAUUUGUAGAAAAACUCUUGAAAUUAUUUUCUCCUCUUUCUUCUAGUAGAAGGUCAGGGGCAGUUGGACGUUGGUAUAAUUUAGAUGGGGUUUUCCAGUGUUUAGAACUAAUUGGGUUUAUAAUUGCUUCUGGAACUAUAUUUGAAUUUUCUGUUUCAAUUGUAUUAUCACUAUCUUCAUUAAUAACAUUGACUAGUCUUGAUGUACUUCUUGUUACUAUUUUUGACGUAUUAUCUGAGGUUUGGGGAGUUUCUGGGACGACCUUAAGUAAACUACUAAUUUUGUGUAGUAUUUCACUAUUAUUGUCUCCUACUCCUUCAAUUAGGGUUUUUUUUUCCUAAGCUCUCUUAUUUUCUUUUUAGCUUUGUCGCUAAUUUUGAAAGGUUUGAAUAAUGGUUUUUCAAUGGGAAUACUUGUUGAAGCUUCUUCAAUUGUUUUUUGUUUAGAAAUUUUUGUCUUGAGAGUUUCUCCUAAGACUUGUAAGUAUUUGUUUGUAUAGUUAGUUUGUUCCAUUAGGCUCCUAAUAUCCCUAGAGGUUACUUCUUCAUUGAUGUCUUUUGUUUUGAAAGGAACUACCAUGACAGGUUUAUUACUACUAUCUUUGAUAUUGGGGAGUUGAUACUGAGUUGCGGGGGGUAAAUCUGCUUGGAUUAACUCGCCGUCUUUCAAUUGCCAGUUUGUUAUGACAUUUGUUAUUGGUUCACCUAUGAUAUCUUGUUUCCAUGGGUAAUCUAUAUCCUUUCUUAUGGUGUAAGCAUGGAACCAGUCAAAGAAAAGGACAUUGAUUUUUACUCUUUCGACAAAUUCAUAGAACUUGUCUUGGAUCUGUUGUCUACUAAUAAAUUCGUAAAAUUUGUCUUGGAUUUGUUUUCUGUUUGUACCCUUGUAAUGUUGGAAAAACCAUUUCCUUUGAGGCUCAUUCUCCGGAGAAUAAAAGUCUUUCCUAAGGGUUUCCUUAUCAAUGCUAAAGUUAUCAGAUAACAUCAUAAGGUUCCAUAGAAGAGUAUGUUAGGGAUUGGAUCGACUUUUGGUCGUCCUCCUGUUCUUGGUUUUAGGUUGUUCUAGGUAUGCUAGAAGUAGUGUCUAAUCCAAGGAGGUUUACAGUAGGGAACUGGUUAUGUGACUCAGAUCUGGUUAGUCCUACUGGAAUUGAACGGGUUCUAACCGAAAAAGACCUUCUGGCUGACUCAUAUUCAGACCUAGAGGCUUUUAUCCUUGAUGAGAAAGAAUUUCUCCUAUUGAAGGUUAUCUCUACCUUUCCGGAGUUAUCUUGUUUGAUUUUUUCAAUAAUUGGAGCGGGUCGGGGAUCAGACGGUGUGGCCUUCUCCAUGACCCAUUUUUCGGGGAGAGUUACUUAAUCCCAUUUUAUUAUUCUUUUUAAAAAAACGUUGGCUUUUGUCAUAUCAGUGAUAAAUAAGGUUGUUCUCCCUUUUGUGGUUGCAACAGGACUCUAGAUGCACAAGUAUUCAUGACCUUGUACUGGAUCCUAUAAAUCAAAGUCGCUAGGAUUGAUCCUUCUUUCAUGUCAAGGCCAUGAAAGUGGAUAUUUAAGAACAGAGAGUCAAGAAUGUUUCUGUCCAUCAGACUCACUGUUUUGUUUGGAUAACAAUUAAAAUAUAUUGGACCUUGUCCAAGGCUAGUUUCGACUGUUCCAAUUAGGGAGUCUUCAAAUUUAUUAUGCCUAAUAUCUCUUAGACACAUUAAAACUGUUGCAUCUAUGCCCAUGUCAAUCAAGGGCUUGAUGACUACUUGUACACAGCCAAUGUGUAGAUAUUUAUACUUACGGCUAUGUUCAUAAAUUGAAUUUUUUGAAAGUAAAUGAAACUCUUCCCCUAUAUCUUGUCCUAGAGGAAUAUUGUUUUCUACUGUUUUGAUUAUGUAAUCAAAUUUGUGUUUGUCUUUAAUUGUUUCAGGAACGUAUAGUUGAUCCUGAGGGAUUUCUGGAAUGUUCCAGUCAUCCAUGUUUUGAUUGAUAUCUUCGAAUUGGACUUCCUCAUCGAAGAGAUUGUGUUUGGGGCGACCUCUUGGGUAUGGUUUUCUUGAUCACUUAAUAAAUUGGAAUUUCUUGAAGAAGAUGAUGAUGAAGAAUUUGAUCGAAAAGAGAUACGGGAAAAAGAACGUAGAAGUCUAGACAUGAUUAUAACAUUCUCUAAUAUCUUUGCCUUUAUUUGGUUCCAUAGAAAUAUUUCCGUAAGUAAAUAUGUAACAAAAUUCUUUGGAUCUGAAAUAUUUUAAACAAAAACUCUUUUUUAAAAAAAUUGUUUGAACGGCAUUCCUAUAGCCACCAGUAUAUUAUGUCUUAAUAUUUUGGUUAAACAGUACACCUUAGCCUUACUGCCCUCUAUCCAUCACGGGUCUUACUGCUACAGUACCAUUCAUCUAAAAUAUUAGACUGUUGUACUUCCAGAAAGUACUGUUCAAACGUUUACUGUAUAGAUCAAAAUAAAACAUUACGUACACUAUACAAGAUUUUAGAUCCAUAAAAUCUGUUUACAUAUGUCCUUACGGACAGUAUUCCUACUUUCCCAUCAGGCUCUGAUACCAGAGAUCAGCGGAAAAGGACCAAACGAACACAUAGGAAGUAAGAAUGCAGUAUGAAUAUAAACAAGAUAAUGCAAUAUGAAGUUUAAAACAGGUAUCAAGGGCACAUCGGAAUCCGGCUUACAAAUCCCAGGUUUUUAUAAACAAGAAACCGAAGCGGCGGCAGAGCCGCACAGGAUCGGUAAAGGGAGAAGAGAGAUAUGAAAAUGAAACUUUGAGUUUAUUCAAAUUGAAAGAAAAGCUUACAAAGAUUUUUCCUAUGCAGAGCUUCUCUCUCUAAAACCUGAUAAUAGGGCUAUCUGAAAGGGUGCCUCACAUAGAGAACGAGGACUCCUUUAAAUAAACCAAAGUUUGUUAUUGUUUCUACAGUAUCGGUAAUGUUUACUAGAACUGUUACAAUUUAUUUUCUUGACCGAGUACAUUAGUUACAAUAAUGCUUGAUUACUACAACUAAUUAAUCAUCAUCUAGUGAUAUACCAAAACAAUCGUCCUCAUUCUGGUAGAAUGGAUCAUCAUCUUGGUCAUCAUUAUUUUCUGAUGAUUCAACCUCCUUUUUUGGGAGUUCUUCAUCUUCUUCUUGUUGAAGUAGUUGGAGAACUUCCUUGAGAUUGUGGGCAAGACUUUCUUUGGACUUUGAGCUUGCCAAGAAUGCUGCGAGUUGAGACUUCUGAUUUAGAAAUAAGGAUGUCUCUGGAUCAGCAGGUUUGAGGAACUCAGGGUUGCUCUGAAACCAGUUCUCGACUUGAUCUGGAGCAGCCUUUGAGGUAUCAAAUUGUGACCACCAUUUUACAAAGGCAUGUCUUUGUAACGGCGGAUACUGCUUGUUGUUUUCGGAUUUUCCAUACCUGUAUUGCCAUGAAAAGAUCCAUGACAAAGCGAAGCUGGAAAAGUACUUCAAAUCGGCUGGAAUUCUUGAUUCCUUGUUGUUGAAUAGUUUGUUGAACUGUUGAAAUCCAUGUUGGACUUCCUCUGGAAAUAUUUGUGGUAUUGGUCCGAAGUAAUUCCACCAUUGGAGGAACUAAUUUGGAAAAUUGUAGACAGUGUUAUUUUUGAAGUAAAUCAACCACGAAUGCUUGAAUUUACUAUUUUGGUGCCAAAACACAUUGGUCCAGGCAUCAAUGUAAUCCCAAUAAUUGUAACCUGCAAGGUCAAAAGGUGCAGAAAACUUCUUGGGUUGGUUUAAAUUGGAGCCGUAAUGUCGUGGCUGCAUUACCUUUAGGAUUUGGAUUGUUGAGUGAGUGUUUAGGUUUGGGUCCUUAGGGUCCUUGAAAUGUUUCAUAGAUACGGAGUUUGUAUCUAUUAGAAUGAAUUCGUAAAAUUUUUUGGUUUUGUUGAGGGUUGAUGGCCUAUAGUGAAAUCCUGGGGGGAAUACUUUGGCGGUUGCUUUAAAAGGAUUCUUAUCCCAAUAUUCUGGCUCCAUUUGUAAAACAUUAAAGAAUUUGUUUUUUGAGAUGUAAUUGUUGGCGGGUUGUGAUGUUGAGUCAAUGGUUGGCUUUGUUUCUGGUUACAAACUGUUUUGGUCUGUUUGGUUUUUUGAAUUUGUUUUUGAAGAUCUGUUUCAGAAUCAUCGUCUGAUUCUGAGAUCAUUUCUGCCCAGGUUUUCUUGGCUAAUUUUGGUAACUUGGUGAGGCCUAUGUCUUCUAGGGCCAGGAGAGUUUGGAUUGACCAGGCAUAGUCAGCCACGGUCUUUUUUGUUGUUGUUGUUGGUUUGGGGGAUUCCUAAGUAGAUGACUCAGGUUUGAUAGUAGCUAUUUGGGUCAAUGACCCUUCAAGUUUUCCUUUUUGGGUUGAUGACCCAGUCUGGGUAGGUGACCCAGAAGAUGAUGCGGUUGUUUUCUUGGUUACUGGCUCUAGUAGAGCCAAUAAAACAUCUUUCCCAUUACUACUGGUUCUUCCUCCUCUCCCGGAGGAACUGGACACCUUAGGAGGCAUCGGGAAUUUUUUGUAAAAAUUCACGGGUGAGGUAAUCAGGUAGAGAAUUUGAGGUUCCUUUGAUAUAUUCUAUGUCAAAAUCAAAGACACUUAAAAUUGCUUGCCAUCUUGCAAAAAUUUUUUUUGAGGCAAGGUUUUUAACAUCUUUUUGUAAAAUGUCUUUAGCUGAUUUACAGUCAACUCUGAUUAAAAAAUUUUGAUUUAACAAAUCUGAUUGGAAUUUGGAAAUGCACAAAACAAUUGCUAAAACUUCUUUUUUAACAGUUGAAUACUUUAAUUGUGCAGGAUUCCAAUGUUUUGAAGUAUAUGCAAUGACAUGCUCUUGACCAUGUAUUCUUUGUUUGAGGAUGCCACCAUAACCUAUGUCUGAUGCAUCAGUUUCGACAAUCUUUAAUGCAUGUGGAAUAGGAAGAUACAGACACUUUAUGGAUUGGACUUUGACUUUGAUUUCUUUAACUGUUUGAGUAUGGAGGUCAGACCAAGGAGGCGGAUUCUUUUUCUGCCUAUCAUGUAAUGGCUUGACAAUAUUGUUUAAAUAGGGGACAAAUUCCCCUACAUAAAUUAGACAACCUAGAAAUCGUUGUAACUGGGUUUUGUCUAAGAUUUGGUUGGGAAAUUUGCUGGCAAACUCUAUGGACCUUUCUAUUGGAAUGAUUGUACCUUGAUAUAUAUUGUGACCAAGGAAUCGUAUUCGAGUUUGGAAAAGAUUGAUUUUUGAUUUGGAGACUGCCAAACCAUUAUGUUUAAUGAUAUGGAUGAAAGUCUGGAGAUGUUUGAAAUGUUGAUCAAUGUUUUGGGAAAAGAUUAAAACAUCAUCAAUGUAGGCAAUGACGAAUUUUGAAUAGGGAUUAAAAAUAUCAUUCAUAAUUUUUUGAAAUUCUGAAGGGGCAUUCUUCAGUCCGAACGACAUUACGUUCCAUUCAUAUUGCCCGAAAGGUACAGUAAACGUCGUUUUGUACCUAUCUGAUUCUUGGAUUUGGAUUUGCCAGAAUCCAUAUUUCAUAUCAAAUUUUGAAAAUACUUUUGCAGAAUUUAAUCUAUUAAGUAAGUCUUUUUUCUUUGGAAUAGGAUACUUAAUCCAUUGUAAUGCUUGGUUUAGUGGUUUGUAAUUUAUGACUAAACGGGGUGUUCCACGCUCAAUCUCGGAUUGUUUGUUGACAUAAAAAGCCGCACAAGACCAUGGGCUUUUGCUUUUCCAGAUUAGACCUUUAUCAAGCAAAUCCUUGAUUUCCUUUUGGCAAUAUUGAAGGAGUUCUUCGUUCAUUUGGAUUGGUCUGGCUUUUGUGGGAAUUUGUUUUUCCCUAAAGUCUUUCUCAUAAGGGAGAUCAACAAUAUGUUUUUUUCUGUCCCAAAAUGCAUGUGGCAAAUCAGAACAAACAGUUGACACAAUAUGACUUAAUAAUGAUUGGAUUUUUUUCUUUUACUUGGGGUUUUCCCAGUUGUACCUGAAUAUUAUUAAACGAUACUUCUUCUUUUAAGAAGUUAAUUUGAUUAAUCUUAUUUUCUAUAAGAUUUAUAUUUCUGGAGAUUGGUUUAGUAGAAAAAUUAAAUAUAAUUUUUCUUCCUAAAUAAUUUGUGGUUAUUCCUUCAUUAGAUAUUUGGAUGGGAAACAAGGCUCUAAUGAAGGGGGUUCCUAGGAUUACUUCGUUCUUAAGGUUUUUUACCAGAAGAAAGUUUGUGUUAAUCCUAAGACUUUGGUUUUCAAUGAUUGCAUUUGAUAGCUUAAAAUUAAUUUUUAAUUUUGAGUCGUUUGCUGUACUUAAUUUUUCUGAGGUUUUUUCAAAGAAUUUUGUAGGAAUUAAUCCUUUCAAAAUGCAGUUUGAAUCAGCCCCUGUGUCAAAUAAGGCCAAUGUUUCUAAAACGAAAUCAUUAAUAAUUAUUUUUAUGUUUAUGUAAAAACUUUUGGAUUUUAAUCUUGUUGAUUAAUCCCAUAAACAUAUCAUCUUCUAAAUUUUCUGAUUGGUUGUUUUCACUGUUGUUGGCGCUUUCAAAAUCACUUUCUUCCUCAAGCUAAGAAAGAAUGAUCUGAUGGAUUUCUUGUUGUUGACGAAGUUUUUUUACCUCUCUUUUUAGAUUGUUUAUUUCUGUUUGGAGAUCCUGGAUUGUCGUUGGAUUAAAGACCCUAAGGUUUUGUGUGGUAUUUUCCCGAGGCAUACCUACAGAUUUCUUCAUCAUGAAUUUUUUUCAUAUUUAUUUUUCUUUUUCUUUAGGAUAGCUCCCCAUCCUUGCUCACAACCAUCGCAUUCUAUGACUAGAUAGUCAGAAUCUAGUGGUAGAGAUAAAUAUGGCAAAUUAUUAACCAUUUCUUUUAUUUUCUGAAUCAAUUUUAUAUCUUCUGUAUUAAAUUUUCUUUGUCCAAUUAAGGAAGUCUUAUUGUAGAAAGGAGUUGUAUAUUUCCCUAAGUCUUUAAUAAAAUUUCUUGCAUAAUUAAGCAAGCCUAUAAAGGCUCUUAGGGAUUUUAUGUCUUCCAUUUUAUCUGGAAAACCAAGAAUUUUUUGGGAGAUAUGAAGCUGAAGCCUUAUUUUCCCAUUUCUUAUUUCUGUUCCUAGGAAAGAAAUAUGGAUCUUAAAAAUUUCCAUUUUUGACUUUAAAAUAAUCAACCCAAAUUUUUCAAAUAAGUGAAGAACUUGUUUAAGAUGUAGAUAGUGUUCUUCCUUAGUUUUCGAGAAAACUAGUACAUCAUCUAUAUAUGUACAUGUGAAUUCUUUGUAAUUUCCAAAAAUAUUAUCCAUUUUUCUUUGGAAAAUUUGUGGUUCAUUUUUCAAUCCAAAAGGCAUUACUUUCCAUUCAAAUAAUCCUUCUGAACAAGAAAAAGUGGUCCAUUUUAUUGAGUCAGGAUGCAUUUUAACUUGGUGAAAUCUUGAUUUUAAAUCAAAUUUUGAAAACCAUUUGACUUUCUGUAUUCUAUUUAUCAAUACAUCUUUAGAAGGAAUAGUGUAUCCGUCUAUGUGAGUGUUAUCAUUAAGCCUUUUAUAAUUCUCAAGCCAUAAUAGGGAUGAUAGAAAUAUAUUUAAAUCAAACAGUCUCCCUAAUAUACAUUCCUCCUAAUUAUACAUUGAAUCUUAGUGAUUUUAUACACAACAUAAAUUUUGAAGUCCAUACCAUAGGUUUUGGAAGAAACUUUGUAGGGCAUAACUUACAUCUAGACAUUACCUUUAUAGGUAGAAUAAGCAGCCAAAUAUCCCCUAGAUGCAGGAUAAAUACCAAUCCAUUGGUGACAACAUUGUCAUCUAAUGGAAUCCAAUUCAUGCCACUUGAAGUUUUUUAUUCCUCCAAGAAUCAGAAUAACCAAUGGCAAACACAUAUUGAUGUUGGAUCCUCUAGGAGUGCUAUAACCACUACUAGUGCAGCCAUAAUAACAAAUAGAAGAAAUAGUCUCUCAGUAAGGUUUAUUGAUUACGAAGACAUACAAACCCCUCCAGGAGAGGAGAUAGAACCCUCUAGGAUGUCUAUGAUAAAUUUAUGGCACUGUUCAUAUUUUGAGUCAUAUAUCUCCUAUGAUGAACCCAAACAAACUGAAAAUUCUUUUUCAAGAAAAACUUCUCUUUCCCAAAAAAAUUUUAAAGAAGUUAAAAAGUGGGAAGAAGAUAAGAAGUGUCAACCACGAGGUUUCAUAAACAAUGAAACAAAUUCUGAAGACAUUGACAAAGAUGAUGACUCUAUUUUUAGACAAAAAUUAUUUUCAACAAUAAAUAAAGAAAAUUCAUAUACCGAUGGUACUAAAGAUUUAAUUGAGAAGAUUGAUCUACAAGAUUUUUAUGAAAAAGAAAUCAACUUCAAAAACACAUUAGAAAUAACUUCCAAGAUUAAUGAAACAGAAUCAUUAGUCACUUUUCCUGAAUCUUGCAAAGGCCUCAUGGCUAAUACUUCUGGUACUAGUUCAAAUUUUACCCCACAAUUUGACUAUAGUAUGAAAGAUUACCAAAUGGGGUUCCUCCCUCAUGAAAAAAUUAUUACUCCCGUAGAUUUAUCUUUAGGAGAUAAUAUAAAGUCAAAAGGGAAAAGAUUGUCCAUUGAACCGGUGUUUAAUAUGCCUUCUCUCCUAUUAAACAUAGGGAGUAUUGACCCUUAAUUACUUCCAAAUUACAUAGAACAGUAGACUUCUCUUGUUAUAAGAGACUAUGAGAAUCAUGUAUCUACUAGCCAAGACAUGAUAACUAGAGCCGAAACAUAUUUGGUUGAUAUAACUAGAGCAUGCUGGGAAUCUUUUAAGCAAGCUUUCCCAGAAAAAAUCAAAACAAAUUAGUUGACCCUGGUCUAAACAUCUACAACUAAAAUGUAUUUAAUAGUAUAUUUCUAGGGAGUAAAAUGAGUAAAAAAGUGUAUAUGUAGAAACUAAAACGAGUAAUUUAUAGAUGUAGGGAUUAAAAUAUAAAAGUUAUGUAUAUAGGCACCAAAUUAAAUGAAUAAUUAAACCUAAAAACAAGUUCAUUAUUGUGAUACAGAAUGGAAUAUGCAAUGAAUCUAACGACCUCAUAAUUAAAGGCAACAUACAAUAUAAGAAAAAUAAAAUAAUGAUUAGUAAAACGGCAAGCAUAAUUAUUUGACAGUUUGAGAUACUUUACCAAGUCCAUCCAGAAGUUUAAGUGCACGGUGAGCAAACAUUUUUUCCAUUGAUGGAUAGUGAGUCAUAACAAUAAUAUCAGCAUCAACUGUGGAGGUCAAGUUAACAAGGGCCAAAUCCACUUCCAGACAGCUAAAUAAUGCAAUUGAAAGAUAUAACAACAUCAAUCUAGACUGUACAAUUGAGCAAAUAAUCUGGAAUAGAAGGGUCAAAAUAUAUUUUUAAUAUUCUUAAUGUGGAAAUUUUAAUGCUUAUGGAUCUUAGCUUACAACUCAUGCCUAUCCAUGACCAGGUGUGCUUAUUAUCACUUUAACAAUGUUCGCAGAUAAUAGAAAAAUAAUCAUCAAUAGUAACACUGGUCGCGAACAAACAGAGUAUUUAUAAAAAAAAUAUUCAAAAUAGAGUAUUUAUGAAUGGCUAUAAAUUUAUAAUAGUGAUUGUGAUUUACUUUAUUAAAUACCUCAAAUGGAUUUGAAUUUCUUUGAUGGAAUUGUGGUUGAAAAUAAAUUGCUACACCAUCCGCGGCAUGCUUAAUGAUGCCUUAGCUUGUGAAAUGUUAAUCACUUGUUAAUAGUUUGCGCUUUCAGGAUGAAGAGUUUCCAGAGAACAUCAUGUUUGAUUUGAAUCGUUGAAGAUGGUCUUCAAAUAGCAAAUGAUACCCACAACUUUUCACCUCCAAACGCAAACCUUCAUAAUAAGGGCCAGAGUUGGCUACAAAUUUCACUGUAUCAAGACCAUUUGAACGUACCCUUGCUAAAUCAGUGAGUAGUUCUCGGCUGAAAAACAUUAUUAACAAGUGAUCGAAUCCAACUGUCACCAAAGCUCUCUUGAAAAGAAUUGGAACCGGGAAAGUGAGGCUACACAUAUUCGUUAAAUUUUCAAAACCAAAUUCAAUAUAAUCAUAAGGAGGUCCCCGCCAAUUAUCGAAAUUAUUAUUUGGAUCAUCAUGUGCCACAAAUAUUGCACAACAAGCAACACCUCUACAAUAUAGGUCUUCAAUAACACGAGACAGGUCCAUGCUUAUUGAACUACCCACAUUUUGUUUAAUAAACCACCUUGGAAUUUUAGUUCCAGGAAUAACAGAAUUCAUACCGUAGUGACUAGAGGAUUUCAAGUAUACCUGAUACAAGAAAGUCAGUUAUAUAUAAUUAGUAUACACAGAAAAAAACGACAUAUGCAAAGAAAGCAUGCAUCCAAUUCUUUUAGUGCAUGGAGUCAUUACCUUAAAGUGUUGCAUCAUCCAAGAAUAAACCAUGCUAUGACAGUGUUCCAUCUCACUCAACUUGGGGCAAUCAAAAGCAUAUAUUCCCCACCUCCAAUAUUGGUUAAGUGUUUUUUCUUUUGUUGUUGGAAGCUCGGGCAAGUAUUUCAGCUGCUUGCAGUGCUCCAAGUUCAAAUAUUUAAGUUUGGAAAGUUGCUUGAUGGUAUUAGGCAGUGUCACAAAUUUGUUUCCCCUCAAAUUUAAGUCUUCCAAAGAAUGUAAGUUCCCAAUAGCAUCAGGUAUUUUAAGAAGAUUGCAGAAGCUAAGGUCAAGACUAUACAAACAUGGAAAAGAAGGCAAAUAAGGCAACAACAAACCAAAUGAUUCUUCAGGUUUUCGAGAAGAAAGAAAAUGGAAAGGCCACAUUAAAACUUUUAAUGCAGAGGAUGUUGAUGAUUGGAUGGCACUUCUAUUUAUAUCAACGUUCUCCAAAAGUUCUGUCUCCUUUGGUUUCUUCAAUAGAUGGCUAUUUUGUAAUUUGGAACAGCCAGAGAGAUUUAGCUUCUCAAGAGAAUUGAGCCCAAAAAUGAUAUUCAGAUCAACGAGAAGAUUUUCACAAUUUUUCAAAUUUAAAUAAGUAAGCUCUUUUAAAAUACCAAUGGAUGGAUCAAUCCGCACGAUUUCUACACAUUCUCGAAGAUUAAGCUUCUGAAUAUGUGGAACUCCUCUUAAGUCUGGCAUCUCAAUAAGAUUUUUGGAGUAGGGGAGAUCUAGUGCUCCCAAAUUAGGCCGACACUGUAAAAGAAACAAAAGUAAGGAAAAUUACUAUCUAUUAGUUUUUAAUUAUCCUUUUAACUAAAAGAAAGAAAGAUAAACCAUUUUAUUUUUAAUUUGGUCAAAAGUAGCUGGGCGACAAAAUUAAUGACAUUUAUAAUUUCUCAUGUUUCUUUAAUCAGAUAAAAUAAAGUUAAAAACAUAUAUGAGAUUAUUUAUUUUUUUAUUUGUUCAUUUAGAAACAUAGAAAAUUGAAAAACAACAAUAUAUAAUAACUUUGUGCCUUUCCAUAAUUGUUUGAUAUUGCUAUAAGGCAGAGUUGAUGUGAAUAUAAACCUGAUGGCAAAGACAUGGAAGGAUAUUUAUCUCAAUAUAGAUAUCUUAAUUCAUUUGAAAUAUAAUUGAGAUUUCCAUAAAAGUUGACAUUCUUAAGCAUGAGCAAUUUAAGUUGAUUCAUUUUUGAUAGAACAUCCAUUCUCAUUCUUCUUUUUUUAAACUCUUCAUCAUAAUGUAGUUGAAUAACCAUGGCUUCAAGAAUUUCGGAUUCCUACACCAUCGCAAAAAAGAAAGAAAAAUGUUAGAUUUUUUAAAAAAAUAAUUUGUAGGUUCUUAAAAAAUAAAUGUCUAAUAUUUUAUGUUCAAAAACUAUUUUACCUUAUUUUCCAUCAUUACAUUAUGGAGAUCCUUGUAGUCCUAUAACUUGCUCCACUUUCUUAGCUCCUUAGGUGAUUUUUCUUGAACAAUACUUCUAUCCAACUCUCUCAUCAAGUCAUGCAUAGAAAUAGUACCCCAACAAUCACGACUUAUGAGUGAUUUUUCAAUGAGAACUUUCAUACUAAUGUCAAGAUAAAAUUCUUGAUAUUCUAGAAUUUUCUCUAUGUUAUUAUUCCAAACGGAAGAAUAAUUAAAACAAGCAAUAUCUAGAAAUAUUUCUUUUUUCAUUUUUUCUAAUCCAUCAAAACUUAAUUGCAACACAUUCAUGAUAUCUUUGCUUGAAUUUUCUUUCAAUCUAGCCAAUGCACUCCUCCACUCAAAAACGUCUCUGUCAAAUAAAAAUGAGGCUAAUACUUUAAUUGCUAGAGGAAAGCCAUGGACAUACUCUAAUACAUCAUAUACCAAUUGUUCAUAAUCUUUGACAAUAUCUUCAGUUUUGAAAGUUUUUCUACAAAAUAAUUGUAGAGCUUUAUCCUUGUCAAGGAGUUGAACAUUGUAAACUUUAUUUACUUCAUAAUUUUUUAAGAUAUGUCUAUCUCUAGAGAUUAUGAUGACCCUACUCCCUGCACCUAGAUAUAUCUAGGAUGCAAAGCCAAUUUCUCCAAUUGUUCCAUUUGAUCAACAUUAUCAAGAAUAAUAAGUGUCUUUAAGUGGCAUAGCCUAGUUCUUACCAACAUAGUUCCUCGGGAAGGGUUGUUUAUCUCAAUAUUUCCUUGGUUAGAGUUUGACGAAGAAGUUGUUUUUGUGCACCUAUGGGCUCCAAAAUCUCCAUAAGUUUUGCUAACAUCAUCAAUGAAAUAACAAGCAUCAUAUCGAGGAGAGAUUUUAUUAAAUAAAGCAGUAGCAAGUGAGCAAGUGUCAUCUUUCCUAUUCCACCAAUCCCACAAAUUCCUACAACUAGAACAACUUCAUUUGCGUCCAGAUCUAGAAAAUCUUCCAUUCGUUUCACACCAGAAUGUAUAUCAACUAAAUCAUCCCCAAAACUCGAAAUUUGAUUAUAACCUAGUAUGUUGAUUACCUCUUGAACAAUUUUUUCAAUUUCUUCAUUUUGAGGCCUGGAAAACAAAAGUAGAGGAAAACCACCAAAUCAUCACUAAAACUUUCAAAAACAACAUUAUAUAUAAUACAAAAAAAAUAAAUAUGGCCAAAUACUUACUUAUUCAGUACAUCUCACCCACAACGAUUGGUGAUUGCUUUCAGAGCUUCCCUCCAUUUGUGUACCUUUCUUCGUGUUCAGUAAAAGCCUCUCCAAACUGUCCACUCUGUUUUCGAACCUCCGAAGGAGUGACAUCAUAGAAAACAGGGAGCACACUUGGACCUGUUUCUUGAACCCAAUCAACGAUCUUUGUCAGCUCUUUCAUGCACCAUGUGGAUGAUGCAUAGUCCUUUGAGAAGACAACGAUGAAAACACAUCAAAUUUUUUUGCCCGUGAUGAAGAGCUUGUUUGGAUGCUAGUACGUGCCAUUAUUGCAGAAAGUGUUAGCUAACAGUAACACGACGAAGUUUGUGUGUAAUGUUUAACUUAGUGCUAUCAAGAUUGAAUUGAGAGGACAAGCCCUUCUUAAAAACAAAUGGGUGUGGGCCAAAAUGUGAAUUACUUUAAAACUAAGUCUCAAUGUUUAAUAGUCGGAGAAUUUAUAUAAUAUCCAUGUUUGGCAAAUAAAUUGUUAUUGUUUUGUUUUUGUUAUAAUAUUAGUUUCUUCAAUAAAGAAGAGCUGCUUUGAAUUCUUAAUUACGUGCUGUGGUUUGGGAGUUGUUAGGAAAGACUAGUAAUUCAAGGCCGUUGGAAAUAAUUCAAGUCCCACAUCGACUAAAAAUAAUAUCACAUUAGAAUAUAUAAGUGAGGGACAAUUUUCACACCUUAAACUAGUUUUUGGGAUUGAUGUGAGAGGGUGUGUUGGAAAUAAUCCAUUUUUAAUCGAUUGACAUAAAUCACGUUUUUUUUAAUUAACAUUUGAAGGAAAUAUAUUAGAAAGACUUUGAUUGAUGAAGCAGGCCUUAACUGGAAUCAAUCACAGACGACCAUUGUGGGCCUUUCUUUCCGUUGCUUUCCCUCAAUUAUUGUCCACUUUUGGUCAGAAAGCAUGAUGGGAAAUGGUUGCUUUUAAAAGUUAGUGCUUUGUUAAGGACACCACCUGUCCCCAUAAAAUAUAUAAAAAUCAAAAACAAAAAAGGUGAUAGUGCUUAUGAAAAAAAAAAAACUCAAAUGUGAAAAUUGAAAAAGAAAAAUGGGAAACUUUUUGAAAGCUAAAAUAUCAUUUUAGUUCCUUGUAUAUUUUAAAAUUCCUAUUUUAGUUUUCUAAAGUUUCAAAAAGCAACUAAUUUCAUCACUCCAUCAAUUUCAUAAUAAUGUCUUUCACGUUUUACAUUGUAAAAUAAUUAAUUUUAUCAUAAUGAGAGUUAAAAGCUGCACACAUUUAAGUGAAGUUUGUUAUCAUAAAAUAAUUAAUCUAAACAAUUUGACGAUUUUUAACCGUAAAUAUAAUAAUUUUAAUUUAUAAAAAAUUCCCAACACCAAGAAUCGAUUCUCAAAUCCCUAAUCUUAAACUUAAAUCCAAACGAUUUCAUAAUAUCCAACCAAAAUAAUGUCUAUCUUUCAGCCAACUGCACGUACUGAUAAUAUGCUUUUUUUCCGUCUCAAUUAUAAGAAGAAGAAAAAAGACAUAUUUCAUGAUUAUUAAGAAAAUUAAUUAAUUUCAUUAAAUUUUUCAAUUUUUAAUUAAAAUAAACACUUUUACUAAGUUAUUCUUCAUUGAAACUUGAUACCAAAUGUAAAAAAGUCCUUGUUGAUCUUAUUAAAUGAAAUAUUUUAGAGAGAUUCUUAUUAAAUAAAACAUAAGUAAUUAAGAUUUAUUUAUAUUUAAGACAAAAACAAAAAUAAAAAUUAUUAUUUAUAUUUGAGACGCAAGAGUGAGGAGGAAGUGUUUAAGAUAAUCACAAUAGGGUCCUUCAAUUGCUUGGAAGAGCUCAUGUUCCAAUAAGAGUUCUCCUUCAUUGAUAUUUUGGUUAUCCCUUGAAGAGCAGCAAAAAGAUGAUCGGUGAAACUAUUGCGAGUGCCUAUACCUCUAAAACUCACAAAUAACAUCAAUAUUCUUUGUGUGUGAUGAAGAGCAGCUUUGGAAUUUUGAUCAAGCCAUUGAAGAAGGUGAAAACGCACUUGCUGAAAUAAUGUGUAAUGUAAUGAAUAGUAGUACUCAGUGGGAGGACAAGUCUUUUUAAAACAAAUCACAAAGCGUGUGGGAAAUUAAAAGGAACCACAUGCAUGCCAUGCAUCUUUAAAAAAGAUGUUUUAAAUAAGUUAAAAAAAUAUUUUUAAAUAUCUAGAAUUUAAAUUGGUAUAUAAAAUAUUUUUGACAUCUGAUUGUACUGCUUGCUUUGAUUAUAUAUAAGGCAGGAGGGGUGAAUUGGUUAAUUUUCUUGUAGAAGCUCAUACAUAUAAUAUACGUUUUCCUUUCUUGUGCCUUCACAAUCGUUCUUACCCAUAGUGACCCUCACUUAUUACACUUAAAAUUGUUAAGGGUUUUUGCUAAACACACCCCAUCUUUACUUGUACACUUCCUAUCUAGUUCUUAUUAUUUUUCAAUAAGUGGGAGGGGGUGUAAAAGUAUAAAUGGAAGGUGUAUUUACCAUAAGUAUUGAAAUAAUUAAUGCACUUGCAUAUUUUGCCCAGGAAAAGCUAGCGUAACUAUUAGAGUGUUGCUAGGUGCACCCAGCAUUCUUAAAAAAUGGCAAAAUUGCUCUUGUUUGGUUUUCCUCCUACAGAUCAACUUGAUCUGUAAGUUGAUCCGUAAGAGGAAAAAUAAUUAUAAUAUACUUUAAAGAUAUAACAUAUUUAUUUAUAAUAUAAUUAAAUAUAUUUUUUAUUUUAUUAAUUAUAAUAUAUUUAUAAAUAUUGAUUUAUUAUAAAUAAUUAAUUUUUUAAUAUAUUUUUUAAGAAUAAAUUUGUUUAGAAGAUGAUAUUAAAAUACUUACUCAGUCUCAUUAUAAUUAUUGUUUAAGGUUAUUUUAUACAUAUUAAUAAAAAUCAAUAAAUACAUAAAAGAUAAUAUUAUAAAGAAUUAAUCAUAUCAUUAAUAUUAUAAAGAAUAUAAAAAAAUAAUUAGUAUUAUAUUAAAAAUUAAAAUACUAACUAGUUUAUAAUACAUUUUUUUACAUGAUCAUUAGUAUAAGUGGGAAAAUAGUAAUUAUAAGAGAAUUUAAAAAUAUUAGUACGUUAUAUAAAAUAAGGAUCUUAGAUAACGAAUGAUGUCCAUUUUUUGUUUAAUUUUUUUAUACCUUUUACAACUUCUUUAUUUCAAUUAUAUUUAAAGUCAUAUUUCAAAUUAUUUUUCAUUAGUUGGUAAAUUAAGUUAACUAGACCAUUUAUAAUAAUUUACAUAUACUAUAACUAAGUUAACUAGACCAUUUUAAUAACACGCGUGUAUAUAGACACAAAUGGAAUACACAAUCAAUGAAAAUAAAUAAAACUAACAUUACUAAUGAAAAUAAAUAAAAUCAACAAUACUCAUGAAAUGAGUUCAUGUACAAUAUCUGUAUAUACACGGAAUAUCAAUAUAAAAUAUGUACAUAAACUAUGUCUGAUCCGUGCGCCACCUGCGUCUAGACCUAACAUAUACAAGAUGGUCCUAUGUCACACUCCUGGCCAACCUGAGGCAUUCUUCGAUCACCUCAUGUGUUGAUGAGUCAGGCGUGACCACCCCUAGACUCAAAUGGCGCUUCAACCUCUCAGCAAUGUCAUCACAAACUUCCUGUUACAUACAAAACAAACUAAUUACAUAAAUUAUUAUGCAAAUAUUGAGGUAAAUGACGGAAAUUAUUAGUAUUACUUACCACUGCAUGUCUGGGCUCCUCCGCAGAUGUCGAUGAUGCUCCUGGCUCCGACACGCGAAGGAUAUCCGUUUGCGGGGCCUGAGGGACGACUCGGGGUUGCGGGGCGUGACCAUGAGGCAGAGGAUCUAAUGUGUGGCCUGAUGUCAUGAAAGGAUGGGAGAUGCGGAAGAACCAGUCCAUGUAGUCACUGGAGCACGCCCCUGGCACAACGCACACCUCACCUGCUGGAACGAUAUGAUCCUCGUAGUGCAUCCACCUGUCGUGUAUAUCAUCAUACGAGACCCAUGAAUCGACCGGAGGAGCAGGAAUGGUCUGCGUGUAGCCAAACUGCCACACGAUCCUCUCCGGUCGGUAAUAAACAGCAACAGGCCCCCAGCGCAAGAGACCGGAAUAGCAUGAUCUGACGUGGAAGUCUCGGACCUCUCGGUGCUCCCCAUAAGGGAUCCAAUAGACAUUCGGAAUCCGGAGUCGGUCUAGGCGUUCCCUGUACGCCGGCGCACGAAUGCUCUUCACGGUCUUCUUGGUCGCAAUUCACUUACACACACGCAGAGAAUCCUCGUCGUACUCCUUAUCAGUAGUGGAGUCCGCGACCGACGGAAAGUGCUCGUAAAUCCAGCACUACAAAUGUAACAUCAAAAUUAUAAACAUUAAUAAUGAAAGUGCAACAAAAUUUAAAGUUGAACAUUGUUGAGGCUGAACGAAUAAAAAACAUAUUUGUUACUUGCAGUAGUGUGAUGUAACCGCCAAGCCAUCGGCUGUGGCUCAUAGAUGCAUCGUUCAGCUGGUCGUACAUAUGCACCAAAGCAGCCACUCCCCAAGUGUACCUCUCCGUCAUACUGAGGUCACGAAGGGCCUCCAAGUAGACAACAUGGACAUUGGUUGCACUCUUGUUAGCAAACAGAGUGUAACCCAGAAGGUGAAGAAGAUAUGCGCGAGCCGCAGCUGUCCAAUGACCUGCCUGGCAUUGGCGCUCAUAUAUAUCACGUAUCCAUUGCAGGCGUACGUACAGUCCGCGACACUGGACUCUCUUAGCCCUAGCAGACUCUGGAGAGACCAUCAACAUGUCCACCAGCAUCUGAAUCGCAUCGUCCACGUGCAAGGGCUCAAAUGCGUGUAAGUCACCAAUAACGGGAAGAUGGAGAAGAGAGGAGACGUCGUCCAAUGUGAUGAUGAGCUCUCCCACCGGGAGAUGGAAACUAGACGUCUCCCGGUGCCACCGCUCCAUAAACGCGGACAAAAGUCCCCGAUCGCCGGUGUCUAUCGAACACGCGAUCAGAGGACUUAGUCCUGUACUAGCAACAAGUCCCUCAAUGACAGGGACAGGCCUGCCUAAAUUGUGGACCUUCCUCCCAUGAAAGGAUAGCUUCAAUUCAAGACAUUCCUGAAUUGAAGUAUAAAGGAACGCAAAAUUCGUUAAAAUCAUCCUUUAAAGGAAAACUAAUUACAAGUAACUAAAAUUAAAUAGUAUAAAUACCUCUCCCGUCCAUACGCUGCAAGCAACGUGAUCCGCAUACAGGGUCAACAUGGAUGGGUCGCUCGGGCCACCCGGAAAUCCCUCAUGCGCGUCCUCAACAGGCUUUGCGCCUGUGUCCGCAGGAAUGUCCUCUACAGCAACUGGUGCCUCCAUCGGUCAUCCUGAACAUCUGGCGCAGGGAUGACUGGCUCAUCGACGUGAUUCGCAGUCACAACGACUUGCUACCUCCAUACGGAUGCAGUAGGCCGUCGACGCUGCGGAGCAUCAUCGGAAUCAUCACGAUCUCCUCUGCCCACACCUCUGCCAAUAACCUGACCUAAGGCAUGACCUAAUCCUCUGGUCCUAACCAUGAUCUGCAAAUGAGUGACACAAAUUCAAUCACCCAUUUCAUUCACUCAAAUUUCAUUGGUCUAACGCAAAUUUCAUUGACUGAAAGUCGCGCAAGCUGUCAGGCUUUCAAGAAAGGCAUGUCAAGAAAGGCUACACAUGUUAGGCUUUUAUUGGGUUAGUUUUUAUUCAGUACACUAUAUGAUUGAAUGGAAAUUGAUUAUGGAUCCUAAUAUUAUUGAUAUUAGAUGAACAAAGCCAAAGAAAGAAGAAAUCAAUCUUCUUGAAAUGGAAGCAACUCCAUAUUGUUUCUUGAUGAUCCUUUAUUCCCUCUUGAUCCUUGGGUUUCUGGCUCAUGCUUUGUUCAUGAUCUUAUCCUUAGUCUUUAUAAAUUGUUUGUUUAUUGUAUCAUUUUUCAGUGAGGUGUGCAUGUUUUAAUAGGUUUUGUACACUUUUCUAACUCAUUGGGGGAAUAUGCUUCUAAUAACAAACAAAAUAAUUUGAAAUCAACAUGAGUGACUGGCAAAAAGGUUCUCAGUGGUUUGAAAUUAACCGAGAACUAGCUCUUAGGAUAGUUGAAGAUAAUACUUACUAUCCUAAGCUCAAAGGCUCUCACUAUUUUCAAACAAUGUUAACAAUUAAUACUCCUCAUCUUUUGGCAAAUAGAAGCCUCACUUAUGUGGACAGGUCAAGCUUUAUGCUUAUUCAUUUGGUUCAACCUAUAAUUUUUGGAGCAACUAGAUAAAGAAUGACCGAUCAACAUUCAAAACAGAAGACAACUUCUCAUAGAUUAUCCCAAUAAAAAAGCAAAAUCCCUUUCCUCUCAAAGAUAUACUAGCACUUCAUACAUUAACAUCUACUCCUUCUUCCUCUUGGAUUUGAACAACAUAUUCAAAAGUAUGUUCUUUGUUAAUUAACUAGUGAUAUUGAAGAUGAAGAUUCCUUAUCUAAACAAAUUGAUAAAAGUAAAAAAAAAACUAGCAAGAUCUUUUAGCCUAUCAUAGAGAAGCUAUGUAGAAUUGAAAGAAAAGAUGACUAAGUAUACCAAUGUCUGGACAACCUUCAAUAAGAGAGAAGGAAUUAUAUGUGAUGGGAUAAAGAAAAGUUUAACUAUCCACUAAAAAAGAAAGAAUGAGAGUUUAGAAAAGUUUCAACAGUUUAGGUGAAAUUGCUAGAUAGGUGUGACAUUAUAUAUUAUACUAAAAUGUCAUAAUCUUGGGUGAAAUUGCUAGAUAGUCUCAACAGUUUUAGAAUACCACCAAAUUUUGUUACAUUCCUACAAGACUUCUCAACUAAUUGAACUAUAAAAAAAGCAUAUCUUUGGCACUUGGGUACAGGCCUUACUUGGGAGCAGCCACAUUUUUGUUUAAAAUAUGUUUUUCUAUUUUGAAGCCUUAUAAUAGCAUGAAAUUGUCAGAAAAUGACAAUUUGUGGUGGCUUUAAAAAUCUUAAGAGAUCAAUUACAAAUAUUUUACAAGAUCAACGACACAAUUACUAUUUUUUUAGUUUAGAGACCUAAAUAAAAACUCCUAAAUAGUUGAGGGAAUUAAAUUAACCUUGAAUGAACAGAAACAAACAAUUUUUCACAUGGAUAUGUAAAUAAAAACACCAAAAUUCCUAAUUAAAAUGAAGCUAUGACUUUUACAGAUCAUCUGAUCCGUAAGCAUCUUCCGAAUCAAGUUGAUCCGGAAAAUGCUUACGGAUCAGGUGAUCCGUAAAGUAUGCACAGCAACUUUCCGUUUACACCAUGGCCGACAACAGUGGAAGCAACAAUGCAAGCAAUAACAAACAAGAAAAGGGACAAUGGAAGCUUACCUCGAUGAAGAACAGAAGAGUAGAAGCUCAUGGAAGAAUGGAAGAAGCGCACUCAAAGGAGGGAGAAGCAGUAGCUCGCGUUGGAGAAGAACAACCACCUCGCGGAAGAAUGAGGAAGGAGGAAGAAAGGGCCGCCGGCGGAAGAGUCUCACGGAAGGAGAAGAUGCUCGCAGAAAAGAAAGAAGAAGAAGAGUCUCACGGGAGGAGGGAAAGAAAGAAGAAGAGGCUUUUUUUAUAAAUAAAAAAAUAAGGGCAUUUGUGACUUUUUACAAUAAGUUCUGGGUGCACCAACACUAAUGCUGGGUGCACCUAGCAGCACUCUAACUAUUACUGGUUGACUGGAUGCCAUUAAUCUGUAGUCCAGUGUUGAAUUAUUGAAACAUGAAAAAUUAACAGAACAAGUUAUCGUUUUCAUCUAUAGAGUGCUCCAUUAAUCAGGAGUAUAAAAUUGUAGCCACAUAUUGACUGAUGCGGCCAGUUUAGAUCUUAUCCGUAUAUAUGAUGUGUCUCCACAAGCCAACUUUAAUUGCAUCAAACAUUGAUAGAUUACCUGAAGAAAUAAAUUAAUUUUUAGGUGAUCUUUUUAAAGGAAAACAUAAUUCUUCUCUCUUUUACUAUUAUUAUUAUUAUUAUUAUUAUUAUUAUUAUUAUUAUUAUUAUUAUUAUUAUUAUUAUUAUUAUUUAAUUUGCAUAUCACUUCAUCUAUGAUAAUGGUCUUUACGUUUAGGAUCGAUUAUCCAAACUCUAAUUUUUUGUCCUUUCUCUUUUCUACUUUACUCAAAGAAAAUAAUUCUUACACACUGAUUAAAUUAUGUACAUGCGCACCACAUUUCCAUACGCACACAUGCAUAAAUUAUAUAUGAUUAAUUAAUGACUAGCGCCACGUUUCCAUACACACCCAUGCACUAAGCGUCAUUCGGGUUUUCGUAAGCAAAAAUUGUCAUAAACCCUAUUUUGUGUGUUUUUUUUAUAAAAAUAAUUAAUCAUCGUACACCUCAACAUUAAGAGAAAUAAGAAGAAGAAAAAUAAAAAGAAAAAUAAAUUAAUUGACACAAGAUAAUGGGAUAAGAUAUGAAUAUAAAGAUAAAAAGAAAAUAGAUGAAAAUAAAAUGGGAGAGAAAGUAAAUACUGUAUAUGAUAAUAUAUAACUUCUUUUUUCAAGAUAUAUAUGAAUGGCCUGGUAAGAUUUAUUUUUUGUUGGUUUACAUUAGUAGCACAUUCUGGCUAGAGGAACAUUGUGGUCGCCAACGUCUGAAUCAAGUGGACUGGAAAAGCAUGGAACACGUUUUCAAGUGGUGGUAAUUAAGAAUCUGAUUAGGAAACCAAAGUUAAUGUUGUGCUGAUAACUAUUUCAUGCACUAUGAAACACCAUGUUAAUUAAAACACCACUAUAAAUUAGUUGUAGUUGCCACUUCCUUUGCUGCAAACUAAACCAAUUUGCUUUGUCUAUGUAACAAACACUUCAACAAAGCUACUCUAAAUCCAAUUUACAAGAUGAAUUCCUUUAGCCAAAACCACUAUUUAAUUUUGUUCCUUGUUCUCGCUGUGUGGACAUCCCACGUAAUGUCUCGCAGGUUGUCUGAGGCCUGCACAUCAGAGAGACAUGAGAAGUGGAUGGCACAGUAUGGUAGGGUUUACAAGGAUGCUGCUGAGAAGGAGAAACGUUUCCAAGUAUUCAAAAACAAUGUGCACUUCAUUGAGUCUUUCAAUGCUGCUGGGGACAAACCUUUCAACCUUAGCAUUAACCAAUUUGCGGACCUUAAUGAUGAAGAAUUUAAGGCUUUACUAAUUAAUGUUCAGAAAAAAGCAAGUUGGGUGGAGACAUCAACAGAAACAUCAUUUAGGUAUGAGAGUGUAACUAAGAUUCCUGCUACCAUUGACCGGAGGAAAAGAGGUGCUGUCACUCCAAUCAAGGACCAAGGCAGAUGCGGUAUUCCUCUUCUCAUUUUAUUUAUCACUUAUGGAAUAUUUUUGUUUCAAAAUAUUUGUCGCUUUAGAAUAUGAAAAAAAAUAUUUUUUUUCUUCUGAUACUUUUAGACUUAAAUUAUUAUUUUUUAUUCUGACAUAUGACCAAUUCUUGUAUGGUUUUCAAUAAACUUUUUAAACUUUUUUUUCCUACUAAAAUUUAAUUAGAUAACACUUUGGGAAGUAAUUUGGGUAGCUCUUGAGGGAUUAUAAACAAAACAAAACUUUAUCAGAGAUUAAGGAUAUAAAACAAAAUUGUUGGAACCAAAAUUGAUCAUUUAGAAAUACAAAAUAUAUUUAAGUCAUGCUUUUCAGAAAUAAAUUCACUAGUAUGUUCUGUCAAAAAACAUUCACUAGUAUGUGUAUAAUGUAAUUAAUUAUUUAGUUAGAUAAGGUUAUAUUAUCACAAAACUUAAUAAUUAUUUAUUUUCUCAAGAUGUGUGCAUUACUUUAAAUAACAAAUAAAAUGAGAGGGAAAUGGAGGGUAAACCAAAUAUCUUAUAUUAUGACAAUAACAUUGUGAUUCUUCUUUCCAUGCUCAAACACUUUAAUAAUAUUCCAUUGUUUCAUUAGAAUCUAACUAUGCUAAAAUAUCAACUCUCUUUUUUGUUUGUGAAAACAGGUAGUUGUUGGGCAUUUUCAGCCGUGGCUGCGACCGAGGGUAUCCACCAAAUUACAACGGGUAAGUUGGUGCCUCUCUCUGAGCAAGAACUGGUUGAUUGUGUUAAAGGUGAGAGCGAAGGAUGCAUUGGUGGUUACGUGGAUGAUGCCUUUGAAUUUAUUGCCAAGAAAGGAGGAAUAGCAAGUGAAACACACUACCCCUACAAAGGAGUUAACAAGACUUGUAAGGUUAAGAAGGAAACUCAUGGUGUGGCUGAGAUUAAAGGGUAUGAGAAAGUUCCUUCCAAUAAUGAAAAGGCACUUCUAAAAGCUGUGGCAAAUCAACCAGUGUCAGUUUACAUCGAUGCUGGAACACAUGCUUUCAAAUAUUACUCAAGUGGGAUUUUUAAUGCAAGAAAUUGUGGAACUGAUCCAAAUCAUGCUGUUGCGGUAGUUGGUUAUGGAAAAGCUCUUGAUGAUUCUAAGUAUUGGCUUGUAAAGAAUUCAUGGGGCACCGAAUGGGGUGAGAGAGGGUAUAUAAGGAUCAAGCGAGAUAUACGUGCCAAGGAAGGUUUAUGUGGAAUUGCUAAGUAUCCCUAUUAUCCAAUUGCUUGAGUACUGCUAUCAAUCAAUAUAUAAUAAGAUGCUUUUGUUUUAUCUUAAUUAAGAUGCAUGUGUAAACGUUUAAUUUCUACUAAAUAUAUAAUAUUUUGUUUUCUUUUAUUGUUGUUUAUUAGUAUAUUUAUAAAUGUUAUUGUGUUACAAAGUUGGAAGGGAUACAGAGUCUAACGUCUAAUGCAUGGACUCCGCAAAUUCGUGGUCUUUAUUGACAUAGGAUAUAAUAUUAUGAUUUUUUAUGUAAUAUUUUUUUUUAUGGAGAUAAUUUUGUUCAAGAUGGAUACGUAAGACAAUUAUUUAUAAACAGUAAAAUUCUUUUUUUUCUAAUACUUAAUACAACUACAUAUGCAAGAUUUUAAUAAUCUAUAUAAUACUAAAUAAUGUAACCUGUGAAAUCAUUCCAUUUUAACUACAGAACCAGUCAUAAUUCGUAUUAGAACCAUUGCCAACUUUUCUAAUAAUAUUAGAAGCAAACCAGUUUUGUGGGUAACAUGAAACUGUAUUGAGCUAUGAGAUGUCUCUCCACCAUAUCGACAAAAAGCUAAUAUCAAAGAGAAGCAGAUUUUUAAAAAGAUGAGUCCAUAUUUAUGCCAUACACAUUACUUUUAGCAUAGGGUUGGGCACUUUGUAUGUUUGAGAUCCUGAGAAAAAGGAGUCAAGACGUGUGUGAUGGCUUUGGAUGCUUUUAGACUAAUCUUUCAUUGUUUCUCCAUCAAGAGCUUCUCUCCCAUGGGAGCAACUAAUUUCUCUUUUGUUGAGGUUUAAUGUAAUUUCUAUCUUAAUUUUAUUCAAUAAAGCAUUGUUAUUGUUCUUCUUCUAUGCCUAAUGCUUGCUUUUGGUUUUAUCACCAUUUUACAUGAUUCUAUUCAUUUAAUUAUAAUUGAGAAAUUCUUUUGAAUUGUAAAAUGAAGGAAACACCCAAUAAUUUUUAUGUCUAGGGAUAGGAUAAAAAGUAUUUGAGAUCAAUAAACCUUUUUUCUUAAUCCAAAUUGUUUGGUUGUGCUUUAUGUCCUUCCACUUACAAUAUGUUUGGAUAGAAGAAUUAAAAUGGAAAAAGUAAUUAUCCAAAGGAUUUAAAAUCCCCCCGCCCUCCCCUAAAUAAUUUGUUUGGAUGCUCAUUUAGAAGAAAUUUAAACUUUAAGCAUUUUAAAAUGGAAUUUGUUUUUAACUAUAAAAUUAGAAUUUUAAAUUCUUUUAAAGAUGAAGGGAUUCUAAAAUUCCUAGUGGCUUUCAUAGAGGUGGAUGCUUGCUCGCUCUCAGAGUCGUGUUGUUCGCACUCACUCUCACAUGAGAAGUGGAUGGCACAACAUGGUAAAGUUUACAAGGAUGCAGCUGAGAAGGAAAGAUGUUUACAAAUAUUCGAAAACAACAUGGAGUUCAUCGAGUCUUUCGAUGUUGUUGGCACUACUAGAAAAGCAUUUUUCUACGAUAGUUAUUUUGGACAUUUUACGUCGGUAAUUAAUCGUCGUUGUAGCUAAUGUCAUAGAAAGUAAAGACUUUCUCCGACGGUUUCCUAAAAAAUCGUCUUAGAAAAAAAUAUCCUUUCAAGAUGGUUCUUAGUCGAGAACUGUCUUAGAAUGAUAAACUUUCUAAGACGAUUUUUCAAAGAACCUCCUUAAAAUGUAUUUUUUUAUAAAAAAAAAUCAACAAAAUAUAUUGAGGAUUCUAAGACGGUUUUUUAGAAAACCGCUUUAGAAUGUAAACAUUCUAAGACAUUUUUUUAGAGAACCGUCUUAGAAUGUAUUUUUAAAAAAAUUAAAAUUAAAAUUAAAUAUAUUGUUGAUUCUAAAUCUUAAAAUGUAGAAAUUCUCAGAUGAUUUUUCAAAGAACCGUCUUAGAAUGUAUUUUUUUUAAAAAAAAUAUUGAGGAUUCUAAGACGGUUAUGAUUUUUCAACUAACCGUCUUAGAAUGUAUUAUUUUUUAAAAAAAAUAAUUUAAAAAGCCAUUACAAAUAAAUAAAAAAUUAAACUUUGAGAAAAAAAACCAGUCAUUGUGAUAGUCAGAUACACCAACAGUGUAAAAGAGAUCAUGGUUUGAAUAUAGUUUAGUGUAACGUUCCCACAAGCCGUAUUGCCUAAACUUGUCAUAGAAGGAAUAGUUUGAGAAAAUGAAAAAAGAGCAUAUUAAUAGAAGAUUGAAAACAUUAAUUGUUGAAAAUGGGUUUUGGGCUAACUUGUCUUGGCUAUCGUUCUGGAAUAAUCUGUUUGUGAACUUGAGGUUAGGGCCUGGUAUAUAGAACUCCGCAGCUGAGCAAUCUGGGAUCCCAAUUUCCCAUAGAGUAAGACCAUUUCUUGGAGGGUUAUAACCAAGUGAAUUCAAGUUGAUGUUGCACCCUAAAGGUACAUUAUAUACAAGUCAUUGUCUAAUGACGCAAGCUAUAAACUAAAUUUUUAAAAAGUUCAAAUAAUUAUAACUGCAAAAGCUCAAAUAGUUUAAUAUUUAAAUAGUUCAUGAUUAAACAUUUAACAAUGCACGAGUUUGUAAUUUAUAGUAUUAUAUCCUGAUCAUGAUAUGAUGCCAAUAAAAAUGGAACUGAUCAUGACAGCUAAUUAGUCACAUAGUUCUAAUUCCAUGUCAUGAAUCAAUUACUCAAAAAGCUGAAGUUGUUGCAUAUAUAAAAGCACAUAAACUACUUUAUAUUUAACAGGAGAGACGAAGAUAUUUUAGUUGGUUUGAUGGUAAUUUUAGUUUGAUAUCUAUAAUCUCCAAUAAAACCCGAAACCCAUGCAUACAAGUUGUAAUCCCCGGUACAAUAUUUUAAAUCAAGAAAGUGUCCAUCUUUGUCCGCUUGAAUCCAGAAUUGAUAACCCUAUGAAUGACACAUAUAAUUCAAAUUUCAAAACCUUUUUAGCUUAAUGUGUCACUAGCCCUUGAAACUUGAAAUUUCAAGAAAAUAAAUUCAAUUGACUCCUAACCAAAUGCACCUUGCUUUCUCUAUGCCAUGAUCCUGCAUCUCCAGGCAAAGCUAGACCAACAUAAGCAUUGUUAGCAAGUUGAGCUCUCUUUCCCCUAAUAAACAAGUUAAAGGAUGGAAUUUAUUAGCUUGUUUCUAUAUAAGUUGAUACUAUGUAAUCAAAGAAUAAAAUGAAGGUAAAUAAAGCAUAUGCAUAUACCCAUCUAGGACUAGUAGUCGUCCAGUCACUGUUCCCCGUUGAUUGGGUGGAAGGAAACUGAGAUGAAUUGGCAUAUGCUAUUAAGAAGGUAGUUAGGGACAAAUGGAGUGACGAGUUGAGCAGUGCUUGGGAAGUAGCCUAUGAUGAAUUGGCAGCAGCUAUUAAGAAGGCAUUUUAGGAUCUAUAAUUGUCGUAAAGUGUAAUAAAUAAAUAUUAUUUCACUAAAACUUGUUAUUAAACAAGCUCUCAAUAUAAAUGUUUGUUAAAAUAAGUAAAUUAUAUGGUAUUGGAUAAACAAUCUUAAGUUUUAUAUUUCCAUAGAUUUAUGUUUGUGAAUCAUGCAUAAUCGAUCCUUUAUACAAAUAAGUUCAAAAUAACUUAUAUGUUUUAUAGUUAUUUUACCCAUACAAAUUCAAAUAAGCUUCACUAAAUGGGAUAGAUGUUUUUCUACGAAAAAAAUAAAAUUAAGUAACAGUAAAAUGCUUUAGAAAUAGUUAUUGUGGUAAAUAAGUUCAAAUACAUUGAAAAUAUUUGUAAGAAUAGUAAGAGCAAGAGGGGGAUUAGUACUCAAAAACUGACAUGCAACAGGAAUGUUAUCAACAAUCAAUCAACUAUUACCACAUACAAAUACUAAAACUAAUGAGAAAUUAGAAGCUCAAUUACAUUGCACAAUAUACUAAAAUCACAAUAUAACAAUUUAUCACGUGUAAAUAUAGGGGAACGGAUUGCUGAGAAAUUUAGAAAGAUAUUCAAGGUCCACCUUUGUUAUACAUUUCCACUACUAAUGAAAGAACAUUGCUACGCAAAUGCCUUAUAGAUAAAAAAAUAUUUACCCUUCUCAAUACUCAUUUACAGCAAAAUCACACUCUUUAAGCUAAUUGAUUGAUUAAACUGGUAUAGAAUUAUAAAUAAAUUAAUAAAAUGAGAUCAAUUCAAACAAAGUGAAGUUGUUUUAGUAGUGGAAUAAUAAGGUGGGCUGAAUAAAGUUUUGGAUAAAUUAUCCUGACCUGCCUAUUUGAAAUAUGGGAUUUAUUAUUUUUUUAGUACUAAAUUUUUUUUAGAAUUUUUAUAUUUGAAUCCAAAUUUUUAAGAUUUUUAGUUUUAUUUAUUGAUUUUUUUUUAAGUUUGACAUGCUAUUUGUUAAACUUUUUUCAAGGUGUGACACUUUUUUUAAGGCAUAACAAAGAUAAAUUCCAGGAGAGAUUGGAUUUCAAAUUCUAUGAUUCCGAGAGGAAUUGGCAUAUGCAUAAACCACAGGCGAGUGUAGUUAAGGGUAAUAAGUAUAUGCCUGUUCUACAGCAUCUGACCAAAGAGACCCAAAUUGAGAUUUGCUGGGAACAGAGUUAAGGUACACAAAACUGGGCCAAAGAGUUACCUCUCCCUUAAAUUGUGGCUCAGAUGCAUAGGUUAAAAGAACAGCUUCAGGAUACGCUGAUAUGUGUUUUCAAACUGUAGAAAAAAUUAAGGUUUGGAACAACAAAGAAGUUCAUUCCAUAAAUACCAGUUGAAGGAUCAUACUUGAAGUAGAGUCAACAAUCAAGGACCAAUAUGUGUAAAUUGAAAUCUUCAUAAUCAAAGAAAAUGAAAACAUCAUCAAACAUGAGGCGAAUGAAUCCGAGAGGAAUGAAUCCAAGAGUGAGACUCGACAAUGUCAUUUAAAGACAACAUGUAAUUUGCAAAGCCAAUAAAAUCAAUUAGACAUACCAUCUCGCCUAAGACUAAUUGACAAAUCAUCCUAACUAAUGCAAGUCCUGCUUCCUCAAAAUCAUCAAAACACUACUAGAAAAUAAGGUUUUUAUAUCGGUUAUUUAAGACUUUCAACAUCGGUUAUUAACCGAUGUUGAAAGUAGCAUCAUUAACAUCAAUUUUGAAAAACUGAUGUUAACUAAUAAAUACAACAUCGGUUAUUUAAAAAACCGAUGUUGUUAGUAACAUUUAACAUCGGUUUUUUAAAAAAACGAUGUUGUUUUAGAACUUUUUUUAAUAUGUUAUCUAUUUUUUCAAUAAACCCAAAAUUAACCUGCAAAUUUUAAAACCAGAUCACACAAAAUAUAAUUUUCAUUCUGUUUUGAAACAGUUUUUACCCGAAAUUCCAUGAGAAAUUUACUAAUUACUAUGAAUUUAAAGCAUAUUUAAUGUUGAAACAUAAAUUUUAAAAACUGUAAAGUAAGUAAAUAUAAACUAUAAUUACAAAAUUGUCUAAACAUCCUAAGUUUCAUUUUUAACUAUCAAAUAGUAUUUUGCCCAUUGGAUGCAAAGCGCCUUCAAUCUCUCUGGUUCCAAGUUGGCCAACAUCAUCACACGGAAGCUUAGGUCGUAGCUUACCCUCCACAACUUCCAUGACAAUCUAAUAAUAUAGCAUCAAACAUUUUAUUUCAUGAUAAUCAAGAUCAAGUGACAUUUCAGAUUGCUAUACAAUUGAGAUUAGAAUUGAACUACUUAAUUAAACAUUUACAUAACAAUUUAACAAAAUUAACUAGGCAACUCAAGAUUAGUGUGAUGAUCAUAUAUACCUUGGUGGGACCAUAUUUUGUCUCAACAUAUGGGUAAUUUCCAGUUAAAAGCUUGUUCAAUAUAACCCCAUACUGUACACAUCACACUUUUCAUUAUAAGGUUCACAUCGGAUCACCUCUGGUGCCAUGUACACACAAAAUCAAUAUCAUUACAUGCCAUGUUUUGAGAAAAUGAAAGUUAACACCAUUCAAGUUUAUCUCAUUUAAUACUCUUCUAAAUUUUAAAAAUACAAAAUCAAUAUCUUACAACCUCUUACGCUAAAUCUCUAGUUACUUAAUUUUAUCAAUUCACGCUAAUUAGAAAAAGGCUCAAUUGAUAGGAUUCAUAAUCAACACAAGAGCAUAUCAAUUUCACAGCAAUUUCUGAUUGUGACAUCAACUGGUUCAUCAAACAUAUAUAAUUCAGUUAUAAUUAUAAGGAUAAAAUAAAAAAUUACAGAAACACCCCAAAACUCAUUCCAAUUGAUACUUUAAGGAUCCCUACACAUGUUCUCACUAACCUCAAUUGUGAAUAACUCAUUCAUUAUCUCGAUAUAGUCACUCAAGAGUUCUCCGUUAUCAAUUGUGGCAUUUUUGGUGCUCUCUAAAGCUCCUCCUCCAGUUGCUCUCUUAGGGUUCUUAAACAUUAGAGAGAAGGAGAAGGGAUUGAAACCUCCAUUUGUAUUGUCUUCGUGCGAUUCCUUUUUCUCUUUCCAUGAAUAUUAUCUCGCAAAUCCCAACGGUGUAGGUGGUUUGCAAUUGAACCACGAACCACAUAUCAAAAUUUCAUGACAAUCCAACGGUUAACAAAACCGGGAUCAUAGUUUUACUGGGACGGUUUUGGGUUUCUGUGGGAAAAGAAAAGGCUAUGACGCGAAGUGUAAUUCUCUCAGCUCUGAUAUCUUUUCGUGAUUCCCAAUGGUGAGAAUUCUUGGAAUUGAGUUGCAAACUUAGUGUUUAAAUUUCAUGACGAUCCAACGGUGAAUAAGUCCAAGAUCGUCAUUUUUUCUAAAAUAGGUUUGGUGGUAUGCGGGAAAAAGAGAGGGUUUUGGGAGGAAGAGAGGAAAAACGAAAUUGAGAAAAAGAUGAGACACAUGUAAAACUGACCUAACACGAUUUAUUUUUAUAGAGAGGGUCUGGUGUGUUUAUAUUUUUAUUACAUUAAAUUUAAUAUUACGACAUCGGUUUUCAAAUAAUCGAUGUUAAAAUAAUUCAGUUUUAGCAUCGGUUAUUUGAAAACUGAUGUUGUAAGUGCUUAACAACAUCGAUUUUCAAAUAACCGAUGUUAAAAUCACACUAAAUUCAAUUUUUAACAUCAACUUUCAAAUAACCAAUGUUAAUAGGAUGAUGUUAAAACUCAUUUUUUUAGUAGUGAAAACAGAUUUCAUAUAAGCGCCAAAGUCCAAAACAACAAAAGAAAAUUUUGAAACUACCAUAUUUAUAAACUAGUUAGCAUUUGGUUCAAGUCAAAAGUGGAAUGCAAUAUAAAGGUAAUACCGAGGUGCUCAAUAUUCUAUCAUACUAAUCUUUGAUUUCAUACAAAGCAUGAAUAUUCACAUUAAAUUUAAAGUGUGACAUACAAUAGGCAUUAUGUGCAAUUUCCUCAUAUAACUUGCAUCAAUACAACAAAGAAAGCAUGUUCAACUCAGAACCACUCAGACCCUAUAAAUAGCCAUCCCUCUUAUCUUGUUCCUCCGCUUCCUUGUUAGCAGCUUGAACGGAAUUGAACCAUAGAAAAGCCUAAAGAAUUAAGCAUUAAGAAAUCACCACUAAUCAAUAAGUUAUUACUAUUAAUGCUAAUUGAUUUCCUUAAUUUUACUUUGGGCUUCUCAAUCUGAACAUAGAUGGAUAAUAAUUACUAACGAGGGAAUGCCGGUGAAGACAAAAAAACCAAGCAAGUGAGCAUAAAACAGGCUGUCAGAGCUUAAUACUCCAAAAAUAGGCUUUUGAUUCACAUAUUCAAAAAUGGAACCUAUCUGUGGAAGCAAAAGAUAAAUAAUACAAAAUACAUAUGAGUGAAAAGUAGGAAACAAUCAAAAAGAAAAACAACUAUAUUAAUUAGUAAUAAGAUGCUGGUUAGUUAUAGCGGCAAUUGCAGUGAUAGCAGAGGCAAGCAAAUAAGCAUAGAAUGGGAUCUCAAAUCCUUCUUGUUACGAACUGUUGUUGUUGGGCUUGUCUUGGGCCCAUGGCGGUGGUUCAUCAGAGUCCGAUUUGGCCCACGAAGGGAUUUUUUCAUCAGACUUGCUUGAUUCAGCAGAGCCUUGAGUCACAACAACCACAACUAAUAUGUAUGGUGUUUUCCUUUUUCUCUGAUUGUUCUUAGGAACUCCCAAAAAUGUUGUAGGGUGUGAUACAUGUUGAUUUUGCACUGCACCUGCACACGACAAUGUUAAGAAGUUGUUGCAACCCCCACUCACUUCAAUUGGUGGAACCUUAAUACAGUACGGCCAGCUUGAAGGGAGAGGUUUAGGGUUUGGAGAAUUAAAUUGGGGGCUGGAAUGAUGUGGGAGAAGCUCAUGUUGAGGCGCUGCGAGACAGAGAGAGCGUCUGAGUCUGGCUCUUUGAGAAGCUCUAAGGAGAGAGAGCUAGCAAUCUUAUCCAUUUAGGUUUUUGAUGAGAAAUGUCUUGUUAUGAAGAACGAAGGAGUGAAGAGAGUUCAAGAAUAGAAAUGGGAAGAGGAAUGUCAAGGAAACAGAGGAGGGUGAUGAAUUGGAGAGGGAGAUGUGAAUGUUAAGGAACGAGAACGGAGUAAGAGCCUUCGAAGUUGCAAAGACACUAAUGACGGCAUGAUUAGGGUUCUUCUUAGGAGUCCCACAGGAAAAAGAGAAAUAUAAUAUAUAUAUAUAUAGGUACAAAAUAUUUUAAGAUGGCUUUUACAAGACCGUCUUAGAAUGACAACUUUCUAAGGCGAUUUUUGUAAAAUCGUCAUAAAGUUGUUGCAUUUAAUUUCAAAAAUGUCAUCGUAUUCUUUCUAAGUCAGUUUUUUAUCGAUCGACGUAAAAGCAACGUCGUAAAAAAUGAUUUUUGUAGUAGUGUGGGGACAAAUCUUUCAACCUCAGCACUAACCAAUUUGCGGAUCUUCAUGAUGAAGAGUUUAAGGCUUUACUAACUAAUGGUCACAAGAAGGAACAUAGCUUGUGGACAACAACAGAAACAUUGUUUAGGUAUGACAAUGUUACUAAGAUCCCAGCUAGCAUGGACUGGAGGAAAAGAGGUGUUGUCACUCCAAUCAAGGACCAAGGCAAAUGUUGUAAGAAUAUGUUUUCUACGUUCACCGAUCAGUUCAGUUAUAUUAAAUUUGUGUUUCAUUAAAAAAUGUGUUGAUACCAACUUGUUUUUGUUUGUAAAAGCAGUAAGUUGUUGGGCUUUUUCAACUGUGCGUGGCUACAAUUGAAGGUCUCCAUCAAAUAAUUACAAGUGAAUUGGUGCCCCUAUCAGAGCAAGAACUAGUUGAUUUUGUGAAAGGUGAGAGUGAAGGAUGCUAUGGUGAUUAUGUGGAAGAUGCAUUUAAAUUUAUUACCAAGAAAGGUAGAAUAGAAAGUGAAACACACUACCCCUACAAAGGAGUUAACAACACUUGUAAGGUUAAGAAGGAAACUCAUGGUGUAGCUCAAAUUAAAGGGUACAAGAAAGUUCCUUCAAAAAGUGAAAACGCACUCCUAAAAGCUGUGGCAAAUCAACUUGUGUCAGUUAGUGUUGAAGCUAGAGAUUCUGCUUUCCAAUUUUAUUCAAGUGGGAUUUUUACAGGGAAGUGUGGAACUGAUACAGAUCAUCGUGUUGCACUAGCUAGUUAUGGAGAAUCUGGUGAUGGUACUAAGUAUUGGCUUGCAAAGAAUUCAUGGGGAACUGAAUGGGGUGAGAAAGGAUAUAUAAGGAUCAAGUGAGAUAUACCUGCCAAAGAAGGUUUAUGUGGAAUUGCUAAGUAUCCCUAUUAUCCAAUUGCUUGAGUAUUGCUAUCAAUCUAUAUAUAUGAAAAUCUGAAAGUUCAAUUAGUUAAGUAUAUGCACGUAAUAUCUGUAACCACCUUUUUAAUUUCUAGCCAGUAUUUGCACCUACGUAGUGCUCUUAAUAAGAUGUUUGUGUUUGAUCUCAUGAUGUUGUAAGGGUAUUAUCAAGGAGGAAUUAACUUUUUCAAGGUACUUCUGUUCAAUAUAGAUUGCAUCUGCUGAUUUGAACUUGUUAUUGGAUGCACUUUAUUAUUUUUUGUUGUAAUAUAGUUUGACAACCUAGAUUAAUUUAUGAUGAUCCAGACGUUGUUACCCUUACUAGAAGCAGCCAAGAAGCAGCAAACCAGAUAAACCGAAAAGAUACUCACUGGGAGGGUGAGUCUAUUAUUAUAUCUACAAAAAAAUUUAGUUGUUACCAAAAAGAAAUUCACUUGGAGGAAUGCAAGGUGCUUCAGUCAAAAUACAGGUUAUGGUUACACUUUUAGUUUCUUUGCCUACAUAAAUUACCAAAAUUCUGAGACCUGGCCAUAUUGCCUGCAAUAUUCUGUUCGACAUUUGCAAUUAGUUUAUUGGAACCUUGAUUAAUGUAUAUCUGACUCAAUUUAUAAAAUUUAAAAAAGUAAUAAGCUUCUAAGUUAGCCUCAUCUAUGCUGAAGAGGGAUCCCCUUACUUUGGCCUCAGUUAUCUUUUUUGUGACUUUUCCUCUGUUCCAUUGGCAUUACUCUAUUUUACAUCAUUGGAUUUUUCAUACCCAAUGUGAUGAGUAUUUUAUAUUUGAUUUUUCUAUUAUUAAAAUCAUAUGUGUAGGCUGCAGAGAGGCUCAUUUGAAGUGAAGUACUCGAAACAUAGCAUGCUAGUUCAAGCUUCAGUGAAAUGUUCUUUUGAUUUUUUUACUUCCUUCAUAAUCUUGUAAUAAUUUCUUCAUUGAAACAGAAUCUUUUUAUUGAAAAAUAUUCCUACAUAUUGGCCUAAUUCUGUAAAACCUUGCUAGUUGAAGCUAUAUAAUAAUCAGUCUUUAGCGGCAUUCACCUAUAUUGCCGGUAAAAGAAACCGCAGUAUAAAAUACGCUGGUUUAAUUUAAUUGCAACUAGAUAUUUUAGCAGCCAUAUGUAUUGCCGCUAGCCGAAAGGUACUUCUGGUAUUGCGAUCAUGGACUGCAAAUUUGUGUCCAUCGUAGUCUUUUAACAUGCAUAUAAUAUUAAAAAAAAUGCAAUAUUAAUUUUAAGGAGGUGAUUUUGUUCAAGACAGUGAAGAUCACUGUAGAUAAAACUCUCUCUAACUCUUCACCCCAAUCCAAGUCACAUAUGAUGGCUUCUUCAUAUAUUUUUAUCCUAAUCCCAUUUCUCGUCUUCUUGGAAUACAACAUCCUUUCUUAUUAUGAUUCUAUGUGAAUUUGUGGGACCCCACUACUUGCAAGAUUGUUGUUAGCACGGAUGUAGUCUUUGCAGAAAAUGAACUACAAAGUGACCACACUAGUGCAAAAUAGGGAUUUAACAUAGCACUACGUCUCCACCCACUCUUAUUCAACACACACAUAUUCUCUCCAUAGACAAACAUGAUACAGAAAUUCCUUCUUUCUUAUCUCUUAUUUUAGCUUCGAGUUAUUAUCUUUCAUCAAAAGCAAGAGUAUUUUAACCGAGUGAGUCCAACAAAUUAGCAUGGCACACUUCGUUCAGUAAGAAUCUGAUUAGAAUUGAAAGUUAAAGGUUAAUUGUGAUCACUAGCUACUAUUUGGUGCACUGUGAAAAAUAAACACAUGUUGAUGAACUUGAAAAGAGCCCCUUGUUCACUAUAAAUUAGUUGUGGUAGUUUCCACUGCCUUAGCUGCAAACUAAACCAAUUUUCUUCGUCUGUGUAACAAACACUUCAACAAUCUACUCUAUACCCGAUUUACAAGAUGAGUUCAUUUAGCCAAAAUCCCUAUGUUUUAGUUCUGUUCCUCGUUCUCACUGUGUGGAUAUCCCGUGUAAUGUCUCGCGGGCUCAUUACAUCUGAGAGACAUGAGAAAUGGAUGGCACAAUAUGGUAAGGUUUACAAGGAUGCUGCAGAGAAGGAGAAACGUUUCCAAGUAUUCAAAAACAAUGUGCAGUUCAUUGAGUCAUUCAAUGCUGCUGGGGACAAACCUUUCAACCUUAGCAUUAACCAAUUUGCGGACCUUCAUGAUGAAGAAUUUAAGGCUUUACUAAACAAUGUUCAGAAAAAGGCAAGUAGGGUGGAGACAGCAACAGAAACAUCGUUUAGGUAUGAGAAUGUAACUAAGAUUCCUUCUACCAUGGACUGGAGGAAAAGAGGUGCUGUCACUCCAAUCAAGGACCAAGGCUACACAUGUGGUAAGAUUCUAUUUUAAUUCCACGUUCAUCAGUUGAAUUAUAAGAAAUUCUAUUGAUCGAGCAACUCUUCCUCUUUCAUUCCUUUAGCGUACUCAAACUCAUUUAACUAUUGGCCUAGCUAGCAUCAAAGUUCUUAGAUUUCUAAGGGUACCAUAGAAAUAUUUCUCCAGUUAUAUUCUAUUGGUGUUUAAUUUAUAAAGAAUGUGCAAUAUUGUGCUAAUAUCAACUUGGUUUUGUUUGUGGAAACAGGAAGUUGUUGGGCAUUUGCAACUGUGGCUACUGUCGAGAGUCUCCAUCAAAUAACUACAGGUGAAUUGGUGUCCCUAUCAGAGCAAGAACUAGUAGAUUGUGUUAGAGGUGACAGUGAAGGUUGCCGUGGUGGUUAUGUGGAAAAUGCCUUUGAAUUUAUUGCUAAUAAAGGUGGAAUAACAAGUGAAGCAUACUAUCCUUACAAAGGAAAAGAUAGAAGUUGUAAGGUUAAGAAGGAGACUCAUGGUGUGGCACGGAUUAUAGGGUAUGAGAGUGUUCCUUCUAAUAGUGAAAAGGCACUCCUAAAAGCUGUGGCAAAUCAACCAGUUUCAGUUUAUAUUGAUGCAGGAGCAAUUGCUUUCAAAUUUUACUCAAGUGGGAUUUUUGAAGCAAGAAAUUGUGGAACUCAUCUAGACCAUGCUGUUGCAGUUGUUGGUUAUGGUAAACUUCGUGAUGGUACAAAGUAUUGGCUAGUAAAAAAUUCAUGGAGCACUGCAUGGGGUGAGAAAGGGUACAUGAGGAUCAAGCGAGACAUACGUGCCAAGAAAGGCUUAUGUGGAAUUGCUUCAAAUGCCUCUUAUCCAAUCGCUUAAUAAGUGUUCUUGAUAAUUCAUAUAAAUCUGAAAAGGUCAUUAUAAUCGUAUAUAUGCACGCAUCUACCAAAAAAUAAAUAAUCGUAUAUGCACGCAUAGGUUGUGCUAGUACUAAAAUUGCGUGUAAACUUUUAUUUCAACCAUAUAUAAUGAGAAUAAGAUAUUGCUAGUAUGAAUAUUCUGAAUUCUCGUAUUACUUUUCUACUAGUCAAUAGAUCCAUGCAUUCAAUUGUUAUAUACUCACGCCUAUCUUCCUGUCAAAUAUUUGUAUCUUCUGCGCUAUAUUGAAUUUGAAAGGUAAGUAACUAAGUAUAUAAGGCUUUAUCUAGCUCAUUUUUACUUUUCUUAAUUUUUCACGUUUGACAAUUGGCAAGGAUGAUGCUACCCCGAGUAAGGUGGGUUCUAAGUGAAUCAGCUCACUUUUUUCUUAUAAAUUUAUAAUUAAGGUGGAUUGAUUUUUAUCAAUACAACUUACUCAAAUUUAUGAUAAGCAAAGUUAUCAAAGGAGAAUUUAAGUCUGUUAUAGUAUGUGUGAAUUAUUAUAAACUUUCUAAUAUUUGUUUUUCAUCUUUACAUAUAAAAAAAUUAUAGCUGGCCAAGUUGGCGGAUUACAACAUACUUUAACAGCUCAAAGUUGUAAGGAUUAUGGUGUAAUUAAUUAGGGCAAUGCAUUUUCAAAUAUCUUUUGACCGCAAAUAUUUAUUGAUCACUCUUAAUUACCAGGUUGGACUAACAACAUUUCUUACUUUUGAAAGUUAUACAUAACUGGUUUACCUUUCUCCUUCAGCCCUUAGUUUAAUUUUGUCUCAAACAGACUUUACCUGGCCUUUGGCUUUUAAUUAUGGGGGAUAAUUUGGUAGUAUUAUAUAGGCCAUCGCUUUCUUUGGCUCAUUCAAGGUUCCUAUAUUUAGGUUUAUUCCUUUUGGUAUCAAAAGUUUAGAAGUGAUUCUUGUAAGGAAAAUAUUUAAUAGACACAUCAAAUGUUAACUAACACCUAAAGAGAGAAAUAAAAAAUAAUAUAUAUAUAUAUAUAUAUAUAUAUAUAUAUAUAUAUAUAUGAUUGAAUAGUUUAGGUUUAAAUAUAUUUUUUGUUUUUAUAAUUUAGCAAUUUUUGUUUAUCGUCCUUGAAAAAAAUUUAUUUUUGCUUUAGAUCCUACAAAUUAUAUUUAUUUUAUUUUUCUUUCUUAACGUUCUUUACAUAAUGUUUUUUUACUAUUUAAAGUGUUAUUUAAAACAUUUUAAAGAAGAAAAACAAGACAAACACAUUUUGAAAGGACUAAAAAAAAAAAUUAUAAAGAUCAAAAUGAAAAAAAAAAACACUAAAUUACGUGAAUGAAAAAAAUAUUUAAACUUAAAAUUUAUGAUGUAAUAGAAAAAAAAUACAAAAAGAAAUAAGAAGUUGGUGGAAUGUUUAAAAUAAAAAAUGAUUCACUCAUCAUUAUUCUUCUUGUAAUCUUUGGGUUAGGCUAUCAUAUUGAUGUAAGAUGGAAAAUUGACUGUUUUGCAAUGGGAAGAAUUUCUUUUUUAAAGUAUUGUUAAAUAUAAAUAAUUAAAAGUUAUUCGGACAGUUUCUUAUACUUUUUUAAUCAGAGUAAGAAAUCACCAUUGUUGAGGUGAUUCAGUAAGAAAGAAUUAUAGAACGCGAAGAAGAUGAAGGCGCGAAAAGAUUGCAAAAACGAUUUCAAACUGAUAUCAUGUGAACUUUGGAAUAUCAAAGGAGAGAAAUUAUGAAAUGGAAUAUAUUCAUUAUCAAAAGAACAUCUUACAAUGCAUAAGAGUAAUUAAUAUAUAUAGUAAACUAGCUAAUUAACAAACUCUUGACUUGGCUAAACUAAUUCAGUUACAACUAUGAUUAACUAAGACUAACUAGAGUUACUAUUUACAUCAUGUAAUAUUUUUAGUUAAAAAAAACUUUUUAAAAAGAAUAAUUAUAUUUUUAGUUUUUAAUAUAUUUGUUUCAACUUUUAAAAAUAAUCAGAAGUUGAAAGAAAUUUAAAUCUGAUUAAAAUUAGAAACUGUUUAAAAUAAUUUUUCAAAAUAUAAUUACUUCUUUUAAAGAAAAAAGUUAUUUUAUAAUUGUAAACAUAAUUUAGUUUCUACUUUAUUAAAAACUUAUAAACAAUCAUCAGUAUAUUAUUUGAAAUCAAAAUCGAUUUUUUUUUUAAUAUGUAACAAACUGAACCAUUACCAUAUUCAUCUAAAACUUUAUAUUUCGAUUACAUGACAAGGAGUGUAUGUUAUUUUCUACUUGUUCGGGACACGAGGCAUUUUCCAUGUGAGUUCCUUAUUAAUUAGUAAUCUGACAAUUUUCUCUUCCUAAGAAUUCUUGUAUUUUCUUUCGAAGUAAAAAAGAAUUCUUGUAUUUUUUUUCCUAGAAAAAGCAUUGAGAAGAAAUUAUAGUAGUGUUAUUAGUAUAUAUAUAAAUUAUGCAGAAUUCUCACCGGUUAUCUCCUGCUUUAAAUACCAUAAAUAGGUAAAAUACAUUAUACUUUCCAUUUUUCCCUUACUACCCUUUAUAUAUAUAUAUAUAUAUAUAUAUAUAUAUAAUCUCAAAUUUAAGCAUACAUGCAUGGUCGAAUAGUAGAAUAAUUCUUAGUUAGGAAAAUGGAGAGGAAAACGAAAUAACAUGAAAAUUUACGUUAAUAAACAUUCAAUAAAAAAAUGUGUUAUUUUAAAAUUUUCAGCUAUACUGGACUUGCACUUGUUGUUUUAUUAGUCGUGAUUUUUCAUUUUUUUAUAUAUUGGAUUUAAGGGAAUAUAUUGAAAGAGAAACAUUAAAUACUUAGCAUUCUGUGAGUUUAGUAUCUUUUUUUUCCUACGUACACGCAGUUUUGCCGUCGCAAGGCACGGUUUAAUUUUUUAAUGGAAAAAAACAAUGAAAAUAAAACACCAAUGUGAGUAAGCUUUUUCUUUUUUAGGGAAACCAAUGUGAGUAAACUAAUCACCAUAUUAAUGAAGUUGCAAAAUGCCAAAAAGACAAUUGAAGUGCGCCUAAAUUUUAGAAAGACGCUUGCAUCUAACUAGUCAUUAUUAAGUCUAAGUCUAUUCAGAAAAAAAAAAAAAAAGUCUAAGUCUUUAGACGUUAUUCGUCUCCUAGAAUGAAUUAAAUAUAAGUACUCUACAAAAUUAGAAAUUUUCCUUUUAUAUUGAUGACACUGAACAUCAAUCCUAAGAUUUCAUGGCAUGCACCCAUAUUACUCAAACUGUUCGAUCAGCACUAAGCUGGCCCUAAUGAAUUCACAAAACUAGAGACUUUUAAUUAGUCUUAAUAUGGGAAUUAAAGGGACAUUAUCUCUUGCAAUUGUCUUUAAAUAAAAAAUGUAACAAGAAAAAAUUGUUAAUUCCUUAGCAUUUGAGUGAUUGCCUACGUGAAUUUUCCAUUAAUAUAAUAUUUUUAUUUGCUUUCUUUUUUAAUUUUAUUUUUAUGGUUAACAAAUAGAUUCGGGAAAUCUUUUCUUCUUGGAUCAUAAUCUAUUUUGUCAAUUUGAGUACUUAAACAAGUUUUUCUUUUUGCUAUACAGAUAUGAAGAAGGAAGAAACCGUAAUUACCAACUAUAUAUAUAGACCUGAAUUGAGAUGCCCAAUAUUCCUGCCAAUUUUCAGUAUUUGUUUUGAUCUUUUUAUUUGACAAUAGGUCAGAAAUUUACCUGCGAGAUAAUUACUAUGAAUUAUGGAAUGUUACCAACUAUGUGUUCUCAGCUCCUACAAAACAAACAUAAAAACUAAUAAUUUUCCUAAAUUUUCAACUAUGGAAUGUUACUCCUAAACCUAUGAGUAAAAUAAGGGCAGACAUGGCAAUAGAUAAGGAAAAUGCGAGAUAAUUACUAUGAAUUAUGAUUCAAAACAUAAAUAAUCAUAGUAUUUAUCACUAAAAAAAUAAAUAAAACUCUUAAUUUAUUACAAUAGCUUUGAGAGUAAUUUUUUUGUGUUUCGCAAACAAUAUCAACUUGCAUCGCUGAUAUCGUGUAACCAAAUAAAUAUUGGGCAGAAUAAAAUAUUCAAUAAUAGAAAUUUAUUUGGAUCAAGGAAAUAAAGAUAAAAAGAUUUCACAUGAUCUUUUAAUAAUUUAUUGUUAUUAUUAACCCAAUUUAUUAUCUUCUCGAAGUUUUUUUUAUCCACAAUGUUAAUGAGUAUAAUUAGUAUUUUAUGUGUUAGUGAGAACUUUGAACCAUGACCUCACUAUCCCUCCAACCCUUAAAGUUUCUUCUCCUAACCACCAAAUCACCUUAUGACUUUGAUACGAAUAGCAGUAAGGAGUUGCAAAUAGUAAGGCCCAAGAGACAAAGCAAUACUCACAUUCAUCUGCAGGAUUACGUAUUAAGUGAAUAGUAAAUCAUGUACGCAUGCAAGUACAUAGGGGCACAGUGCUAGCAUAGUAUCUUCUAGAAGAAGUUUAGAGGAAUAAAGGAAUAUUAUUGUUAGGAUAUUGUUGAAUCUGUAGCUUUCUGUUAGAUUGUUAGCUUUUUGUUAUACUUGUUGGAAUAGCAACUAUAAAUGUAAGAAAAACGCUUUAUGAAUGCAAGAAGAAUUUCCACAAAUCUUGUCCUCUCUUUCUCUUUUCCUGAGGAGAUUGCUUGGGCCUCGAAAGCCAAGCGCUAACAUUGGUACUUUCAUUUUCAUCAACCAUGGUCGAUGCCACUCGAUCCAAAACCAAUGUCGAUCAUUGGGAGGAUGCCUUUGCUAAGCUUUCCUCUUCCAUGACCGCCAAGAUCGACGAGCUUCUUCACUGCAUAACUCAAUUGGAAACGUCGCACGCUAGUUCUCACAUACCAUCACCUUUCCCCAGGUCUUCAUCUGCACCUACCACGAACCCUGCUAACUAUCUAAAAUUGGAGGUCCCUCGCUUCGAUGGCUCUAACCCAGAGGGGUGGAUAUUCAAGAUCACACAAUUCUUUGAAUAUCAUGCAACCCCAUACCACGACCGUCUCACCAUCGCUUCCUUCUACAUGGAAGGCUUUGCAUUAGCCUGGUUCCAGUGGAUGUAUCGCAAUGGCCAGUUUUAGUCUUGGUCUGCCUUCCUACAUGCUAUCCACACACGGUUUUCAUCGUCAACCUAUGAAGAUCCUACUGGUCUGCUCUGUAAACUAACGCAGCGUUCAACCGUUUCCACUUACCUUUCGAAGUUCGAAGCUAUUGCCAACCGCAUCAUCAGCCUUCCGGCGUCGUUCGUGCUCAGUUGUUUUGUUUCGAGGUUGAGCCCCAUUAUUCGACGGGAGGUGCAAGUCAUGCAGCCUCACUCCUUGGCUCAGGAGGUUUCCUUCGUGAAGAUUCAUGAGAAGUUGUUAGAUAGUCGUCAUCCUUCUGUUCGACCCCCUCCUACUCCUACUAUUUCCUUCCCUUCACGUUCCUUACCUCCACCCUCCACCAACCCUCUUGAACCACCCUUGCUUCCUGCUUCGGCCAAACCACACUCAACCACCAUUCCUUUCAAACGAUUAUCUCCGACUGAGUUGGCCAUUCGCCGUGAAAAGGAUUUAUGCUUUAAUUGUGACGAGAAAUACUCUCAAGGGCAUAAGUGUACUUCCUCCUUGUUCUUGUUUGUUACAAAAGAAGAUGAGUGUCUCCAGGACUCCGAUUCCGCUCCCUCGUCGCCAACUGCUCUUGCUGCUUCUCAGGACUCGUCACCGACGCAGAUCAGUCUCCAUGCAUUUUCAGGCCACAGGGCUCUGGAAACUUUACGUGUCACCGACUUAAUUGGGAAUCACCGUGUCCACAUCCUUAUUGAUAGCGGAAGUACUCACAACUUCCUACAACAGGAGUUGGUCUCCACCCUGAGUUUGUCCCCAAAGGAUACCUCAACCCUUCAGGUUACGGUGGGCAAUGGUGAGGAACUGCACUGUCAUCAGGUUUGUCCGAGAGUUUCAAUGCACAUUCAGAAGCGCGCAUUCAUCCAGUGUUCCAUUGCUCUAUCUUAAAGCCUUUCGUAGGAUCUUCUAACCCUGAGAAGGCUGUGGACCUUCCACCAUUGGCAGUGGAUAACCAACCGGUCCCGACUCCAUUAGCUAUCCUAGCUCACAAGUCCAUUCCGUCUGAUACAGGCCCAAAGCAGCUCGUGCUGGUUCAGUGGAUGGGUCUUCAUCCUAACGAAACAUCCUGGGAGGAUUGGACGACCCUUAAAACUAUUCAUCACCUUGAGGACAAGGUGUUGUUUGAAGCACGCGGGAAUGAUACGAAUAGCAGUAAGGAGCUACAAACAACAAGGCCCAAGAGGCAAAGCAAUACUCCCAUUCAUCUGAAGGAUUACGUAUUUUAUUUUGAAAUUCUUUUCAAAAACUUGUUGAUCUCUAUUUACCCAAUUUCCAGAUUGAUUAUUGUUUUUUUAUUUCCCGGCUUAGGAGUAGAUAUAAAUAUACCUAAUACCUGUCGAAUCUUAGUAAUAAAGGAAAGUGAAAGAAAUGAAGUUUUAACCUACCGUCCUUUCCAACAAACCAAUCAUUCUCGUAAAGGAUUUUCUCUUUCGAAAUCAAAAUGAUUAAUCAAAAAUUUCUAUGGAAUUAUGAAAGAUGUAAACAAAAAUUUAUCGAAUCAUAUCAUUCAAUUAUAUUGACAAUUCCAAAAAGUUGUUCAUACUAUGAACAUAGUAUAAUGGCGGUCGGGCAAGUAUGCCCCCAUCGUCUAGAGGUUCAGGACAUCUCUCUUUCAAGGAGGCAACAGGGAUUCGACUUCCCCUGAGGGUAGGGUGCUACGAAAGGAGGUUGAUCAUGAAUUUUCAAUAAAAACUUAAAUGUAUUCUUCCAGUUCCUGGGUCGAUGCCCGAGUGGUUAAUGGGGACGGAGUGUAAAUUUGUUGGCAAUAUGUCUACACUGGUUCAAAUCUAGCAAAUCAUGCACGCAUGCAAGUACGUAGGGGCACAACACUAGCAUAGUAUCUUCUAGAAGAAGUUUAGAGGAAUAAAGGAAUAUUAUUGUUAGGAUAUUGUUGAAUUUGUAGCUUUCUGUUAGACUGUUAGCUUUCUGUUAUACCUAUCGGAAUAGCAACUAUAAAUGUAAAAAAAGCGCUUUAUGAAUGCAUGAAGAUCGAAUUUCCGCAAAUCUUAUCCUCUUUUUCUCUUUUCCUGAGGAGGUUGCUUGGGCCUCAAAAGCCAAGCGCUAACAGACUUCCUAGUCAAUCUUCACAAAGUUGUAGGUCUUUCACUAUGCUAUAUACUAGUCCACAAUGGCACAAAUGUCAUUAUAAUGUAAUUACAAUUUUUUAUAUCGUUAAUAUUUAUAACAUAUAUUUUUUUAAAUCAUAAGUAUUUUUCAUUUGGAACAAUCUCAUUUGAAUUGAGUAAAAUUAGUAAAAACUCUUCCUCCAAUUAUUUAAUGUAGUUUCAUAAAUUCAAAAUCUGAAUCCAUGACCAUUGAUUAAGCUAGAAUAACCCAUAUCAAUCGAUUUAUAUGAUUAACUAUUAAAUAUAAGAUAAUGGUUAACUAUAAAUUAAUAAUGUGGUAUUACCUGCGGACUAAAAUAUAAGGGGGCAAAAUUAUUUAAUGAACUAAAAUAUAAAUAACUUUUAAUUAAUUUUCUCUUAUUUAAUGAUAUUAUUUUUAAAAUAUUUUUCAUUUAAUUAGGGACUGUUUUAUUUUUUUUUCCUAUGCAAUUAAAUGCAGAAGGUACUAUAGGAAAUAAUUUUUUUUUUAUUGAGACAGCCAAUAUUAAAUGAUGUUAAUUAUUUUUUUAAUGAGAGUGAAUUAGUUUUUUUAUAUUUCACUCGGAGACAGUAAUUCUCAACAUGGUUGGUAUUUUUUUUUUGUACAAACAUUGUUGGUAAUUAUUUAAUUUUUAAUAUUUAUUAUCAAUUUUGUGACCUUAAAAUAUGAAAAAAUAUUUUGCAUAAAAUUUAAAUUGAAGCUGAUAAUAAAUGUAUUUAAAAUAUUGUUUUAAUUUUUAAAAUAAUAAUAAAAAUAAGAAAAUGCUCAAAAUUAGUCGUUCAUAGUAUCGAAAUUAUAGAAAAGCUAAAAUAUCAUUAGAAGACCUUUUCAUAAUCAUUCACCAUUAUUAAAAAUUUUAUUUAUUUUGAAAAGAAUUAGCAUUUAAUAUGUAUUUAUUUUUUAGAAAAAAGUAUAUAAUUUAAAACAAAAAGUGUAAAGCAAUUCGCAAGGGAAUAUAAUUUACCCAAAUAUUUGUUGAAGCACAAGUAGCAAAACAAAGUUGGGUUUCGAAACAUUUUUUUUCUUUACUUUAAAUUCCAAUAAAAGAAAUACAGUAUAUUUUUUAUUCGUAAAAAUUAAAAAUUAUAAUAAUUCACACUCUGUCAACUGUGAUAAGAGCUGCAUCACUUAAUACUUAACUUGAACUUUAAAAGUUUUCCUUUAUCAGUAACCAAUAACAUUUAAACCAAGUUCAAAUUAAGGACAAAGAGGGUAAAACCCACUUUGCCUCGUUCUCCUCACUCUCUUAGAUUCAUUCAUCUUACAUUCGUCCAGAUUCUUUGGAUGUCAUUGGUUGUCACGCUGCCACGUCAUCAACACCGCCUAUGAUAUUCUGGGCCGAAAUUUCUUCCUCCUUAAAAAAUUGAAUCUUACAUUUUUCCACUCAAAAUAUCAACAAUUUUAUUUUAUUUUAUUUUUUAUGUCAUUUCAUUUCUUAUUCCAAUUCAACUUUCACCUACACAAGUUUCUAUUCAAAGGAAAUUGGUCAUUUGAAUGGCUCAGUUGUUGUCUCCAGUGUACACUGAACCUCUCAAAUCGAAUUUAAGUUCCAUAAGCUCAUGGAGGAUGCUACCAAAGACUGCAACUCCUUCGAAUUUUGUAACACACAAUGGCAAACGAAGAGGGUGUGGAAGGGUAAGAGUUGCUUCUGAGGAAAAAUCUUUUUCAACGAGUGGCACUGCUGUUGUAGAUGACUACUAUGCAGUUUUGGGUCUGGUAAUGUAUCACACUCUGAUUUAUUUUUUCUCUGUUUACUUCCCUCUAAAAGUAUUCAUACAUGGUAAAAAAAAAAUCAUAAUAAUAAGUUGAAGUCUUUUCUCAUUUGAAUAACUUUAGAGACAAUAGGGAAAUCCCAGAUGAUAAAUUAAGUGAGAUGUAUAGCCAUGAUAUUAAUUCUGCAUUGCAAUGAAACUUAGGAUAUUGUGAAAACUACUCAAAUUUUCCACUAUUAGACACUUAUGACUUUAAUAUAAAAAAUGAAGAAUUAUAUUUAUUUAUUUAUCAUUCAUAUGAAUUGAAGAAAGUAUCACAAGAUUUACAAUAACCCAUCCAAGCUGCCCAAUCAGUUAACCACAAAUGAAGAAUUUAAUACAAUACAUGAUACUGGCAAACUUUUUUUACUUACUCUAAUUUUGUAACAACUAAUUCGAAAGUUACAUCUAGAGUAAUUGUGGCUGUGAGAGUAAUGCUAUAAUUUUUUUUUAUUAUUAAUAAAUGUUAAUCGUUAAUUUAUUAGUUGGGAUCGAACCGGUGAACUUUCCCUCCUUCCCUUCUUUUAGAGUAGUGUUAUAAUUGAGGGAAGAGAGAGAACAUUAUUAUCAAGAUAUAUAUUAAUAUCAUACUGUAUAGUGUAUGUUUAAUGAUUGGUUGAUCCAUUUCACCAGCUUCCAGAUGCCACUCCAGGGCAGAUCAAGAAAGCGUACUACAAUUGCAUGAAAGCUUGCCACCCGGAUUUGAGUGACAAUGAUCCUGAGGCUACAAAUUUCUGCACGUUUAUCAAUGAAGUAUAUGGGGUGGGUUCCAUUCUGAAUAUCAUAAAUUUCAAAACUUUGAGAAAAGUUUCUUCAAGUUUUGUUGUGUUUUUUUUUUAUAUAGUAAAUUGACUAUUACAGUGCAGGUGCUCAGUGAUCCCAUCCAGCGUAUGAUUUAUGAUGAAAUUCAUGGGUAUUCUUUGACUUCAAUCAAUCCUUUUCUAGAUGAUUCUAGUCCAAAGGAUCAUGUUUUUGUUGAUGAAUUCAGCUGCAUAGGUACUUGUUGUCACUCUAAUGAAAACUAUAAUGUUAUCUUAUAGUAUGUUCUUGUCAAGCACUCUUAUGUCUCCAUCUUUCUCCUCUUUUGGAAAAAGAAUGAUGGUUCUAUCUAAUAACACUUCCUUUGUAGAAAAAGUGAAAAACAGUUAUGAAUCUACCAAGAGUUGGUUAUGCCAAAGAGAACAACAUUGACAUCUAAAAUUUGCACUCUAGAUGUUGCUUAAAUGUAUUUAUUAGAUCCUCAACUAGAACAAUUCCAAGGCAUGUUAUGUAAUUGUACUUCAAAUCCUUGAACAGGCUGCAAAAACUGUGCCAAUGUAGCUUGUGAUGUGUUUGGAAUAGAGGAAGAGUUUGGAAGAGCCAGAGUGUACAGCCAAUGCGGGAAGCCUGAAUUGGUUCAACAGGCUAUUGAUAGUUGGUAUAUCUAUAAGCAUUACUCUAAUCAUUCAUUUCUCUAUCCAUAGUUUCCAUUGAUAUAAUUAAUUUUAAGCAUAUUAGAAGUUUAAUGAAACCCGGUUUCACUCUUUAAUGUCUGACCAUGACCAUGUUUUUUUUGUAAGUGUCAAUAACACACUGAUCUAAUUUUUGUGAUGAUGGCAUUGCCUCUAGUGUCACUGUUGUUUUAUAAAAAUCCUUUUUGUACAUUUUCCAUUUUACUAUUUAUGAUUGGGAUUAAAUUGUUCUAAGGUCUUUGGCCCUGCAUUUUACCAGAAAAAGAGAGGGUUUUGUUAUGGGCUGCAUCACAUAAGUAUAUUGGUUAUUGAUUGUCUUUAAGAGUGUUACGGGCAAUUAUAAUCGAUUGAACUUUCAUUAAAUCAUGAUGGCUCGUAUUUAUGUUAUUCAUACACCCUUUGCCAACUGCAUAAAAAAUGUCUCAAAUCAGUCAAGGGUUUAACUCAAAUGAUUUUAAUUCCACGUUCAGAACCCUCCUGAAUUAGCAUGAUUCCUCUGCUAUUCUUUUUUGUGCCAGUGUUGACGGUUAUGAUCUACAACUUUUGAAGCCUUUGAUUUCUAGCAUGCUGAGAAAUGUGUUGAAAUGGGAGACAAAUAUCUAGAAACCAAAAAAGAAAAAAGAAGUUAAAAACACUUUGGGAUAUAAUAUAACAAGGGACUAUUACACCUGCCCUAGCCCCUAGGCAUGUUGGUUUAUCAUGUAUGGAUAUAGGAAUGAGCCUUCAUUCUUCAAUACAAUUUAUAUUUUUAACUGGAUCUGUAUGACAAAGGCAUUGUUUGUGAAGUAACUAGGAUAGUGGAGAUUUCAGAAAUUAAUUUGACAAUAACUGUUGUGUUUUAGCCCUGUUGACUGCAUUCAUUGGACAUCAGCUGCACAACUAUCAUUGCUUGAAGACGAAAUGCGCCGCGUAGAAAGAGUCAAUGUAAGGCCAAAUUAAGUUGCAAAAAUCUAUUUCUUCUGGAUCUUAUUUUCCUUGUAAUCUCUAUUCCUAAGAUUGUGUGGUCGCUUUUGUUUUUUUCCCUCUUUUAGAUGGCUACUGAUAUAUGAGAAACAGUUUUAACCAAGUAGCAUAUGGCUUUAAGUUUUCAAACUGUAAUAUUUCUUGAUUGUUUCUGAUCAUAUUUAGUAUAGCCUCAAUUUAACUACAUAUGAUUUUUUUUUUUUAAAAAACAUGAAGUUUGUCUCUCAUAGUAAUGAUAUUUUUCUUCUUUUAAAAUGAAGUUUUAGUCUUUUAGAUAACCAAUGAGCUAAAGUAAGGUAGUUUUUCUUCUACAAAUGGUAUACAUUAUAAUUCUGUCUAGUUAAGCAUUUUGUAUACCAUUAAUAUGUAUACUGAGCAUCUUAAAUGUGAGCAGGUUGCCCUAAUGCUUUCAGGAAUGGGAUCAGCAUCUGAUGUUUUCAGAAUGGUAAGAAUAACUCAUACACUACUGGGUUAUUUAAAUGUUCAGAGAUUUUCUUCCAAUUUUUUAACUACAUUUGUGUAUAUUUUGGGGGGAGUUGAUGAGCCUGCCUUGGUAUAAAAUAUGGUUGAUAUCAUCAUAUUCUGCAUGUCCUACAACAUAGCUCCAAGACCUUGAAUUUGGAAUUUUCUUCUUUCUGAUUCUGGAAAUAGUGGUUAAAAAGUCAUGAUAACAUGGAUUAUGAAAGCACUUCUUCAAAAUGUGUCAUAGUAGCACUAUCAUUGUUCUAUUCUAGUGUUCUUGUCACAUAAGUUUCAUGCUUAUUUCAGAGAAAAUCUUUUAAUCAGCAUGCCUAAAAUUUUAAUGUUUUUGCAUUUAUGUAGUAUUUAUGUUGUCUCCUCUAACAUGAUCCAACCAAACUAAAAAUGACAGGCAAGUUCCCGAUGGGAAAAGAGACAGGCAAAAGUCUUGGUAAUAACUCUUACAUUCUCAUUCACCUUUUUUCUUUAUGUGCUUUAGUUGGGGAAUCACUUAUUUACGUGCAGUUAAUGGUAUGGGAAUUUUCAUGAAUUUUCCUACUAAUCUGUGAAAAGUGUACAGGUUCUUAAGGUAUUAAAAUUAAGGUAAAAUUGUAAAGUUGGUCUCCCUAUUUGUCUCAAAAUUUGAUUUUGGUCUCCCUAUAAUUUAAUUCACGCUUUCUCAAUUUUUUGUAAUCCCGAGAUUGAACGUUGACUACUUGUCAACGUUGAUCGCCACAUAUCGCGUAUUUAUUGGACGUUAAUUUCGUGCACCUAAUUAAUAGUAACCUCCAUUAAAAUCGCAACACUUGGCGGUCAAGGUAAGCAAUUGAUAGUGAACGUCUAAUUUCGAGGUUGAGGACUGAAACAAUAGGAUUGUAAAAAACUAGGGGAAUAAAUUCGUGAAUUAAAUUAUAAGAGGACCAAAAUCAAAUUCUGAGACAAAUAGGAUCAAAUUUGUAAUUUUGCCUAAAAUUAAAGAAAAGUACCAUUUUGAUCACCGAAAAAUAGGGUUGACAUUAGUUUGGUGGUCUCUUAAAAAAGUUUGACCGGCAUUAAUUUAUUCCUUGAAAGAUAGAAAGUGACAUCAUGUUUGCUUUUCUGUCAUUGACACCAAUGGCACCAUGCCACUUCUCAUCUUUCCAAGACUAAAUUUAUGUCCCCUGGUGUUGAGAAACCAUACUGAACUCAACCCAAUCUUUCUGACCAAAAGAGUAGUUCACUCUUGAUAUGAGCAAGUUUCUUUUCUUAAACACUUAAGAUUUCUUAUUUGUCCUUGAUUUUGAUUGGAGGAUCUGCAUGCAGUUUAAGAUAAUGAAAUAUUUACUGAAUAAUACGGAACCUUUUUGGAAAAAAUUUAGUUCUUAGAGUUUAGAGUACUUAAUUUUACAUUAAUGAGGGAUGUCUCAAACUAUUGUGAAUCUUCAUUUGACAAAAAAUUUCACACCAGCUUCAAUGUCUCUUUAUUGGGUAGAAAAUUGUGAUUGUUUGUUAGUUUCACGGUAUAAAACAUGUUAUGCAUAUGACUAAACAUUGUUGAGUGUCGUGCAGGAACAAGCAAGAUUGAGAAUGAUGAAGGAAAAAGGUUCUGAUAAAACAGAUAUGUUCUGGAACAAUCUAUGGGGCAAACCAAAAGACUUAAGUUCAGGUAUUGGAUGUGAAAAUACAAAAGGUUUCUGCUAAAUGUUGGAUAUUAUAGUUUUCAUCUGCCAAUGUUUUCCUUUUUUCAGUUGUUUUGCUUUAGAACUUUAUUUCAGCCAUUCCUUUUUUUAGAGGAAUUAAAUUUGCAAUUUCUAGCCUCUAGUAGCUAUCAACAAAAUUUGACUCCACAUCAAAAAGUAUGUUUCAAUAAGCCUGAUUAUUUGGUUAUGCUAAUUGUUAAAAGUUCAAAAAAAAAAAUUGCACUCUCAUUCAAUUAGAAAUUAUACUAAAUAAAACUUUUAAAGCAAUUAUUACAAAAGUUAAUUAUUUUUAAUUAUAUGACCAUCUAUGAUUAGAUAUCAAUGUAAAAAAACAUUUUCAUUGUUUACAAUCUUUCAAAUGAUAACCAUUAUGCAGAGGAGGAAAUCAAAGAAAGAGCAAAAAGGGCUGCUGCUGCUGCUAGAAGAUGGAGGGAAUACUCAAGAAGAGGUGUUGAUAAGCCUCCCACAUUUAAACUUCCAGAGACAGCCUCCAGCAAGGACUAGUGACCACUAUUUUCCCCACAGUCCUUCCUACACCUUCUAUAACUAUAGCACCCAAUCCCAUGUAAUUAAUUCAUCCAUAGCAUCUUAUUAAUGAAUCUCAUAAGUUUAUUUAUCAUUUAACAAUCCAUCAUUGUAUAUGCUGCAACACUAAUUACUGUAAAAAUAAUACAGAUGAUUUAUAGUAAAUACAGAGAUAUAUAAAAUAAAGCUAAGUUCAAUGUGAUGGAAUUUCUAUGUUUCAGCUAUUUCCAUUUGAAUUGUUGGCUUCAGCAUAAGUACUAAUUCAAACUAACAAGCCGUGCAGGAAGAUGUGUUGCUGAAAUGACCAACAAAGGAACCUGCGGAGUAGACUCUUAGGAAAGCAGUAAUUUCAUUUUGUUAAGCCAAUUUAUCAAAGAAGAAAAUAGAAGAGGAGAGUGAUUAGGAGAAGAAAAUAGGAAGAAAAAAUAAAAUAAGUUUUUCCAUAAGUUAAAAUUAAUUUAUGCAUCAGUUAAUUUAUAAAAGUUCUCUUAUAUUAACUUCUCUUAUAAGCUAAUUUUAUUUUAUUUUUCUUUUAUAUUUUCUUCUCUACUAAGUGUUUAUAAAAAAGUUUAUCCAAACAAACCUUUACAAGUGCUUAUAGAAAAAUUUACCUAAACAUACCCUUGAAAUUCAGUAUAUUCAUAUUGUCAAUGUUAACAAAUAUUGGCAUAUGAAUUAUGUCCAUAUGCAAAGUGAGAAUAAGAACAAGUCAAAAAUAUUUUGAAAGAUAGAGUGAAAAUAAAAGGUUUAAAUAUCAAAUUAUUUUAUGUAAGUUAUCACUGUUUCAUUUUUUAUUCCUAUAAGUUUAUUUUUUCAAUUUUAGUAAUGUGAGUUGUCAUUUUUUCAAGUUUAAUUUAAAUUUUAAAUUAUCAGUUAUAAAAAAUUAUUAACCUCAUCAUUAUCAUGUCAUGUUGACACCAUUGUGUGGCACAUAAACUAAAGAUGAUAUCAUGGUGACAUCACCACAUGUCAUGUCAGCAUAAUAUCACAUCAUCAAUAUCACAUUAGCAAAAAAGAACACAUCAUCAAUGUCACAUCAGGGAUAUUAAAAAAAGAAAAGAAAAUUAUUGGUACUUAAAAUGAAAAAAAAAAAUUAGAUGGACAAAAAAAGAAUUUACAAAGGUUAAAAAUGAAAAUAAUAGUUUGUAUAUGUAAAUAUGUUACUUAAUGUUAUGUGUAUUCUCAUUUUCAAAUAUUUAUGUGUCGCAAAAAAAUGACAAUUGUCAUAUUAAAAAUAACUUAUGCAAAAACUAAUAGCAACCAAAUCUAGCAAAUUAAAUACUAUGAUUUUUUUUAGAUGAAGUAUGAAUACAAAAAGCAAGAGACAAGGAAGCUUAUAACACCAUGAGAGAGUCUUUCAUAAUUUCUCUAUGAUGGUAUCAAGAAGAGUCAUAUCUUUGUCCCAAAACACUUAAACACAUACUGUAGCGAGUCAAAGUAUGGCCACCAAUCAUGUGGCAUACAUGCAUCGAAUAAGCAAAAUUCUAUCAUGGAUAACCAUGAUUAAGGGAUUAAGGUUGAGUUUCAAAAAUUCUAUUGUAUUUCCACUUCCAUGCCCACCAAGUCAAGGUUGAGAGGUUGGUAAGGGUCAGGUGAAGUGAUAAGAGAUAUUAGUCACGAGGGACAUUAAGGCCAAGAAUGAAAUCUUGGACUAUGAAGAACAAGCACAACUUUAAGGAUGUUCUAUCAUAUGUAAAUCUUUUUAUUAAUUCAUUCAUACUCAUUUAUUUUAUAUUAAUCUUAAAUUAAAUUUAUGCAUGAUGUUUAAGACUUAAAUAUUUGUUUGUCUAUGUUACUUUUUUUCCUUUUAGACCAUGUAUUUUUUCCAUCUUGUAAGUUUUUUUUUCAUUUUUCGGGUUUGUUUUUCUUUUUUAGUUCUUAUUAAUUCCUUUUUUAUUUUUAGUCCCUGUAAAUUUUGUUUUUUCAUUUUUAGUCUUUGUAUAUUUCAUUUUUUUCAGUUUCAAUCCCUCUAAUGUCUUUGUUGUCAAUGAUUGGUCAAUGUAGUAGCACCAUGUUAACAUUUGUUUGUCACGUCAACUACUAAGCAGACAAUGUGGACCAACAAAAUUGAAAAAACACCAACUUAUAAAAACAAAUCAAAAAUAAAAUAAAUUUACAAAAACUAAAAAAUGAAAGGAAAAAAAACGCAAUCAUACAAGGAACAAUUUGAUAUUUAUGUCAUUAUAAUCAUGGUUAUGGAAAUCUAGACCAGUCGAUUCAACCGAUUCAACUAGGAACCGGUUGUCUAUCUAGUUUGGUUAACCUCCAAAACUGCUAUGCAAGUGAACCGACCUUGAACGGAGGAAAUCGUCAAUUUGACUGGUUUGCACAAUUCAAUAGAAAUCACUUCUUUUAAGAAUAAAAAUAAAAUAAAAUAAAACAGAAACAGUUUAUUAGGUACACCCAACAUUAUUGCUGGUGCACCCAGCAUUUGAAGUAAAUGGACAAAAAUGCCCUUCACUUAAAAUAUAAAUUUCCUCCCUUCGCGUUAUUGUUCAUCGCAUUCGUACUCCUCCUUGCACCGCUUCCUUUUCUUCUUUGCGCCUUCAACCUAUUGGCUUCUUCUCUUCUUGAGCGUGAGCAUUGGAGGACAUCUCCGCUACUUGUUGGUUCAUUUUUCGCGCAUUGGCUGCUUCCGUUGAGACGUCUCCACCACUUCUACCAUCGAGGUAAGCUUCUCCUCCUUCGUUAAUGGCUGCUGCAGAGUGGAGCAUCGUGGUUGGUCCAUAUAAUGCAUACGGACCACAUGAUCCGUAUGAGUUAUAUGUAUCAUCUAAUCCGUAUAACUCAUACGAAUGACUUGAUCCGUAUGAUAUUUUUUAAUUAAUUAAAAAAUUGAAAAAUAGUUAGUUUAUUUGUAAUUUUAAAUAUAAAAAUUUAACAUAGUUUUAAAAAUAGUUAUUGUUUGAAAAAAUAUGUUUUCAGUUAUGUUUUUAAAUGGUUAGUUUAUUAGUUAGUUUUGUUUUAAAAAAAGGUAUUAAUUUUAAUUGUAAAUAUAUUAAUUUUUUAUUUGUUUACAAAUAUUUUAUUUGUAUGAAAUAUAAAUAUUUUAUUUUAUUAUUAAGUUUGUAAAUAGUUAUUGUUAGUUUAUAAAUGAAAAAUAUAAUUAUUGUUUGCAUUUUGACCAAAAUAUGUAAGUAUGUGGAAAUGUUCAAAUUAUGGUUAGAACUAGAAGUUUAGGACGUGUCUUAGACAGAGUUAUAGGUAGAGCCCUGGAGAGAGAGGAUAAUCGUCAUUCAAAUGAUGUUCCUAACGGUGAAGGCCCACAGCAUCUACACGUAGACCUUACGGAUCACUUAAUCUGUAUGGUUUAUACGAAUCACAUGAUCCGCAUAAACCUUACGGAUUAAGUGAUCCUAUGUUCAAAUUUAUCUUACGGACUACAUAAUCCGUAUAAAAUAUACGAAAAACUUACGGAUCACUUAAUCUGUAUGGAAUGAAAACCAAAACUACAAUCGGCGUAUCUUCGACGAUGUCACAACUGAACCAACCACCGCAACAAUCACCACCAAUCCAUAACACUUUCACCUCGACCGAAGCGACACCUCUCUCAACAAGAAAAACCAACACCAAAGGAGAAACCAAAAAAGAAAGCAAAGCACGGGAAAUGUAAGUGGCACAAACAGUAAACGGAACUUAAUAAAUGAAGAAGAAGAUGUAGGAAUAUUUUUGGAAUUAUAAAAAAUUGUUGGAUGCACAAACAAUAAUGCCGGUGCACCUAACAACACCCUUUAAAUGACGUCCUUUUACUCUUUCUUUUUUUUUUUUUUCUUUUAUGCUUUCCUUGGCACGUAAACAGUUAGCUUAGCCACAAACAGAAUCCUAAUCGCACACCACUACCGCAACGCUUCCCUUCUCGUUUCACUUGGUAACCUCAAUGAAUAUUAUAGUGAUUAAUUGAUUACUAGUUAUAUGAAUUAUUUGCUUUUUCUAAUUGUAGUUGCUAAUGGAUUUUAUUUGGUAUUGUUGAACUUAAAUAUUAAUAUCUUAUAUUAGAUUUGGUUUCAUGUGUUUUUUUUUUGUUAUGUUAUUACUUAUGAUAAGUAUUUUAAUUUUUAAUAUUAUGAAUUUAUGAUUAUCAUUUUUUUUUUGAUAUUAGUAUAUUACUUAUUACAUUAUAUUAAAAAAAAUUAAAAUAUUAUUUUAUUAAAAUCACUUCAACUUCUCGAUUGAACUGUUGAACCAUGAAUUAGGAUCUUCAUCAGUUCAAUGACUACUCCAAUUUUAAAAACAUUGAUUAUAAUACACAUCCGAUUGUUUAUAAAUUUGAAGCCAUACACCCAAAUAAAAAAUAAAUAAAUCGUGUCAAAAGGUAAUCGUGGAUAAUUAAACAAAAGACCACAAAUACGUGUAAAUGAUGCACAUUGCAUACAGCCCAUGGACUAUAUUUUUUUUUUUAGCAAAUCUUUUAGAAGGUUAAGGAUUGUUUUUGAGUAUUUUAUAUUUUGUUUUUUUAUACAUUGGAUUGUUUCAGAGGUAUCAAAUCUUCCAUGUUAAAUAAUCUUUUAUAGGAGAAUCUUGAAACAUGAUACUAGAAUAUUCUUGAAUCCAUCGAUAAGUGUCACAACAUACGCAUUGUCUUCAUCCAAAUAUCAACACACAUGGUUUUUUAUACUCGUUAAAAUCCGUGAAAUACAAGGAGCAGUGCAAGACUGCAUGCAAGUUAUAUGCCAGCAACAAAAAUAUUGUGAGACCUUCACAUUCUUUUUAUUGCACGUGACUCAAUCCUCCUAUUAUAUAUAUAUAAAAAAUUAUCUAUUAACAAUGAUAAUGAUUCUUUAUAAUAUUUGGGUCGGGCUAUUAUAGCAGACACAAUAGUACUACUAGACACAUCUAAGGCCCCACUAUUCAAGCUAUGCUAAAAAAUAAUAUAAUAAGUUAUCAAAGCAAUGAUGUUCAAUAAUUUGGUAGAUUUUUAUGCUUGAUACAUUGUUUGAGAAGUGAUCACUGAACAAAUUGGCUACGUGUCCAAUGUCAAUUUAAGUUAACAUGGACAUGCAGAUCAUUGAUCAAAGAUUUGACCUUCGUACAUGCUGUACAGCAUAUCCAAAAAUUUGAAAUUUCACCUUAGUUUCUUCCCUUUCAUUUGUCCGAUUGCCUGAUCUGAGUUAUGGAAAAAUAGCGUUUAUAAAUUAUGUUUGAUCUCAACUUUUAAGUUAUCCCAGAUUUUUUAGGAUUUUUUUCAUUUUUAAUUAUAAAAUUUAAGUUUAAAAUAAUAUUUGUUUUUUUUUAUAAUAUUCAAUCUAUGAUGUUCAUUGCAUUAAUUAGUUCUAGAGUAGAAACGCUUCUAAUUAAAAUAAGAAAGAAAAUAUAUUAGUAAAUAAUUAAAAAAAACAUUACUGAUAAUGAUAAUUUUUAAAAAGUUAUAAAAUUAAAAUAAAUUUAUUAUUAUUAGUUAACUUAACCAUAUUUCAAUUUUAAUGAAUUAAGUAAUUGUCAAUCGAAUUAGGAAGGGAUGAGUAUAUCAGAAUACUUUUGUUGUGGACCAGUGGUAAAAAUAAUUAAUUAUUUGUGGGUUAGAUUCUCUCUCUUCUUUGUGUCUCUUUCACUUGAACCCCACCAUUCUUGUUAUUCACUGAGCAACAUUAUUUAAGUCACUUGGGUUGGUUAACCCCCGUGUCAACUACACCAAUAAAAGUCUAAUGUUCAGACAAUUGUAUUGUAUAUUUGAAUUGCUCAAUUAUUGAGAGCAGAGAAGACAAAUUAAUGAAAAGUGUAUCUUUAUGCAAUUACAGCUUCUUAAAAGCACUUGGAAUAAAUUAACCAAGAUUCUGAGAGGAAGAAACAAAAUGUCCUAUGUAGAUGGAAAAUUCAACCAAUAACACAACACCCAGAACACAACCCAAGGCUUACGCUAUUAUCCAUAACAUAAGUAUCUUUUUCAUAUAGGCACCCUUUCAUAAAUUACAUUUUGCAGGGAGAUUGACAAAGCUUAAGAGACAGAGAGAAUUGAAAAAUAAUAUUGGCUACAAGAAAAACUUGCAAAAUAUGUACAUUUAUUUUUAUAGCUAGACUAGAAGUCUAGAACCUAAUCUAAUACUAUCUACAAUCACUGUUUUGCAGAAGACAUGAAAACCUUUUUUGCUUUUCUUUCUAUUGCUAAUUGUUAUUUGGACAAUAUGGACAAAAAUUAUAUGUCAUUUCACUAGCAUUUUUUUCUAAUUAAAAUUGAAGUUUCAUAUCAGUAAUCUAGAUAACAUAGGUUUACAUUAAAGAUCAACAUAGAUUAUCCAAGUGAAACUCCAAUUCUAAUCAGAAAACAGUGUCAAAACUCAAAAAGUACUCAAGAUUUGCAUCUAAAUUUUUUCCUACUUAUCUUACAAUGGAUGCCACAGUGUGAGCCCAGAACCUAAGAUUGUCUUUCAUGUCAAUUUCAUUACCCCUAGCUGGUACCCUCCAAUUCAACAAAGGAUUUCCCAUCUCCCUUUGGUCCAAAACAUCCCAAGCCUCAGACAAAUAAGGCUUAUUAUUAUUAUCAGAAACCACACUUUGAUCAUCACCCUGCCCUUCUUCAUCUUCUUCUCUUCCCAGUCUCUGCAAGCCAGGUAUCAAAGAGGCCAAUUUUGAGUCCUUGUCCUCCUCAGAGAACACAAACCCCAAAUCCAUAAACCCUUUUAGCUCCUUAAACUCAAGCUCUGAUAGGCUCCUGCUGGUUCUCACUUUCCUUGCCCUUCUUCCAUGACCAAAGCUUUUUUGUUUUCUCUUAAUGCUCAUCCCUUCUUUUCCAUGAUUUCCACUAGAGAAUUCUCUGAUUUCCCUCUCAGAAGGGAUUGUCCUAAGCCUUUGUGGGGUGAGCACAGAAUUUGGUGAUUGGGAAUAAUCACACAAAAGACAUGUUGUGGAGUCCAAGUUUUGGUCACUAUAGGACCUAACUUCAAGGGUAGGAGUUGGAACUAGUAGAAGCUUUGCAUCAUCAAGAGGAAGCACUUCCUCCACCACCUUAUUGUGAUCAUGAGAGAUUGAAUUUGAAAGGGUUUUGUUAGAGAGAAUUGAAGCCUCAAACCAGAAGGAAUCUAGCAACCUCAGAACAUGUUCUGCAGCCAUUAUUAUUAACUGUGUCACAAAAUGAAUGAAUGGCUUAAAUUGAAAUUAGAUAUCCUACAAAGAUAUGAUGAGGAUUGAGAAGGUUAUAGAGAUAAGAUUAAAAUGUGUGUCCUAUGUGGCUAUUUAUAUUAAGAGUGGCAUUACUUAAUUGCCGCUGGCUCUAUAUGCUUUUGUUUUAUUCCCCCAUUUUAUUCGAAUAUGCAAUUUGGGAAAUUUCAGGAAGCUUUCUCCUUAUGUUUGUCGGGUUCUGAGAAAAUUAUGAAAUUAACAUCUCAAGUGAAUCAGAUAAGGUUGAAAAUUUUUAAAUUGAGAAUUAAAUGUUGGAAGUUUCAAGUAGUAAAGGAAAAAUCAUUAAGAAUUGGAUUUGCGCUGUUUGAAUAGUUUUACUGCCAAUUAAGAUUAUGGUAAAUAUUUAAUAUAAUAAAUAAAUAAUCAAACAAAUGGUGAAAUUUUUUUCUGGAUUUGUUAAUUAAAGUGAGAUGGUUGUUCUAAAAUUUCUAUUUAAUUUUUUAUAUAUGCUAAAAAUUGCUUUAAAUACAUAUAAUGUUAUUUCUAUUAUUUUAUUUUUUUAUUUGUGGAAUGUAUUAAAAAAAUGAAGCAAUUUCAAUUGCUAGAGUUGUAAUUUUGUUAUACUAAAAUUGAAUUUUCAAUUAGAUACUAAAUCAAUAAUAAAUUUAGGUUUAAGUGAUACUCGAUUUAAUCCCCUCAAAUAAAAUUUUUAAAUUAAGUCUUAUAAAUAAAAUAAAUAAAUAUGAUUAAAAGAAAAAAUUCUACCAAAAAUAAUCAAGAAAAUUCUCAAAUAAAAAAUAAUCAUCAAUAAAUUUGAAUAGUACUUUAUAUUUAUAUCAAUAACAUGUUAAUAAGCAAAGUUAAAACUAAACGAGUCAGUCCAUAAAUAAUUCAAUAGAAUCCGCCUAGUGGUAGGAGCUGUAAUAUAUUAACAUGCAUAAAAUCCUAAAUUUAAAUCUUGUUAUCGUUUUUAUAUACAAUUAUUUAAUCUUUAAAAAUAAACGCUAUUUUUUAGAAAAUUGAUACCAUGAUACAGUUAUUUAAGAAACUAGUAUUUUAAAUUAUUAACUUUUAAAAAGAAACUCCCUUUUUUUCUUUUUAAGAUAUAUAAUUAUUAUUAAUUUUGAAAACAUGUAUUUUAAUUGAAAACUAAUUUUUCUUUUGACUAAACAUUAAAAAACUAGCCUUACAAAACUUACAAUUGGUACUCAAACUAUUCAAACAACACAGUUACACAAAUCCAAUUCUCAAUUAAUUUUCCUUUACUUUUUUUUUUUUACUUAAAUUUUCCUUUACAAGAAACUACUUAAAAUUAAUUCUAAAAUUUUCAACUUUAUCAGAUUCAUCACCUUAAUAGUGAAAGGAUAAAAAUUUAAUACAUACAAGUAACGUGCUUUAUUCUCACUAAUUAACUAAAAAUUUUCACUAAAACUAUUAUCAAAUUUUAUAAAUUUGAAUCCACUAAAGUAAAAAAAAUGAAAAAGAAAUUGAAUUAUGGAGUGGUAUAAUAUAUUAUAAAGUUAUUUAAAUUAAUUUUUUUUACUUUUAUCAUUAAUGGGAAUUUUUAAUAUUUUAAGAUGUAAUCCUAUUAUUAAAAAAAUAAGAUAAAUUUAAAAAAAAAACUGACAAACUAAGAGCACUAAUUAUUAAAGGAAUAAUUACUAGAUGCGUAUUACAAAUUUGUCCCAUCAAUAAAUAUAACUCUUGGAUAUUAUGAAAAAAAAACUCUUAAUUAUGUUUGACCAAUCAUUUCAGGUAGCUUAUAAAUAAUAAAUUAUUUAAUUAACUUAUCAAUUUAAUUUAAUGAUUUUAUUUCGCUAGUUUAUAAAUCUAUUUUGAAAUAUUACUUUUCAAACUUAUAAUUUAUACCUUUUUUCAUGUUUGCAAUAAAUAUUUUAAUACAAUUUUUCUUUUGCCCUUUUAAAAUUUGAGAAAAACAUUACCCUGGGAGGCAUUUGGUUCACUUUCCCAAGAAUCAUAACUUUGGGAAACUUAAUUUCCCACAUUUCCCACAUUUAGUAUGCAUUUUUAAGAAAUAUGUUUAUGAAAAAUUAUGAUUUCUGGAAAUUAUUUUUAAUUCACAUCCCCACAAAAAUAUUUUCGUGAAAAUGAUUGAGAAUCUUACUUUUCCAAUUUUUAUUUUUAUUUUAUUAUAAUAAAAAAUUAUGUUAAUUUUAUUAAAUUAUUUAAUGUGGUAAAUAAUUAAAAUUACUAGUAAAACAUAUCAUUAAUUUUUUGAUUCCUACAAAAUUUAUCUAAAAAAUUUUAAUGGUCAACUAAAACAAUUUUUUUUCAUUCUCAAUAAACUCAUGAUUAUGAGAAUUCAUGAUUCAUAGGAGUUAUUAUUUUCAGGCUUGAAAAAAAUUUAUUCCCUCCUAAAGUUCCCCUUGCCUUUAUUUACAAUAAACAUUUUUUUUAUCAAGCUAGCAGUACCUUUUAUCUUUGUUCCUUACUCGUGCAUCUUACAUCGGCAUAGGCCUACAUUACCAAUGGCAACACAACCACUGUCAUAAAACAAAAAUAGAUUUGUUUAGAACUUAUAUAUUAUAUUAGUUUAAAAUUUAAAAAAAAAAUCACAAAACAUAAAAUAUUUAUAGAAAAAUAUAAAUGCAUUUCUCACGUCAUUUUCCAUAUUUUUAUAUGCAAGUCAACUUGAACCCAUCAUCGUAUAACAUGUGAAUCCAAUCCAAACAUCCUGUUUUGGUCCAUCCAACCCAAAUAUCCUUAAAAGUUAGAACUGCACGAUUGGUUUGGCCCGUCAAAACUCUGUCAUGAUUUUAUGGGGGCUAUUGCUAGGUGCACCCACAUUAUUGUUGGUGUACCUAGCACUUAAGAUGAAAUGAUGAAAAUAUUCUUGAUCCGUAAAAGACUUACGGAUCAACUUGAAUCUAUAAGCCUUUUACGGAUCAACUUCAUCCGUAGAAGCCUUACGAAUCAACUUGAUCUGUAAGCCUUUUACGGAUUAAGUUGAUCCAUAAGACUUCUACGGAUGAAGUUGAUCCGUGUUGUUUCAUAAAAGACUUACGGAUCAAGCUAAUUCGUAUGCUUAAUAUAACAUACGGAUCAACUUAAUCUAUAUCAACCUUAUGGAUCAACUUGAUCCAUAUGAUUUACGGACCACCUUCGCGCACACCUAUCACAAAUGCGAAAAAAAUACAGAAAUAAUUUUGAUGUUUUUUAAAAAUACUGGGUGCACCAGCAAUAAUGCUAGGUGCACCUAACAACACCCUUCCAAUAAGAGUGGCUACUUGUCUCGGACAUGCUGAUAAGAAAAUUAAUGGGGAGUUACUCUUGAUUUCUACAAUAAUUACUAUUGAUCCUAUCAACUUUUAAAACCCCGGAAAAAUAUUAUUUUACCCCUCAGAUAAAAUCCAUCCAUCACAGCCUGUCUCUUUUUUUUUUAAAGUCAAAACAAAUAUACAACAGAACAUGUUUUCGUUUUACCACUAUAGAUACAAACAUAAUAUAAUAUAAAACGGAAACAUGUUUUCAUUUAAAACGAAAAUCUGUUUUUAUUUUAUAUUUUAUUUGUACCCUUAGAAUAACAUAAACAUGAUUUUGUAGGAAGAAUAUUUUUAAACAAAAAAAUUUUCAACCACUUGAUAGAACCCAAUAACAAUGAAGUUAAGGUCAAUAGCAACUCCCCAAUUAAUAUUGUAACAAUAUGCUAAUAUUGCGCUUAUAAGGCCCAACAGCAAAAUCACUUGAUGUUGUCUUUGUUGCUGUAGAAGAAAUAUUAAUAAUAUAUUUCCUACUGUCUCAAAUACUCCCUUUGUGCUUAUUUAUAACGGAUUUUUGUAUGGGCAACUUUACACAAGUUAAAGGCCAUUAAAUAUCUACUUUGCACACGUUCAAACUUGUGACUAUGAACAACCUACAUCAAUUGAUUCGCAUGUUCAAUGAUUCAUUCAUACAAAUAAUUAAUUAAUGAAUUUGAUGUUUUUUAUUGAAUAAUUUCAUAGAUAAAUUUGAUGUUUUUUAUUGAAUAAUUUCAUAUAUACUUUUAACAAAUUCUAUAAAGAUUAAUGAAUUAUUUUGAGUUUAAUAUUUAUUUUUUGACAGUGAAAAUAAUUUCAACUAUUUUUCUCUUAUUUUUAUCCUAUCUAAUUCGAUGUUUAUCCAAUUCAUUAGUUUGAUAUUUUUAUGCACGGAUAUUUUUAAAAAUACUUUUCAAAUCAAUAUUUGUCUUAACAAAAUAAUGAUAUUAAAAUAUAUACGAUACCUAUUACAAUUUUUAUGGCUGAUUUAUAAGUCACUCUCCGGUGAGAAAAAUAUAAUAUCUAUAGUUGCUCAAGAAAUAUGUGGGUGAAACAAAAGAAUAUUUUAGAAUUCUUAUUGUGAAAUGCGCGACAUGAUAUGUGUAGUCCUUUAACCUAAAGCAAGUACGAUAUCCUAUUUCCAAGUAUGUUAUUGAAAGACUCAUACUACCUUGGACAAGGUCUCGAUCAUAUCUUUAUCAUGGGUUUGGCUCUUAGCCUAAGAUUUAGGCCUAAUAUAUGUUUAUUAUAUGCUACAACUAAAACCAAUUUUACGGAAUUGUUAUACACAUUAUUUAUUUUGUUGGUACACCUAACAUAACAUAUAUUAUAUUAUUGAUUUACGGAUUCACAAUCCAUAAAUUAAUUAUAUAUCAGUAAUUCAUAUGUCAUUAGAAGAAUUAUCAAUCCAUAAUUAGCUUAUAGAUUAUGAAUUUAUAAAUCAAUUACUAAUCAAUUUAAUAUGUAUAAGAUUUAAUGAUUGUCCAAUAUUAAUAUUACAAUGCUAUAAUCAAUUGAGCUAAUAGGUCAAUUGUUUAUAUAUAACAAUAUAUUUAAUACACAUGUAAAUUUAUAUAAUAAAUUUUGUGACAAUUAAUUUUAAUCUAAUAAUUAAUUUGUUUACAUAUAUAAAUUGUAAAUGAAACCUAUAAUUUUUAUUUAAAAUUUAUAUAAUAUAUAUAUAUAUAUAUAAAUACAUAAUUAAAUCAAAAUUAAUUAUAAUAAAAUCAAAAAAUACAUUAAUAAAUUUAUGUUAAUAAUAUUUUUUUUAACAUAUAUAAAUUUUUAUUAAACCUACCCUUUUUAUUUACAAUGUAACAAAUUAAACCUGGGUAAUAUGAAAAUUACAUAUUGUGUGCUGGAUGUACCACGAACAAAUGGCGCGUAACAAUUCCUUCAAUUUUACGGUUAGCUGGUACAUCAUGCAGGCACGGACAUAUCCAAGAAACCAUCCAAGGAGGUUGGAUUUUUUUUAUUUUAACUAUUUAAAUAUCUAUUUUUUAACAAAUAAAUAUUUAAUAAAUAAUAAUUUUUAUAGAAUUAUUUAUUAGUUUUACACAAAAUUAAAAUUAGUUUUUAUUUCAAAUGAUACAAGAAAUAAAUACAUUUGUUUAUAACAUAUAUAAUUUUUUCAGUUUUAAAAGACUUUUUAUCUCACAAACACAAUUACAUUUAAAUAGGAAUCAAAAUAAUAAUCUCAAAAUAAAAAAAGAAACAAAGACAUCAAAAUAUAAUAAUAACUGUCCUCAAAUUUCAUAACAGUAAGAAUAUAUAUAUAUAUAUAUAUAAUAAAAUAUUAAUAAUUAGAUAUAUAAAUAGAUAAAUAAGACUUAUAAAAUAAUACACAAAACAUAAUCAUCUAGAUAAUAACAAUUGAUUUUUUUUAGUCAUGGUAUAUAUUGUUAUAUACCAGCUAGUAUAUAUUAUUAAUUAUUAUUAUAUAUGAGUUAUAAUAUUUUUUCACUAUAUAUAUAUAUAUAUAUAUAUAUAUAUAUAUAUAUAUAUAUAUAUAUAUAUAUAUAUAUAUAUAUAUAUAUAUAUAUAUAUAUAUUCCAUGGACAAUAGUUGUCACGCGUUGGAAGGAUAUGUUAUCAUAUUUUGAUUUACAUUGAAUUCCCAACUUCCUCCUAACAAAUUACUCCGGCGAUGACAUUUGGAAACCCAAAUUCCCUCCCCUUCUCCGACCACACCCUCAGAUGAAACAGGUUUCUUAUAUGAACCUUGACAGUGCGUGGUGAUGUCAACACAUUUCCCAGUUUUAAAUUAUUGGAGUGAUUAUCAUUAACUAACUAAUAUAAAAUAUUAUAAAUUUUAUAAUUAGUUAAUUUUGAAACGUGAAACAUUUUAUGGUAUAUCCAACUGUGUAAACUUAUGGUCCACUAGAUCACUUCCAAGAACAAGAUUUUUUUUUCAGUAUAAUUUAUGGUUUGGCGGUGUUACUUCCAAAUUACGUUGUUGUGUUGGCACGCCAUUUCAUUGUCAAUGGCAAUGCUUUUUCCUCUCCCUUUUUCGUUUUUAUUUGAUAGGACGAUAAGGCAUUCUAUAGUUAUCUAAAUCAAGUAAUGUUAUUCCUAUGUCAUUUACGAACAAAGAAUAGUUUCAAUGUGACAUGUUUGUCUAGAAUAAACAAAGUAGAAGUAUAUGAUUACUUCAUGUUUCUUCGUUUGUUGACUUUAACAUGCAUGUUGUUGUCUAGAUCAGUUUAGACUUACGUCACCCCCCUCCCUUUUCACAUUUAACAAACGUAAAAGUGAUUAGGGGACACAGUUAUAAAUUUAGGACUGGAAUAAGGACAUUGAAAGGGUCAUUGAGUCAACACUCAUAAUUGUUUUUCUUUUCUUUUUUUUAAUAAAACCCUAUAACUUGAUCAAUUUUGCAUAUCAUAAAAAGUUUGCUUUUAAAGUUCUUAAAAUUUUGAGCAGCAAGAGAAAAUUAAAAUUGUAUAAUCCCAAACCAACUAUAUAUUCACUUGGGUGUUCUGGUCUAAUUAAUGUAAGAUGGUAAUAUUCAUAAUUAGAUCAUUGCAAGUUGCGACCUUUAAUUUAUUGUUCAAGUUGUAUAACUUUAACUAAUUGUGCACAUUUAGAAAUUAGAAUGGCAAAAUAUCUGAUUCGUACAACAAUCUUUCAGAGCAUGUGCAAUUAAAGUUGAGCUAUCACAUUUCGUUGUUCAAGUCAAAUUUAAUGAUACUAAUUAUUUAUUUCACAAUUUCUGAAACAUGUCAAAUUGAAGAGUCAAUUUUCAGUGGAGUUUUCUGGCGUAUAAUGGCUAUUAGGAGGUUUAAAUUCAAGACUUUGCAUAAAGUAUUCAGAUUUCUCACCAUUAUUGAUUUCGGGGGUGAUGCACUGCUAUAUAAAUGAAACUUAAUAUGAUUCAAGACUAAUUUAAAGGAAUUUUUAAAAUGUAGAAAAUUACUUAACAUGAUUUCUAAUACUUCUAUGACUAUUUAAAUAAUUUUCUUAUUUUAAAGAUUAUUUUAAAAAAAGAAAAUAAUACUACAAGGAUUCAAUAGAUUGUUUAUUAAAAAAAUUAUUAUAUUUUUUAAUUUUUAUUAAUUGAUAUUAUAAUUUUGUGUUAAUUUUUAAAAAAAAAUAAUUAUUGUAGAAGUAAAAAAAAAAUAUAUAUUACAUACCAACUUUUGAUUGGUUAACUUAUAAAAACCAUUUAUACUAGUAAUAAAUAUACAAUUUAACAGCCAAUACCUUUGCUCUUAUAAAAAAAUAACAUAAUUUUUCAUAAGAAACAUAAUAAUAUAAAUAAUUAAUGGAUAAUAUUUUAUUAUAAAAUCUUACCUUUCACAAUAGUACUUUGAUUAAGGUUGAUUAUAAAUUCUUACUUUUGCAUGUGAAAAACAUAAAUCUCACACAUCUCUUUCUUUGGUGGUAAUAUUAUUUGAGAUACAAACCGACACUAAAUAUGAAUAUUUUUAUCAACAGAAAUUCAAUUUUUGAUUCACUAGUCUAUUGAAUAGGCUAGACUUGGUAUUGUAGUAAUUUUUAAUCAACGACCUGGUUAUAUCUUUGACGUAGUAACGUAAUAAUAUGAAUCACCAUUAAGUUGAAAUUGUAUUAAAAAUCAUGUGAAGUAUACUACUAUCAUGCUUUCCAAUUAAAAACUUUAAACUUACAAUUCCUUAACCAACAGUUUUAGAAGUCUUGUUAACAUUUUUUAAAUUAUAACAUUCAUUCAUAAAAGAAUUUUUCUUAAUAAUUUGAGUAAAUGUUCAUUUUUGAGCUCAUAAAGUAUGAGUAUGAGAUGAUAAUGAAUUAAUAUUUAAAAGAUAUAAAAUUUAAAUUUUAUUUCUAAAUGUAUUUAAAAGUACAAAUAAUUGAUAUUGUCAUUAAAUUUGUAAGAUUUUUUAUGAUUAAAUUAUAAUAUUUAAGAAUCAGUUUCAUAAUAAACUAUUUUUUUAAAGACCAAUUAAAUAUGAAGUUACAAAGUUUAGACAGAUAAAUUUGUCAUUCAUUAGUUAACUUAUUGUAUUUUUUAUAUUUAAUAACUGAAUUUUAAUUUUCUAUCUUUCAAAAAUCAUAUAUUAUCGUGUGAUAUUUUCAGAAAUAAAAAAUAAAUAUUUAUCCAAAUAAAUUGAUGGAAAUGGAUAUCUUGAACUAAUGAGUAAUGAAGCACAAUGAUUAUGUUUUCUGAGAUUGAUGUCCAUCUCUGAUGAUGCCUCACUCUUCUUUGCCCGUAUAUUUUCACCUUUUCCCCGCCUCUGCGGUGAUUUUCCACUUCUCAUAAGAAAAACUUUCAUUUCCCAUUAUACCCCUGUCCGCGUGGUGGGUGCAACACAGUGACGCACCAACGUACUCGACCAGUACGAGUGUUUGGUUCGCAGCACGUGCCGAGCGCGUGGUCAAUGCUCUCCCCGGGUGUUGCCAGCUGGCACCUGCGUCGACUCACUCGCCUCGACAACCUUAUCCAAUUUCCUAUAAAGUUCCCCUAACCUCACCCACCCUCACACCCUCGCUCCCUCACCGUCACCCUCAUUGGCCACCUUUCACCACCACAAUUCGCUCACAAUUACGAUUCUACCCUCGCGCAUGCGAAAGACCUCCUAUUGGUACUUGACGCGAACGCGCUACCACCCCGGCGGCACCGUACGGCAUUGUAGAUAAGAGGCCACGAUUAACUUGUGCUAAAAAAAAAUAAUUAAAAGAGAGAGAGACAAAUAAUAAUAAUUUUUUUUUUAAAAAAAAGAAAAAUUGGAAAUAUUAUUUGAUUAUUUUGCAUCCACCUCAAUUCGUAUGAAUGUGUUAGUAAUUAAUUAAAUUAAUAAUCGGUUUGAGAAAUAUUAUAUUAAUUCUGUGAAUCUGCGUUUCUAUAUUUCGUUUCACUAUAACGCUUUCCCAAUUCGUAAUUCAUUUUGUGUGUUGAAAGAAAAGAAGAGAAAGAAAGACGAAGAAGAAGAAGAAGAAGAAGGGUAGAGAAAGUGAAAAAGAGUUUGAGGGAGAUCUUGUAAAUAAGGAAACCCUAGUUUUUCCUUUUUUGGGUUAUUUUUCCUUGAUUUUCCCAUUAAUUUUUCAGCUCCAACCUGCUACUGUUACCAAUAAGGAAUCUCUUGUCAUUGCUUCAAUCGAACAAGGUCGGUUUUCAAUUUCACGUUUUCUCAGUUUUCCUCAGCUGUGCCCUUUUUCUGUUUUUUGGGGGAAUAAAAAAAGGUGUCUUUUUUGUUUUUUCUUGUUUGUUUUUCAAUUGGGUUUUCAUUUUCAUCGAUCCUUUUGUGACGGGAAAUCGCUAACGUUUUGUUGGAAAAAUGGGGGGUUUUUUAAUUUUUUUUUUUUGAAACCCAUGUAAAGGGUGUUGUUUGUUCCUAUGCUCAAUGUGAUGUAACCUAUGUUGGGGGGUCAAGAAUUUGGGGCUUUUUGCAUAGAAUCUAAGAUUGGAAUGUGUGUUGCCGAAUUACCAUGUGUAUGAUGUGACUGCAUUUUGGUAUAGUAGUAACUAUUUGGCACCAGGAAAAGUAUGUAUGUGCCGUUACACAGUUUGUUUGGUUUCACUUAAUGAAUCCAGUUCUCACGUGUUGAUGUUUCAAAAUGUGUGUGUGUUUGAGGUUUUGAGUUAGGUUGUUUUGUCUCCUCAAUGAUUGAUGAGCUUGUGUUUGCUGUUCCUUUUGUUGAUUUUGCAGAGUGAACGAGUUUUGUGGGAUUGUGUAUUGUUAGAAAGCCGCAAAGAUGAUGUCCAGGUCGUAUACGAAUCUUUUAGAUUUGGCCUCCGGGAAUUUCCCGGCAAUGGGGGGGAGGGAGACUAGGGAGCGGAGGCGGCUGCCGAGGGUUAUGAGUGUCCCGGGGUUUAUCACUGAGGUAGAUGAUGAUCAGGCAGUUAGUGUUUCCUCUGAUAAUCCGUCGACUGUUACUACAGAUAGAAUGAUCAUUGUGGCUAACCAGCUACCGUUGAAGGCAAAGCGAAAAGAGGACAACAAAGGGUGGAGUUUCAGUUGGAAUGAGGACUCGUUGCUUUUACAGCUCAAGGAUGGACUUCCGGAUGACAUGGAGGUUCUUUAUGUUGGUUCGCUACGUGUUGACAUUGAUCCAGCUGAACAGGAUGACGUAUCACAGUAUUUAUUGGAUAAAUUCAAAUGUGUGCCAACUUUUCUACCCGCUGAUGUCUUGGCAAAAUUUUAUGAUGGCUUCUGUAAACGGCAGUUAUGGCCACUUUUUCAUUACAUGCUACCAUUUUCAACAGAUAAAAGCCACCGAUUUGAUCGCUCUUUAUGGGAAGCUUACGUGCUGGCAAACAAGCUAUUUUUUCAGAAGGUAGUUGAAAUAAUAAACCCAGAGGAUGAUUACAUUUGGAUUCAUGAUUAUCAUUUGAUGGUGCUACCAACUUUUAUAAGAAGGCGUUUUAACAGGGUUAAAAUGGGAUUUUUCCUGCAUAGCCCCUUUCCAUCGUCAGAGAUAUAUAGGACUCUUCCAGUCAGGGAAGAGAUACUGAAAGCUUUACUAAACUCUGAUAUCAUCGGAUUCCAUACCUUUGACUAUGCUCGUCAUUUCCUUUCCUGUUGCAGUCGUAUGUUGGGUCUGGAGUAUCAGUCAAAGAGGGGCUAUCUAGGAUUGGAGUACUAUGGAAGGACAAUCAGUAUUAAGAUUAUGCCUGUUGGGAUUCACAUGGGUCGGAUUGAGUCAGUCAUGAGAAUGGCAGAUGAGGAAUGCAAGGUAAAGGAGCUCAAACAACAAUUCGAAGGAAAAACCAUCUUGCUUGGUAUUGAUGAUAUGGACAUUUUCAAAGGCAUAAAUUUGAAGAUUUUGGCUAUGGAGCAGAUGCUCAGACAACAUCCCAAAUGGCAAGGAAGAGCUAUUCUGGUCCAGAUAGUUAAUCCUGCUAGAGGUAAAGGGAUACAUCUGGAGGAGAUACAUGCUGAAAUACAAGAAAGCUGCAACAGGAUCAACAGAGUGUUUGGGAGACCUGGUUACGAACCUAUUGUUUUUAUUGAUAGAGCAGUUCCUAUUGCUGAAAAAGUUGCCUAUCACAGCAUGGCUGAGUGUGUUAUUGUCACAGCUGUAAGGGAUGGAAUGAACCUAACUCCUUAUGAAUAUAUUGCAUGUAGACAGGGAAUAUCUGGUUCUGAAUCAUGUUCCAAUGUCAGUGACCCAAAGAAGAGUAUGCUAGUAAUAUCAGAAUUUAUUGGGUGUUCUCCAUCACUAAGUGGGGCAAUCCGUGUUAAUCCAUGGAAUGUUGAAGCAACUUCAGAGGCAAUGAAUGAGGCCAUCUCAAUGAGUGAUGGAGAGAAACAGUUGCGGCAUGAGAAGCAUUACCGGUAUGUCAGCACUCAUGAUGUGGCUUAUUGGUCACGUAGUUUCUUGCAAGACAUGGAGCGGGCUUGCACUGACCUUCUAAGGAAAAGAUGUUGGGGAAUAGGUCUUAGCUUUGGAUUUAGAGUUGUGGCACUUGACCCUAAUUUUAAAAAGCUCUCAAUUGAUGCAAUGGUUUCAGCUUACAAGAGGGCAAAGAAUAGGGCCAUUUUGUUGGACUAUGAUGGUACUGUGAUGCCACAAAACUCCAUUAAUAAGAGUCCAAGCAAGGAGGUCUUGUCUAUUUUAGAAUCACUUAGUGCAGACCCCAAAAAUGUUGUUUUCAUUGUUAGUGGACGGGGGAGGAAUAGCUUAAGUGACUGGUUUGAUUCCUGUGAAAAACUUGGAAUUGCUGCAGAACAUGGGUACUUCUUGAGGUCUGAUUUCUGUCUCUCUCUCUGACAUAUCUUUUUUCUUUUUUUUUCUGUUUUGCUUAAUAUCAGAUGAUCAAAUAUUACUUAUUGUAUGUGUCAAUAUGAAACAUAUUUUAGGCACAUUCAUACAAUGAUAGAAUGAAUGCUAGAGUUGGGAAGUUCAUUAUUUUUUUUUGUCUGAAUAAAUCAGAUUACAGUAAUUUCCUUUUAUUCUCAGUUUGGCCAAGGUCCAUUUGGUGGAGAACAAAGUGAUUUUAAAGUCUAAUUUGAUAGUAUCCAAUAUAAUGUAAUAAUUUGAAACGUUUGUCUCUGGUUUUGCAAGUGCUGUUAGCAAGUCAUACUACUGUGUAUUUUAAUUCAUUGUUGAGACCCCUGACGUUGCCUUCUUACAGUAUCGCCAGGAAGAAAUUCCUGUUGAAUGGUAUUUUAUUUCUGAAAAUGUUUUUCACUUCCUCCUGUAUUCAGAUGGUCUCACGGUGGAGAAUGGGAAAACUGUGGUAAGAGCUCCGACUUUGGAUGGAUGCAGAUUGCUGAACCUGUAAUGAAACAAUAUACAGAGGCGACUGAUGGCUCCUCAAUUGAAAGAAAAGAAAGUGCUUUGGUCUGGCAAUACCGUGAUGCAGACCUUGGUUUUGGAUCUGCUCAGGCUAAGGAAAUGUUAGAUCAUCUAGAAAGUGUUCUGGCCAAUGAGCCUGUUGCUGUGAAGAGUGGCCAGUUUAUUGUUGAAGUAAAACCCCAGGUAUAUAUAAUUUCUCUAUUUGAUUUAUCUUAGAAGAAAAUGGGCCUUUUCAUUUUACUAUUUUAUGGGAAUCUCCAUUCAAAAAAGCUUUCCUGAGUUUGGAUUUCUAAGUUAUAUCAUACUCUAAAAAAGAGCAUAUGUACCGAGCUUUAGUUUUAUAUAUUUUUCAUUAUGUGAUGCAUUCUAUUUGUUCAUUCUGCUUUCAUAUUUUUCUGGUGGCAAAUAUAAAGCUAUAGAUAUCAUUCAGUAAACCAUGACAACCUAUUCUAUAUUGAUUUGGCUUCUGAAGUAGGAAUCAACCUUUUAUAAUAAAAUAUGGUUUGUGUGAGCUGCCGAGAGCUCAUUAAUGCUUCUGCAAUUUUAUCAUUGUAAUGUAUCUCUGCCAUUAAUUUGUUAAAAAAAAAAGUGGUAUAGGUAGGGUGGAACUUUUUGUUACAAAAUAAAAAUAAGAAAAAGAUAUGGAGGAACUUAAAAGAAUAUUGUGUUCUUUUAAUGCUAUUUGGUUAUAUACUAAAAGCAUAUUGACCAAAGAACCUGGACCAAUUUCAUCCUAGUCUCAGAUAUUCUCUUUCAUACUUCUGUUGUUCUAGUUUGACAAAGCCUCCUGCUCUUUUGGAUACAUUUGAUGCUUUCAAAAAGGUUCUCAGUGGUUAAAGUUUUCAACUCGAAUAUCAAAUUCGUACCGCGAGCAUAGCAGCUGGUGGUUGUCAUUUGACCUUGGCAUGAUUUUUAUAAUUGAUUUGAUAUGCUAAAAUAAUUAUGCCACCCUCAGGGCAAAAGGACUGAUUCACACAUCUGAUUCCAUUUGCCUGUCUGUGUUUGCAGGAUGUGAGCAAAGGCUUGGUCGCCGAGAAGAUAUUUUCGUCAAUGCACAGGAAGGGCAAACAGGCCGACUUUGUGCUGUGUGUUGGCGAUGACAGAUCAGAUGAGGACAUGUUUGAGAUAGUUAGUAGUGCCAUCUCAAGGAAUAUUCUUGCCUCCAAUGCUUCUGUGUUUGCUUGCACUGUUGGACAAAAACCAAGCAAAGCAAAGUAUUAUCUGGAUGAUACAACUGAGGUAACAAGCAUGUUGGAAUCUUUGGCUGAAGAAUCAGAUGCUUCACCCUGCAUAGAAGAAACUGGGGAUUCCUCUUGGAGGCCAGUGUGAGUUGAGGUUGAGGUUUAUCUGAUUUUAGGUGAUGAUUUUUUUUUUCUUCUUUUUAAUUGGGAUGUAAUAUUCGUGGUGAUAUUUGGGGCGUUUGCAGAGUAUGUUUUCAUAAUAUAUUUUUUUUUCCUUUUUUGGUUUUUCUUCUAUUAUAUAUUACAUAUAUUUUUGGGAGAAUCCCGUCAUUAUUUUCUGUUGCUGUCAUUGAUAGUUUCUAUUAUUUUAGUUGUGGUUGUGGUGUAGCAGAUAACAACGAUGUUAGUUUUGAUUUUUUAUAUCCUAUAACAAAGGAAGAAAAGAGGGAAAGCUCUUCUUGUUUGGCACCAACAACCUUUCCAAAAGCUUACUUAUAUUAUUGAUAAGAUAUGGUAAAAUUAGAUUUUCAAUUUUGGAAAAAAAUAAUUUUAUUUAGAGAAUGUUUUUAAAAGUAGACCAUAAUAAGAAGCCAACAAUUUUUUUGUUUUUCAAAAGUAUAUUCUUUUGAAAAUAUUCCCGUAUGAGGCAAGUUGAGCAUUAAAUGUGUCACUUUUUUAGCAUUAAAUGUGGUCUCAUUAUUAGUAGGGAUUUGAAUCUUAAUUUUUCUUGUAUGACUGGUCCCUUUUUGUUUGAACUAAUCUUCGUUGGUAGGAGAAGCAUACAAUAUGACACUUAGUGUAGCUCUAGUAUGUUUGGUUAAGCUAUGUUGAUGUUGUAUCAAAUUGAUUUCGCACUUUGCAUAUUAGGUUAUUGGGUAUAAUGUGAAUUAAACAUAAUAGUUUCAUUUAGCGAGUUAUAACUUAAAUAUUAUUUUAUGAAAAAAUUUGCAAAAGGAUUUAGUAUGUAACCUGAUAUUGUUGAAGAGGCCGAGAAAAGUAAUUACAAAUUGUGGCGUAAUUUAUGUACUAUUGGCCAAAGUAUUACAAAUUUUCAAUUCCUUGGAAUUUAGAUAUACAAAGAUUCUUCCAGAGAAUUUUGAACAGCCAAAAUGUUGCUGGCAGCAACGUAUUAUUGCCAAGAGAAAAAGGAAUAUGUACUCAGUGUAAAAAAUUUAUACAGACAUCCUGAUUAUAAUUUAUCAUGGAAGAUAAGUUUAUUAACUUUUAAAAUAAUUUUUAAGUAAUUUAAACAGUAAUUUGUGAUUAAAUCACAAUAUAAAAUUAUUUUAUACUUAUUAAACUUUAUUGCUAAACCCAAACAAUAACAAUUCAUUGAAAUAUAUCCAAAGGAAGACGAAGGAUUAGGGUGUAUAUAUGUUUUUAAUGGAUCUAGUUGUUCUAAGUUGGAUAAGGUAAACUAAAUAAUCUUAAUUUUUAUUGAAAAAAUUUUAUAGUUGAUAUUACAUGUGAAAAAAAUAUAGAUACUUUAAAUUAUUUUUUAUCAAUAAAUAAAAUUACUUAUUUCUUUUUUCUUACUUGAAGUCAAUUUUUUUUACAGUACUUGAAGUGAAAUCUACGCAACAAUGUUACAUCAAUUUAAAUGAAAAGGAACUUAAAUUCUAUAUGCAUGUUUAGUUUCAAGUUUUGAGAAUAAAAAGAGAAUAAUUGAAAAGAAAUAUCAUAUUAAAAGAAGUCAAUUAAAUUCUUAGUAGAAGUUACUAAAAAAAAAAAGUGACAGAUUAAUAAAAUGUUUCAUUAAUGAAAUAUCGUAUCAUCACAUAAAAGUAGGUUAGAUAAUAAAUCAAAAUAAAUUAUUUUGCAUGUAUGAAAAACAUAUUUAAAUAAAAAAUCUAUUAGUAACUAAAAUUCAAGAAUGUAAUAAACAUUUACUUUGCUGGCCACUUUACGAUUAGGGACUCCUCUCAUCAUGUGGGUCCAAUGUUGGAGGUUCUAUAAGAAUCAUCACGUUUUCUUCAUGCGGUGCCUUCUAAUUCAGACUUCCAAAAAAUGGUCCAUUCACAUCUGUGGCAUGCACGUUGAUGUUUCAUGUAGCAGCAAAAAAGGCCAAUUAGUUGAUCAAACAAUAAUAAUAAAUAAAGGUUUUUCACAAUCACACCCUUUGGUGGUGUCUCUAUCUUGGAAGAAAAAGAGAAAAAUACUAAAAGAAGAAAGAAAAUCGUGACAUGUAAUGAGAUAAAAAAGAAUAAAACAGCAAAGGGGUGCAUUAGGUUGCAUUUAAAUUUUGUCCAUAAAAACAUGCUAUUAAGUGAUUAUAAGGUGGAGCUCAACCAAAUGCCAUCUUUCUCUUUUUUAAUUAAUUUGUGAUUUCGAAGGGCAUGCGUGAAGAAGAAGAUGAAGGAGUGGAAAGUGACAUUGAACAUGGAGAAGAAAGAGUAGAUUGUGGUUGAAUGAAGUGGUCCUUUUUUCUCUUUUCAUCCCUCUCCUUAAUUUCAAGAAUUUGUCUGGUUGCAAUUGUUGUUCUUUCACCUGUUACAAUCUGAGUCAGAAGUUACGUACUGGAAUGAACUUCCAAAUUGUUUUUUUCUUGUUCUUUUUAUAUCCCUUCUUUUUAUGUUCUGCUGAUGGAAGCAACAAUAUUUGUCUCAGUUGAUUCUAUGAUGUAUAUAUCUUGCCAUGUCUCACAAAACAAACUCCUGCUAUUUUAUUUUAUAUCAAAUUUUUCCUUUAAGUCAAUUUCAUUAUUUUUCUUUUGGGUAUUUGAUACAAUUAUAUAUUCAGAACUUAAAUUCAAAACUUUUGGUUAAGUUAGAACAAUGACUUUGAGUUAAUUGAUUUACACGCGUGAUGAUAUAUGUGGGUUAAGAGUGAUAAUAGGAUACAUAAUAGCUGCAGUCUUUUUUUAAAUGCCAAACUUGCAUGUUGUUUGUGCACAAUCCACUGCAUUAGCAAGGUACACGUUUACAUCCUUAUUUUUUUUAGUAAAAAGAAAUGUAAUAGAUAGUUACAGUUCAAUAAAAAGAUUAAGUAAAAUAAUUUAAAUAACACAUAAAAUUAUUAAAUAAUGCAAUAGUACUAAGAUUUAUCUUGAUAUAGAUCAAUCACUCAAACAAUAAAGUUUGGUACAAUUGUCAAGUAGUUGAAUUUUUUAAACAUGAUUAUUAAUAUGUAAUUCUUCACCGAAUGAUCGUUAAAACUUUUAAGCAUGAACAUCACUGGUUGAUUGUUGAUUAUAAGUAUAGAAAAAAAAUUGUUGGAAUGAUGAUAGGAAUCUAAUAAAGUUCUAUAAAUAUUAAGAUCAUUUUGUAAUGGAUGAAAGAUUUAUUGGCUACGGUAAGAGUAAAAAGAAGUAAAAAUAUUUUUGAAAGCUUAAUCAUGGCGGUACAAACACAAGCUAAAGAAAGUUUGACUAAAUUAGAGUUCAAUCCAAAAACUCUCUCAUAUCUACAUGCAAUUUGAAGAUAAUUAUAUUAAACUUAAAAAAUAAUUUAAAAGGUUUUGCUUUUCCCACCUCAAGUUUUGCUCCUUCCAUCCCACACUUUGUUUUGAUUUUCUAAUUUUUAUAAAUAUCCUUCACAAAAACACAAUUUUAUUGAUCAAAAUACACAACAAAAAUGUGUUUAUGUUAUGUUAGGAAGUGCAAACAAAUACACAAGGAAAUGUGAUUUUGUUCCUUGAAAUUGCAAUUUAGUUGUGUAUAGGUUUGCACCUCUUAAUACAAUAGAAAUACAUUUCCGUGAAGCAAAAUACAUAGUAGGAUUGUGUUUUUAUUAUGUAUUUUCUAACUUACUUACCAGAAAUGUGAUUUUACUGUGUAUUUUGAUUCACUAAAUCACAUUUCUUUUAUGUUAAAUUUUAAAAAAAUAUAUUUUUAAUAGUAGUUGAAUUAAGUUUCAUAUAAAUUAUAUUUUUAAUUGAAUUUGAAUAAAUUACAACAAAAUUUAAAAAAUGUGUUUUCGUGUGGUGUAGGAAAAUAAAAAGGAGGGAAAAAAAGUGUCUAUUUUGCUUAUUUUUGACAAAGUAAGGGGUGGAAAUAGCAGUCUAUGGGUGAGAAUAGCAAGGCCUCAAUUUGGAGAGUAAAAUACCCCAAUACGUAAUACUCAAUAUGUAUAUGUGGGGUGAAAUUUACAAAAGAAUGGGCUCUCACAAAAAGAAAAAAAAUAUCGUAUUUCACUCUAAUUCAACUAACUUUGAAUUACAAAGUUCUUUCUUUUUAUAAGCUAAGUUCCCUAUAACCUUUCCGCUUAGUAAUAAAUUUUCACUAAGUAUUUACUUCCUACUAACCUUCAUAAUUAUCCAAUAAUUUCCCCCAACAAUCACAAUGGUUUAACAAGCCUAAAAAUCAUGAAAACUAACCUAGAAUAUAUCAAAAGUCACCUAGAGGAAAAUAAGAACAAAAAUAGAAAAUAUGCCUUAAUUUAUUUUUCAAUCCAAAUCUAAGUAAUCCAUCCAAAUAAAAUUUAGCUCAUAGAUCCAUUUUUUUUUCUUGAUAUAUCAAAUUACAUGCUUUACCUAUAAACCAAUGGAAACUUUCACAAAAAGUAAAAAAAAAAAAUUAAUAAUCAUAUUUCAUUCCAAUUCAACUUACUCCGAGUUAUAAAAUUCUCUCUUUAUAGAGGCUAAGCUAAAAAAAAGUUGUUUUCUAACCUUUUACUUAACAAUUAAUGAAAUGCGAGCCCAAUUGAUUUUUCAUGCCUUCAAUAUGAUUCGUUUAAAUAUUUUAUUAUAUUAAAUUGACAAGAAAAAGGAUUCAGAUGCCUUUAUUUCUCGUUUUUUCAACCACGUAUAUAUAAAAAUAUUUUUUUUUUUUAUCUUUCUGUUUUAUUCUAUUUUUUUCGCGCAUUUUCUUAUUGUGACCAAACAAAUCAUAAGGAAUAUGACGCAUAACUUACUGGUUACGCACGCAGUAUUGUCACACAUUUCAAGGUAAUCACUUUCCGAUGGACAGAUUGUCCUAUUGAUACAAUGAUAAUAUUACUAUUUUAGACUUUUAGGACAUGUUUGGUUUGAAAAAAUAAAAUGUGUGAAAAUAAAGAAAAAAAUAAAAUAAGAUGAAAGAUUUAAAUUAAAGUGAAGAUAUAUGAAAAUUACAUUAAUAUUUUUUUAUAUCUCAAAUACAUCAAGAUGAAAGUAACCAAAUAUUACUUUAGUAACAAGAAAUGUAUUUUAUACCAUUGGACAAGAUCAUAAAAUCAAUAAGUUUACCUACCAAAAAGAAAUAGUUUAAAUGUUGCCAAAUUAUUUUAGCAUUUAGCUCUUUUAAAAUUCCUCUGUUAUGCCAUCUCAAACACUCUUACUUACCAGAAUUGCUUCAAGUUAAGCAAAAUUGAUUAAUAAAAUCUAUCAUUGGAGUGAUGAAUAAUAUAGCGUUGUUUCUAUAAGUAAUACGUUUAACCAAUUUCAAACAAUAAAAAAGUUUUUUCAUUUAUAUUUAAGCAACUCCUUUAAUAUUUAUCAUUAGGAAAAAAAAACUGUUAAGUUUGAAGUAGAGUGUUUUUAUAAACAACUGCACAAAUAAUUAUGCAUUAUAAAUGCUCGUGUAGUACUAUUUAUCAGAUUUUAUAAAGAUAUUGAACAAUAUGCUAUUAAAAAAAUAUAUCAUGUAGCUUAUAUUUAAUGUUUAUAAACUUAAGGGUUUGUAAAUCAAUAAUACCAGAAAAUUUUGUCCUUCAUUUAUUGAUAGGAGUUGGAUUAUUAGUUACGUGAAUGAAAAAGAUUUUGUUAACAGAGACUAAAAUUGCAUUGAUUAUCUAUAAAUAUUUUUUAGUUGCAUUCUGAUAUAGGUGGUCUCCAAAGUCGGCUCAAAGUGUUACAACUUACGAUAUGGAGAGUGGUGAGCUUAAUUUCAACUUUCAAGCAGGGACAACGCUACUUGUUGUAGGGUUUGCCCAUAAAUUGUUUUAAGAUUUUUUUUUUCUUUCAAAAUACUCUAUUUUUUAUUGUCUUUUUAUUGUUGAGAUGAUUUUUUUUUCUUUUUAGAUAAAAUAUUUGAGAAUUAUUUAUUUUUCAUUCUAAUAAUUUUUUUCUUUUUAUAAUAUGUUAAUAUUAUUUGAAAAGUUAUAUAUCCGAUUGUAUUUGUAAUCAAAUGACUUUAUUAGUUUUUAUAUAUUAAUAUUGGCCCAAAAAAAGCAUAGCUGUCUUAAUUGGACUUUUCACAAUUCGUUGGUUAAGCUUAGAUUUUAAACAAAUUUAAUUUUGAAUGAAAAGUAAAAUCUUAAAAUAAUUAAAUUUCAUUUUUUUAAUCUGAUAGGAAAAAAAAGUUCAAUUUUCAUGCAGCACCAUACAGUGUGUUGUUUUUUUAUAUUAUUAAUUAAUUAAAAAACACUUUAUAUAUUUUUUAAGUAAUUAUUGUUAAAUGAAUAGUUUUUAAUUAUAUAAUCAUAUAUAUUAUAGAUUAUAAUGUAAAAACUUUAUGCUGUUGAUAAUAAGAUACACUGAUGAAGUCAACUAGAAGCAAAGGCAAUAUUUCUUGAGGUGGAGCAGGAAGCACCAUGGAAUGAUCUUCAUACACCACACCCAACUUAAUUAAAUUAUCUAGGCACCAAUUUGCCUCAUGAAAGAUGUGAGAAAAAGGGUCCACUCUCCAGAAAUUUGGUUGCAUCACCAUCCACAAGAGCUAGAGCUUCCUUGCAAUCCAAAAAAGCAUGAUGUCUUUCAUUUCAAUAAUUAAAAAAAACUUUAUAUUGAUAUAUCUCUUUUAAGGUGAAUUUAAAGUAUCUCCAACUGAUAUUUAUAGUCAAAAUUUAAUCUCUUAAAAAAUUUACAUUUAUUUAAAGAACUGACCUCUUUUAAUAGAUAUCUUUUUAUAUACAUAAAUUUAAAUUUAAAGAAUAAAUCUCAAUCUUAUCACAUAUUUAAGAAAUAAAGUUUCUUAUAUUUUAAUUAUCUUAAAUCAUAUUGAUUUUUAUAUUAAGUAUCUAAAUAACUUGAGAAUUACUUUUUAAACCUGCAAAAUUUUUUAGAUGAUACUUUACAUAGAAGAGUUUUUCCUUUUUCAUAUAUAUAUAAGAUAUAUGUUUUUCUUUGUCAAAAUCACAAUAUUCUUAUUUUGUUAGUAGAAUCACGGUAUCCAUAUUAAAGGCAUUCAUGCUUAAACAAGAUAUAAUUAUUACUGGUGAUAAAGUUCUUUUUUUAAAAUAUUUAACGUAAUUAGUAUUCAGAAUUCAAACUCGAAAUCACUGGAACAACCCCUAAAUAUAAUAUUUAACCUUGAUACUUUAUUUAAAAAUAUUAAAUAUGUAGAAUGAAAACUAAUACUCAAAAGCUUAAACAAAUGCAACCAUAAUUAAGCAAUAGAAACAUUUAGGUCUGAUUAAAUCAAGUCUAUAUUUACUUGUAAAAGAUGUUAAAUACCAAUGUUUGAGUUUGAAAUGAUCCAUUAUCAUUUGUUUAGUUUUUUUCAUAUACAAUAGAAUACUUUAAGUCUUAUAUUAAUUAAAGAUAGUGUUAAGAUAGAGGGAGACAACCUUCACCCAGAGUUAGUUUUGAAGUUAAAUUAGGUUUAAACCCACAUUUAAAAAUGAUAUUAGAAUCUAUUUUAGAUUCAUUAAAAGAAAUAUCCAUCAUAUUGUUCAUGCAUCAAACUCAAAAGUGCUUACAUGAAGUGUAUUGAAAAAACCAAAGUCUUAUUUCAACUAAAAAUAAUAUCAUGAUAAAGUAUAUAAGUAAAAAAUAACCCUUAACUUAUGAGCUAACUUUAUAGCUGAGUUGGACUCAAACUCAUGUUACAAGAACAUAAUAAUAUUCCUCCAAUGGAUGCCUUAUUGUCAGAAGUGAUUAAAGAUAUGUGAUUGACUAUUGAAAUUCAAAUCUUAGGCAAGCACAAAACAUUAAUUAAAAGAGUGUGCCCAUGCCCAAACUACCACUUAACCCUAAAAGAACAUUAACUCAAAUACAACUCGUAAAUGUUGACUUAAAAAUAAUUAUAAAAUCUAUAAUCCUAUAAGGAUUUGUUAUAUGAUAUAUAUAUAUAUAUUAAAAAAUUAAUACACACACGGAAGGUCCAAUCACAAAUCAUGAUCUCACAAACACAUAAUGCUUGAUGAACUCAAACCUAUAUCUAAUCUCCGACUCAUAAAGCUCAAUAACACAUGAUGACAUUAGCCUAAAACGUGUGUUAAACACACUAUCCUCAAGGAUUUAUUCGCGUAAAAUGUAAAUCUCCCAAAAUUUAAGAGACUCGUCCCAAAUUAAUUUAGGGAUUAGAACUAUCAAGAAGGAGAAUAAUAGAGAACCAAAGAGAGAUAAAAGUGAAAUUGUGUUUUUUAGUAUCAAAACAAUAGGGAGAGCAUCCCUUUUAUAGAUAGAAAAUGAUUGUGUAAUAAUAAUAUGUAAUAAAAAUAAUUAACUAAAAGUAAUGAAUAAUUAUUCUGUUUAAAUAGGGUAUUAAAAUCCAUUUAAAACAGAAAUUAUAAUUAAUUAAAACAAUAAAAAGGAAUGACAUUAAAGUCAUUCAAAAACAUUCCUAGUUAAAAUAAAUAAAUAAUAACAUAACAAUAAUAUAUAUAUAUAUAUAUAUAUAUAUAUAUAUAUAUAUAUAUAUCCAAUAAAAUAUGAUCAAUCUAUAAUUCAUACUCUAAAAUUAAAAUCAUUAUCAUGUUUGAACUAUAAAUAUUACAUAAUCAUUUACUAUUAUAAAUUAUUUUGUUGUGUAUCAUUAAAUUAUUAAGAAAACUUUUUUUUUAUUUUUCAUUAUUAAAUACAAAAAUUGUUGGAUGACAAUAAGCAAAUAUGAUGAAGUUGUAUAAAAAUAUAAAUAUUAUAUCAUAUAUAUCAAGAUCAAAAUAAUAAUAAUUAGUUAUUAUAUAUUAUUAUCAAGAUCAAAAUUAUAUUAUAAAAAUAUAUUAUAUCAUAUCAACAAUUAGUUAUUAAUAAUUUAAUAUAUUUUAAAAAUUGUAAAAAAAAAAACUGCUCAAUUGAGUCAAAUUGGACUAAUUUGUUUCGAGUUAUCAAUUCUAACUAUAUCUCAUGGGAUCAAACUGGAUUGAUUCAAGUUCACUACAUAUCCGAUUUGAUAGCCUAUUUGGACCACCCGAAUUCCCAAUUGAUGGAGAAGCCACCCACCUCAAAUCUCCAUCAUCCCACUGUGACAUACAAAGGAUGCUUUCAACCAUCUCUUUUUUCGUUUCUUGAAUGCACAUGGCUUCAAUUUUUUUUUGCUUUGGACAAUUUUCUUACAAACUUUGCCUUCACUGUCCCCCCCAUUAAUUAAUAGUAUCUUCAUAAAUCAACUUCAAUAAUACCCUCCCUAACUCCCCUUUUAAAUUCCUUCAAGUUAGUUUCCUCAUCCCCUUCCAAAGUAACCCCUGUUUAUUUUCCCUUUUUCCUCAACUUGCAGCCUCCUUAGCAUCAUUCUUAAAUCCACACCAAUUUAUUACAAUUUUGAACACAACCAUCAGUCAAGGUAUUAUUGAAGGAACACCCUACACUACUUUCAAAAUUUAACACAGCUCCUCCCCAAUACAUAAUAAAAAAAAAAUACCAAUUUAUACCAAUACAAACUCAUUAUGUCAAACCCAAAAAAUAUCUUUGAAUAAAACAGAAUCCGCAUGCCACCCUUAAACCAAAUGCUAUACAUAUAUAACAUAAAAUGCUAAUUUAACAUUCUCACAAAACACUUUAUCUCACGUUUGAUUCAUGUGACGGAAUUAGAAUAUAAGUAUACAUGAGAUAAGAUGAGAUUAAUUAUUAUAGAAUAAACAAUUCAUGUACAAAUAAUGUAAAACUUUUUCACAUUAUCAUAUAAUCAUAGUUAACAAACAUUCAAUUGAGACCAAUUUAGACUAAAAUAUCCUUAAAUUUUUAACUACUUUUGUCAUAAAUUAUCCCACUAACCACAGAUAACAAUACAUUCUACCAUCCGUCAAUUUAUUUUUAUGAUAAAUAUCUCUUUUAAUGCAAAUACUAAUUUAUCUUCUUAAUUAUGUUUAGGGAUAUUGUUGGAAAAUAUAGUUUGAAAAACUAAAAAUACUAAGUUAAAAUAUAUUUUUCAUCCUUAUAAAUAUCGAAAGUUUAGAAUUCGUGCAUGUAAAAUUUCAUCUUCAUAAAAUUGAAAUGUAUUGUUUUUCUAGCCCAGAGGUAGGCUUAGACGAAUCCAAGUCUAAAUAUCUGAUGUGUCCACUAAAAAUUGAAUACAUGGAGUUACGUCACCAAACCGCACCCAAACAUCAUCCCUUCACCAUUUGUGAUCAAUACCGCACCUUCAACCAUCAUCCUUCCCAUCUUUUCUACGUCGCAUUGUGAUGUGCACCACCUCUUACAUCAUGCACCACUACCCACACGAGCCAUCCUUUGCGUCGCCAAUCCUAACAACACAAUGGGUGUGGCUUUUAUGGGUUUGGGAGAAAGGAGUAUUUUGCAAAAAAAAAAAAAAACUUACAAUUUGUGGCGGUUUUAAUUAUCACAAAUUGUGAUUUUAUUUCUUUUUAUCAUAAUUUUUUACGAUUUUUAAUCCCUAAAAAAUUACAUUUUAUAAUUUAAGUUUUAAAAUAUGUUACAUCAGUUUACAUCCGUUUAAGUCUAAUUCCAAGUUAAAAAAUAACAUAUUUUAAUUUUAUGAAGACAAAAAAUAUAUCGAAAAUUUACAGGGUGAAUUUUAAAUUGUUUUUUAUUUAUAGGGACAAAAAACAUAUUUUAAUAAAAAAUUGAAAGAAAAAAAAAUUAAAACGAUAAUUAUUUUGAAACUGUGGAAGUAAUUUACUGUGUAACUUUUACACUAAUAUAUGCCUAGUAAACUCUUUAUUAUAAUCAAACAAUGAAAAUGAUACUGUAACUAUAAAAUAAUGCGAGUGUACUAUGUUGACGUAAAUGUAAUCCUAUAUUAUAAGGACGAAAUACUUGGUCAUUUCCCAGUGAAUCCAGCAAAAAUAAAAUCAUAGGAAAACGAUUGGCUUCAACCACGGGUCAAAUUACAAUUAUAAAAAAACACUAGAACUAAACUAUAAAAAAGUCAAAAAAGAAUGCUAACAAUUCAGAUUUACAUAGCUAGUGGGACCCACUGGCAUUCAAUAUAUAUUAACUGAAGACAAGACACAUACCGUUUUCUCAGCCAACCCUCUCUCCCUCUCUGUUCGCACUCUGUCUUUCCCCUGUUUCCGCGUCACUGAGUCAUGGCGAUUCGCAACUCGCUCACCGGCCAAUUCCUCCGCCGCAGCUCCGUCGCCGGAGCAAGGCUCAUGUCUUCUUCGUCCUCAUGGUUCCGGAGCAUCGAGCCCGCUCCCAAGGAUCCUAUCCUCGGAGUCACUGAAGCUUUCCUCGCCGAUCAGAGUCCAAACAAAGUCAACGUCGGAGUGGUGAGUUUCUCACUUCUCUCUCCGUUUCCGUUGAAUUUUCGCGCAUUUUUUUGUUCUGAGAAUUUGAAGCGGAAUUAAAUCUGUUAAGAGAGUAAAAUUAUCGAAUCCGAUCCAAUCACGAAAGCAGAAAGCAGCACUGUCAUAUUCGUCAUAGCAAAUAACGGUCUCUGUUUUUUUUUGUUAGAUUAGUUUUGUUUAUUUUAUUUUUUUGUGUUAAGAGUUCUGAUUCGUGGAUUUUGUGAGCAAUGAAAAAAAGUGAUUUUGAAAAAUAUAUUUACACGGGAUGAGAACGGAGUUUUUGUGAUAGUGAAAUUUAUUUAUUUGUUUAUUUUGAGUGGAUAACUGUGGAACUUAAUUUUUUGUUUUGUUUUUAUUACUUAAAAAGGGUGCGUAUCGCGAUGACCACGGAAAACCUGUGGUUUUGGAAUGUGUUAGAGAAGCAGAGAGGAGGGUUGCCGGAAGUCAAUUCAUGUAAGUAAAAUAUAUGUGUUACUAUUUUUAUUUUAGAUAAAGCACUUGAAAAUAUUACUUGCAUGUCGUUGAUUAGGUUGAAACUGGUUCAAAUCUCUAAAGUAAAGUCUCGGUUUUAGCUUAAUAAAGAUGGUGAAUCAAGUUGUUUUUGACAUAAAUAGUUACUCUGGACCAAUAAGGGUAGCACAAGAAAAAAACAAAUCUUGAAAAAUAUUAAACAGGCAGUAAUGUUUUUAAAUUUGUAUUAAAUAUUUUUUAUAAUAAAUUUAAUUAAAAUAAAUAUUACAAAUCAUAGAUUAUCAUUUACAACAACAAAAAAUCAUUAAUUUUUAUAAUAAUUAUCGUAAAAGUUAUUUGUAAUUGUAUGAAAAAUAAACUCUUUAUUAUUUAAUUCUGUUCAUGAGGCACUCACUUAGCAUUGCCUUUUUUUUCUUUUGGGGUAUACCUUAUUUUAUUUUAAGAGAUAUAAAUAAGUGUUGUAAAAAAAUGCUGGUAGAAGUAUUAAAAUAAUUUUUUUGAGGAAGUAUUGUUGAUAUAUACGGUAUUAGAUUUUUGAACAAAAAAAAUCUUAUUUAUUCAUUUUCUUAAUGAGUGUCUGCACUCAUUAUAUGAAUGUAACUUUUAAUUACUUCCAUUUGCCAAUUUGGGGAUGUCACGUAAAGUUUACCUCCUAGCUGUUUUGCCUUUUGGGUGUGUAUGGACUGCACAUAACGCAGUUUUGGGAAUAUGAUGCUAUUAGUUCUUGAUGCGCGUCCUUUGAUAUCUACCCUCUUUUUACCCUUUCAUACGGAAUUACAAUUUCUUGAACUGUUUAAUUAGAUUCUUUAGGUGUUUUGGGAUGAUGAUGCUGGGAAUACUGGUUCUGCUUUUCUGGCGUGAAAGCUGGAAACUUUUAGAAAUCGUAUCUGGAAUCUUUCACCCUCAUUUUUAAGGGUCGUACCAAACUGACUAAUAAAGAAGAAUAGAAGAUGCUUUCUGUGGGUUUUGAGUGAUUGAAUUCAUAUAUUUGCAACUUUAGAAAUAUAAUGUUGAUGUAAUUGGUUUGUGUAGAAUGUGGGAAUGGUUGAGAAUUUUCAAAUUUAUGGUGUCUAAAUUUUAAAAUAGUAAAGUUCUACUUCAACAGAGUUCACUUCAAUCCUUUUAAUGCUCCUUUCAUGAUAUAAAGAUUUGAUGGUAAAGGUGAUUUGGCCGGUGCCCUUUGCGGGCAUCUGAAACCAUCUUAAGUUUUAACUAAGCCUUUGUAUUCGAACAAAUGCCUCAUCAGUUGUCAAAAUAUUCCUGAAAGUAAGAAGCUGUCAGAAUAUUUCUGAAAUUCAGAAAUUGGCACAUGCACUUGAAGUUGAAGAUAUUGUCAAAAUGUCAGUUAAGGAUGGUGAUUUUUUUCUGUUUGUUAAGGAGGAAAAAAAAGUGCCGCGAAAAUCAAGUCUAGUUGAAUUGGCUUUCAUUGCCUUUGUUUCUAAAAUUAAUUUGAGGAUGCAAUAAAUAAAUAAAACUUGAAUUCUCAAGGUUCAUAGAACCACAAGUUUCCUUCAGAUUAAUACCUGCAUUCCAGGCAAACUUCCAAGGAAAACCCAGCUAAGCAGCUAGUAAUAUUCUUCAGAAACAGUUAUUUAUCUUCAAUAUUUUUAUUAGGCUUAAUUACAAAAAGAAUCUCUCUAUUUUUUUCAUUUCACUGAAUCAGUUUAAUUUAUUAUAAGAGUUCUUCUAUUUUUCAAAAUUCACUAUCUGAGUCCACAGAGAAAAAAUUAAACGUUGACCCUUGACUUAUUUUACACGUCUCACAUUCUCGUUGCUCAGUUUGGAUUCGUGUUGUUGAUUUUGGAAAUUAGGGAUUUUUGGUAAUGUGAAGGUUAGGGAUUUUGGGUGAAUGGUGGAUGAAGUUUACGUUUUUAGGGUUGAGAUAAGUAUUUCUGAAAUAAUUGUUAGUUACCUAAUUACUAAUGAAGGUAAAUUUGAAAUAACAUAAAUAAUUAAUCACUUUAGUUACCAAUAAUAAUAUUUCCUAAAACAUAAAUACCUGUUAAACGAUCAAUUACAUGCAGACACCACUUAGCACUAAACGUUCUAAAUGUUCAAUUUUUUCUCUGGAGAUUCAGACCAUAAAUUAAAAAAUAGAGGGAGGAAAUGAGAAAAAUAAGGGGACACUUUUUGCGAUUAAACUUUUUUAUUACUCAGCCUAGCAAUAAAACACGAUCUUAUCUGUCUGUCUGUCUAUAUAACUUCAGCUUUGGGUAUCACUUGCUUAUACUAUUUAAUCGAGUUUAUGCCAUUACAUUGCACUGAUGCAAAUGUUUGGCCAGGGAGUAUCUUCCCAUGGGUGGAAGCAUAAAAAUGAUAGAAGAAUCGCUGAAGCUGGCAUUUGGAGACAACUCUGAGUUCAUCAAGGAUAAAAGAAUAGCUGCAGUGCAGGCUUUAUCUGGGACUGGUGCAUGUCGACUUUUUGCUGCAUUUCAACAGAGAUUUCAUCCUAAUACCCAAAUCUAUAUACCAGUGCCUACCUGGGCCAAGUAAGUAUUUAGGACAAAUCUUCCUUUAAAUGUUAAUAUACCUAUAAACUGUAUGAGCCUUCAGUUUUUUAUAUUUAGUUAUGAAUUUUUUGUUUGUCCCUUGUCUUGCGUGGAUAUUUAUUUCUAAUGGGAGAAAUUACAGCCACCAUAACAUUUGGAGAGAUGCUGGAGUGCCUAUGAAGACAUUCCGUUACUAUCACCCUGAGUCUAGAGGAUUGGAUUUUUCAGGACUGAUGGAUGACAUAAAGGUAUUUUGCUCUCCUAACAUUUUUCAGACUUGCUUUAUAGGUCAAUUUUUACAGAUGAAGCUUUACUAGUACUCUAUAGUCUAUAAUCUUCUUAAAUUAAUUAUUAAUUAUUACAUAUACAGAAUGCUCCAGAUGGUUCCUUCUUUCUGCUUCAUGCUUGUGCUCAUAAUCCUACUGGAGUAGAUCCUUCAGAAGAACAAUGGAGAGAGAUCUCUUCCCAGAUAAAGGUAACAAUUUAUGGAAUAGUACAUUAAGUGCAUGCUUGGUUUUCAGUUUCAAGGCCCAAAAGUAUGUUCAAAAAGUAAAACUGAAAAAGCAUUCGGUUUUCAGUUGAGCUUGAUUUUAAACAAAGUUUUUUUUCCUUACAAUUUUGCCUUGAAACUCAAUUUGAAAUGAGAGAGAGCUGCUUUUACAAACUCAGUUUGCAAAAUGAAUUUCAUCUAAACUUAAGUUUACAAACUUUAAUCUAAACAUAACCAAAAAGAUUGGAUUUUGUUAUUCUUGUUUCAGUUCUUGACUCUUUUUCUUGUUCAUUGUUAUGAUUGUUUCCAGGCUAAGGGUCAUUUCCCUUUCUUUGACAUGGCAUAUCAAGGUUUUGCUAGUGGUGAUCCAGAGAGAGAUGCAAAAGCCAUAAAGAUUUUUCUUGAGGAUGGUCAUUUAAUAGGACUUGCUCAGUCAUAUGCAAAAAAUAUGGGACUGUAUGGCCAGCGAGCAGGAAGCCUGAGGUAAGUAGACUGUUUUAAACUAUAACUCAGGUUCAAAAUGCUAUGAAUAGACUCUUCAGUGGCAUUUCUUGUGGUUGGGGAGUGGCAUAUGUUGGACCUUGAUGAUUCUCCUAAUACAUUAAUUGGAUGUUGACAACCUGCUUGUCAGCUAAGAUAUGGUGCUGUUGUAUUAUCAUGUUAAAAUUAUAUGAUAUUUUGUUAUUAAUAUAAGUUUAAAAGUUAAAUUGAUUUUGUUACCUCAUCUCCAUGAGGUCUGUAUAUUGAGGGUAUAAUAGUGUAGACCUGGAAAAUCCAACAUUCUAAAAUUGAUUUUUAUAAUUAUCUGUAGCUUCAAUUGGCUUCUAUUAAUCUCCGGAUGAAGUAAUAGAAUUACCUAGAGACUUAUUAGAAUAUUAUCAUUUCUAUUAGCAUUUUAGAAUAUUUUGUCAUUAUGUUGAUUAGAUUAGAAUAAUCAAUUACUGAUUAUUAGGCUAGAGAUUGUUUUUUAGUCAGACGAGUUUACUCUUUGAAUAAUGUAAACAAUCAAUAAAUACUAGAACAUGUGUAACAUACAAUUUCUCUCAAAAUUUGCGUACUUCAACAUUUUUAAUUAAUAUACAAUUUUAAAUGAUUUGAAGGAUGAAUCUUGGGCAUUCUUUCUAAUAAUCUGUGUGUAAACAUUGGAAAUUCCUAAUCUUGGACCUUGGGCAGCUUUACAGAACUUCUGUCUUGGCUGUGAAAAGGGAAUUAAUUCUGCAAAGAAAUGUGCUCAUAAUUUUAAAUUCCCUGCAGUGUGCUUUGUGAAGAUGAGAAACAAGCUGUGGCUGUAAAAAGUCAGUUGCAGCUGAUUGCUAGACCCAUGUACAGUAACCCACCUCUCCAUGGAGCACUUAUAGUUUCUACUGUCCUUGGUGAUCCAGAUUUGAAGAAGUUAUGGCUUAAAGAAGUCAAGGUAAAGUGCCAUUAUUUCUUAGAGUCCCCUCCUCCCUCUCCCUGGGUUUUCAAUGUAGAAGUAGUGAUUUUGAUCAUCACAUACAAUAAACGAACCAAACCCAUGUUUUCAUUUGUCGUAGCUUGCUAUUAGUUUAUUAAGAUGGUAAUAAUGCUACUAUUCCUGGCCUAAGGAAGGAAUACAGUAAGGUCUUGAUAUGGAAUAGGCCCAGAUUCCAGAUAGGGAAGAGGGCGAUUAGAACUAGAGCUACAUAGUUAUUCUAAUCUUGAAUGCAUGGGACAAGGUUUUGUUGAAAUUUACAAAUCCUAUAUCAUAUAAUAUGCUACUUUGUUGGAGUGUCUGCUACAUUGCAUGACCUUCACGAGGCAGUGAUGCAAGGAUAUAAAGUAAUGUUACAAGGAUGCAAUUUCAGCAUGCAAGCAAUUUUUAGUCAGCUGCCUUUGAGAAUUUUUGCCUUCUGCUGUUGCACUUCUAAUUAUAGAUUUCAUGUUGAUUUGAAAUUUAAACAAAUUUGUAAAAUAUUUUACAUUUGAAUAUUACUUUUGGGGGCACGGUUGUCAACUUGCCAUUUUGAGUAUUAUCUGGGUUCUAUCUGUUUUUGGUCCCCACUGUGUACACCAUGAAUAAAUUCAUCCUCUAGGCAUGCUCUUUUGUCGUCAAAUUUUUUGUGUGUGAUAUCAUGCUAUUACUUAAACAUAAUUAUUAGAAUAGCAACAUGCAGUAUUGUUAUUUCACAAGGUUGUUCAGAUUAUGUUUUUAAGGUCAAAACCUUUGUUUUUGUAGCUGUUACUAGGCUUUGUUAACAAUUGUGCUAUUCUAUGUUAAUAUUCAAAUUGUAAUUCAAAAGGACAAUAUUGUAAAAUUUUAUAAAUCAUCAAUACAAAUUUACAAACAUGAAGAAGUUGUGGCAACAGAUUGAAAUUGGACUUACAUUGAUAGUAUCUUUACAGGUUAUGGCAGACCGCAUCAUCGGAAUGAGGACUACACUACGAGAAAACUUAGAAAAGAAGGGGUCUACUUUGCCAUGGCAGCAUAUAACUAAUCAGGUUCAGUUGAAUUUGUUUAAUGCUCAACUGUUUCAGUCCACUUUGUCUUCUUUUCCUUUGCUUAUUUUUUUUAAUCCUUUUUUCUUCCGUUACAUUGGAUUGCCUAGUGAAGUAUUUAGAAUUAGGAUUGAACUUCCAACAUCAUCAUCAUACCCAACUGUCCAAGUAUUGGUGCCAUGUCCAAGUAUUGGCUAGUUGCUUUUCUCACACUUUUCUUUGUUAUUUGUGCAGAUUGGUAUGUUCUGCUACAGUGGAUUGACACCUGAACAGGUUGAUCGUAUGACAAACGAGUUUCAUAUUUACAUGACCCGUAACGGUCGUAUCAGGUAAUUAUAAACCCAAUCUUCUGUUUCUUUCCACUAUCAUUUUCCUUACACUGCAAGAUCCUGAGAGAUGAAGAUAGUAGGAUUUUACUGUUUUCUUACAUACAUUUGAUUUUAUAUUACAGUAUGGCUGGUCUUAAUACGGGCAACGUUGGAUAUGUUGCUGACGCUAUCCAUGAGGUUACAAAAUCAUUCUAGAUUAUUCAAUCACCCAACAGGUGACCAAAUUUUUGUCUUUGGAGACAAACAUCUCAGAAGUAGUACCCUUAUCCAGGGGAGCAAAAUAAAUUUAAUAAAGUCUGACAAAUUUUCAACUUGUUUCGGGGUAAGAUAGUGAUACUCUUCAGGGUUUACCUUGCAUAUUGAAGACCCUUAUUGCAAUACGUAUCCGAUUUAUCAUAUCCAUGCACCAUAGAUUAUAUCCAUUUUUACAGACAUCUUGUUUAGCACUUUAAUGAGCAUAACCCUGUAUCAUCAUUUUUUUUAUAAAAUAAUUUGAGUAGUAGAUUGAAUAAGGGCUUUAUUUAUGGUGAACAGGAAGUACGUAGCUUCAUUCUUACUACACUAUUAUUCCUGUUAGUGAAACUUUGCGAUUGUUGAAGCUAGAAUGGAUAUUUAAAUGCUAAUUUCUUUUAUUCCCUUCGUAAGCUGGAUUGAGAUUGAUGACCGCGGCUAAUUUGGUGUGUGUGAGUUUAUUUUGAUGCCAUAUAUCAUAUAUGUAGCAACAUCUAGCAUUUCAUCAUCAAUAUGUUAGGAGGACAGGUAAGGGCUUCUAACAUCAUGAAAAAUAAGUUAGUUUAUAAGUUUCUAACUUUUUUUUUCUUCUCAAUUUUAUUGUUAUUAUUUUAUUUGAAAAUUCGUUUUAUCCUUUUAUUUAAUUUAAGAAACCUUUUUAACUUUUUUUUUGUUGUCUGAAAAAAAAUUAUAUCUAAUUUUGUUUUUAGACACACACGAGGUCAAUCACAUUAAAGAGAAUGUGAAUGCUAACGAGGCUUACCCAUAAACUGAAAAUUGUCCUUCAUAAGUGAUAUCCCUCCGAAACUAGCCUACAGAGGAGGAAAAGAAUACUACCAAGUACCAAUUGAAGCAUGUCUCACUAAUAUGACGAAGUUCAUUUUUAUGUUGUGUGUUAUUUUGUAGGGCAGUCUAGUGGCGGACCUAUUCUCAAAUGAGUGUGGGUAAAUACACCCCUUCAAUUUAAUAUAAUCAUAAAUAUUUAUCUUAAAUUAUAUAUUUUACACCCUAAUUUUAUGUGUUUGAACCCCCUAAUUUAUUCUCAUAUGAGGAUAAGUAAAUGCACUCCUUUAUUUUAAUAAAAUCAUAAGUAUCGAUUUUAAAAUUUUAUAUUUUACACCCUACGAGUUUGAAUCCAUUAUCUCAUUUUCUCACUCUUAUAUCUUUAUUUAUGUCUUUAUUUUUAUAUAUUAUAUUUCAAAAUAAAUUGUCUCAGCUGACUCAAGGUCAUAGAUCUGCCACCGAUCACUGUCACUAUCAUGCUUUUCAUUUUUGUAUUUUUUUUAGGUUAUAGAUCACGGGUGUUUCUCAAUUCACUCCUGCUAAAUAGAUCAUUCUUACUCACAUAAACAUAAUAGAACCUUACAUUACUGUGUCAAUCUUUUGGGUUAUUUUCAUGUUUAGUAAAGUAGUUAUAUUAUGUCAUCGAGUUCCAUAUUUUGCUAUAAGUUUGAGUUACAAGAAGCAAUGUAAAACAUAUGUAUUCAAUUUCUGUGGUGCCUGUAUGAAGGAACACUCCUUGUGAGUCUUUUGUUAGCAUUGUAAAUAAAUUUAUUUAAUUAUAGAAAAAGGUUAAUUAAUUGAAAUUUAACUUAAAAUCAAAUCAAAUCAUUUUAAUUAGUGUUUUUUUUCUAAAUUCAAACUAAAUCAACUCAUAAUUAUGUGAAUACCCUAGUUUCUUUUAUUGAUAGUAAUUUUAUUGUUAUUACAUAAUAUUAUACGUUCAGAAAAUCUUUCUGAUCAUUUGAGUUAAUAUUAUCAAGGUUGCUUCAAGUCAAACAUUGUUUAACAGAAUUUGGCGGAUAACAUAGUGUUGGUUAAGCAUUGUUGCUUAAUGUUUAUCAUCCAGAUAAGAAAAAAAAACUCUUAAAUCUGAAGUUUCGUACCACUAAAAAAAACUUCUAAACAAUUCAAUAAGCAAUUAUGAACAGUGGAUGCUCUCAAGGCAUUAGGUUUGAGUCAUUCUCACUUCUUUUUUUUUUAUCUAAAAAAACUAGUUUGUUAAUUUUGUUAGAAAUAUUAGAUGAAAAAUUCAAACUCACUACAUUUUUCUUCCCCAUUUCUCCUUUCAUCCUUCCCUAAUCAUUAAACCAAUCUUAUAUUUAUGACCUUCUCACUUAUAUUUUGCUUAACUUGUUUUCUUCCAAGUCCUUCUCGUACAAGACUUCAUAUGCUGACUUACACUUCACACAAAUAGAAACGAAAUAUAAUUGCAUAUAUAGCAACCAAAUAUAUUAACCCUCAUCUCAACGAAUAUUGUUAAUAACAGUAAGCACGUCGCCCUAUCAUCAACAUAAAGAAUUCACAUUUUUUUCUUCCGUAAAUAACUUUUGGAUUGGAUCCUUUCUUGUUGUCCACAUGUGACAAACAAGAUCUUUGCAAGGAAGAGGGUUACUACUUACUAGAAUAUUAAACAAUGAGGAAAUUUUUUGUUUUGAAUCAAGAGAUUGUCAUAAACAUAAUAUAAAGGACAUCCUGAAUUUAAUCUCAUAAAAAGCAAGCCAAACUACUACAGGGGCCCCUCAAUUCAGGUGGGCCCCUCUACCUAUGA
rnacentral:lncRNA from 1 species